rnacentral:lncRNA from 1 species
UGGUGUCAUCUGCGUAUUGGAGAAGGGAAAUCCCAUGCCCGCCUACUAAAUGCGGGACAAUGCCCCUAAUAUGUCCCGCAGCCUUGGCUUUAUCUAGGAUGGCUGCCAGAGCAUGAACAACCAUGUUGAAGAGGAACGGCGAGAAGGGAUCGCCCUGACGGACCCCACAGAAUGUGGGGAAGUAAGGACCAAUCUCGCCAUUUAUGUUCACCGCAGUCUACCCCGAGGACACCAUUUGCAUCACUCGGGUCACCCAGCGAUCUUCGAAUCCCUUCCGGAGCAAGCAUUCCCGAAGGAAGGGCCAACUGACCGUGUCGAUGCCUUGUGGAAGUCUAAUUUCAGGAAAACUGCCUUGAGGUGUUUGGUGUGCACCUCAUGGAGUGCUUCGUGAAACACUAGGACUCCAUCAAGGAUAUACCGGCCCUAGAUGAAUGCCGACCGAUCCGGGUGUGUGAUCCGGUCCACUAUUGGGGCCUCCCUAAUGGCGUACCCCUUCGCAAGGAUGCGGAAGAUGACAUUGAUCACCGUAAUCGGUCGGAACUGGCGAAUAUCCGAAGCUCCAGUUACUUUGGGAAUGAGGGUGAUAAUCCCAAAGUUCAGCCUGGUAAGAUCGAUGGAACCAACAUAGAACUCCUCAAAGAGGGCCAUCACCUCAAGUAUAAUAACCACCCAGAAGGUCUGGAAGAACUUCACCGGGAGGCCAUCCUGUCCAGGGGCCGACGAGGGAUUCAUGCCCUUAAUGGCUGCCAAGACUUCUACCUCGGAGAAAGGGGCCGCCAGGGCCACAUUGUCCGCCGGCGAGACACGUCGGUGGGCUAGCCAAAUCGUGUGCGAGGGCCAGCCCUCCCCUAGGGGAGGCAGAGAAUAGUGUUGGGGAACGUAGUAAUUUCAAAAAAAUUCCUACGCACACGCAAUAUCAUGGUGAUGCAUAGCAAUGAGAGGAGAGAGUGUUGUCCACGUACCCUCAUAGACCGUAAGCGGAAGCUUUAUGACAACGCGGUUGAUAUAGUCGUACGUCUUCACGAUCGAUCGAUCCUAGUACCGAAAAUACGGCACCUCCGCGAUCUGCACAUGUUCGGCUCGGUGACAUCCCAUGAACUCACGAUCCAGCAGAGUGUCAAGGGAGAGCUUCGUCAGCAUGACGGCGUGAUGAUGGUGAUGAUGAAGCUACCGGCGCAGGGCUUUGCCUAAGCACUGCAACGAUAUGACCGAGGUGGAUUAUGGUGGGGGGGCACGGCACACGGCUAAGAGAUCAAUGAUCAACUUGUGUGUCUAUGGGGUGCCCCUGGCCACGUAUAUAAAGGAUGGAGGGAGGAGGAGGCUGGCCCUCAUAGGGCGUGCCCAAAGUGUGGAGUCCUACUAGGACUCCCUAGUCCUAGUAGGAUUCCACCUCCCACAUGGAAUAGGAAAAAGGGAAGGGAGAAGAAGAAGGAAGGAAGGGGGCACCCCCUUUCCCUAGUCCAAUUCGGACCAGUCCAUGGGGAAGGGGCGCAGCCACCCUUGAGGCCUUUCUCUCCUUUACCUUAUGGCCCAUUAAGGCCCAAUACGAAUUCCCGUAACUCUCCGGUACUCCGAAAAAUACCCGAAUCACUCGGAACCUUUCCGAUGUCCGAAUAUAGCCUUCCAAUAUAUCAAUCUUUACAUCUCGACCAUUUCGAGACUCCCCGUCAUGUCCCCGAUCUCAUCCGGGACUCCGAACAAACUUCGGUCAUCAAAUCACAUAACUCAUAAUACAAAUCGUCACAAAACGUUAAGCGUGCGGACCCUACGGGUUCGAAAACUAUGUAGACAUGACCGAGACUCAUCUCCGGUCAAUAACCAAUAGCGGAACCUGGAUGCUCAUAUUGGUUCCUACAUAUUGUACGAAGAUCUUUAUCCGUCAAACCGCAUAACAACAUACGUUGUUCCCUUUGUCAUCGGUAUGUUACUUGCCCGAGAUUCGAUCGUCGGUAUCUCAAUACCUAGUUCAAUCUCGUUACCGGCAAGUUUCUUUACUCAUUCCGUAAUGCAUCAUCCCGCAACUAACUCAUUAGUCAAAAUGCUUGCAAGGCUUAUAGUGAUGUGCAUUACCGAGAGGGCCCAGAGAUACCUCUCCAAUACACGGAGUGAUAAAUCCUAAUCUCGAUCUAUGCCAACUCAACAAACACCAUCCGAGACACCUAUAGAGCAUCUUUAUAAUCACCCAGUUACGUUGUGACGUUUGAUAGCACAUGAUACGUCUCCAACGUAUCUAUAAUUUUUGAUUGUUCCAUGCUAUUAUAUUACCUGUUUUGGAUGUUUAUGGGCUUUACUUUACACUUUUAUAUCAUUUUUGGGACUAACCUACUAACCGGAGGCCCAGCCCAAAUUGCUGUUUUCUUGCCUAUUUCAGUGUUUCGAAGAAAAGGAAUAUCAAACGGAGUCCAAACGGAAUGAAACCUUCGGGAGAGUUAUUUUUGGAACGGAAGCAAUCCAGGAGACUUGGAGUGUACGUCUGGGAAGCAACGAGGUGGCCACGAGGUAGGGAGGCGCGCUUGCCCCCCUGGGCGUGCCCCCACCCUCGUGACCGACUUCUUUCGCCUAUAUAUAUCCAUAUACCCUAAAAAUAUCGGGGAACAGAAUAGAUCGGGAGUUCCGCCGCCGCAAGCCUCUGUAGCCACCAAAAACCAAUCGGGGCCCUGUUCCGGCACCCUGCUGGAGGGGGGAUCCCUCACCGGUGGCCAUCUUCAUCAUCCCGGCGCUCUCCAUGACGAGGAGGGAGUAGUUCACCCUCGGGGCUGAGGGUAUGUACCAGUAGCUAUGUGUUUGAUCUCUCUCUCUCUCUCUCGUGUUCUUGAGGUGGUACGAUCUUGAUGUAUCGCGAGCUUUGCUAUUAUAGUUGGAUCUUAUGAUGUUUCUCCUCUCUACUCUCUUGUAAUGGAUUGAGUUUUCCCUUUGAAGUUAUCUUAUCGGAUUGAGUCUUUAAGGAUUUGAGAACACUUGAUGUAUGUAUUGCAUGUGCUUAUCUGUGGUGACAAUGGGAUAUCACGCGAUUCACUUGAUGUAUGUUUUGGUGAUCAGCUUGCGGUUUCCGUGACCUCGUGAACUUAUGCAUAGGGGUUGGCACACGUUUUCGUCUUGACUCUCCGGUAGAAACUUUGGGGCACUCUUUGAAGUUCUUUGUGUUGGUUGAAUAGAUGAAUCUGAGAUUGUGUGAUGCAUAUCGUAUAAUCAUACCCACGGAUACUUGAGGUGACAUUGGAGUAUCUAGGUGACAUUAGGGUUUUGGUUGAUUUGUGUCUUAAGGUGUUAUUCUAGUAUGAACUCUAUGAUAGAUUGAACGGAAAGAAUAGCUUUGUGUUGUUUUACUACGGACUCUUGAAUAGAUCGAUCAGAAAGGAUAACUCUGAGGUGGUUUCGUACCCUACAAUAAUCUCUUCGUUUGUUCUCCGCUAUUAGUGACUUUGGAGUGACUCUUUGUUGCAUGUUGAGGGAUAGUUAUAUAAUUCAAUUAUGUUAUUAUUGUUGAGAGAACUUGCACUAGUGAAAGUAUGAACCCUAGGCCUUGUUUCCUAGCAUUGCAAUAUCGUUUGUGCUCACUUUUAUCAUUAGUUACCUUGCUGUUUUUAUAUUUUUUCAGAUUACAAAAACCUAUAUCUACCAUCCAUAUUGCACUUGUAUCACCAUCUCUUCGCUGAACUAGUGCACCUAUACAAUUUACCAUUGUAUUGGGUGUGUUGGGGACACAAGAGACUCUUUGUUAUUUGGUUGCAGGGUUGUUUGAGAGAGACCGUCUUCAUCCUACGCCUCCCACGGAUUGAUAAACCUUAGGUCAUCCACUUGAGGGAAAUUUGCUACUGUCCUACAAACCUCUGCACUUGGAGGCCCAACAACGUCUACAAGAAGAAGGUUGUGUAGUAGACAUCAAGCUCUUUUCUGGCGCCGUUGCCGGGGAGGUGAGUGCUUGAAGGUAUAUCUUUAGAUCUUGCAAUCGAAUCUUUUAGUUUCUUGUUUUAUCACUAGUUUAGUUUAUAAAAGAAAACUAAAAAAAUGGAAUUGAGUUUGCCUCAUACGCUUCAUCUUUUUAAUAUCUUUCGUGAGUAUGAUGGAAAGGAAAAUUGUGCCAAAGUGUUAGAAGAAGAAUGCAUUAAAAUGUUUGGCACUAAAUCUUUGAAUGAUUAGCAUGAUUGCAAUGUUGUUAGUAUGAACUCUUUGAAUAUCCAUAAUACUAAUGAUGAUUGCACUAGUCAUGAUGAAAAUGUCUCUUAUAAGCAUGUCAACUUUUGUGGAGUGCAUAGAGUUUUCAAGUACACACCAAUUAGGGCAAAUAGAUUUUGCAAGAGGCAUAAGUAUUUAGAAACUAAAUGGUUACAAGAAAGGCUAGAUCUUUGUGCUGAAAAUUUAAAAUUUCUUCACCAUACUUGUGAACUUUGCAAUGAACAUGGUCAUUGAGAUCUCCAAUGCAAAUUGUUUCAUGAUCGUAUCGUGUCCAAAAAUUGUGAUGAUUUGAUUUCCCUUGCUCAUCAUAAUGAACUUAGUUUGCUUUUGGGUUAUGAAGAAAUGAAAUGUACAACUAAGCAUAUUCCAGAAUAUAACCUUGAGAAAUUCCUCGAUAUUGAUCUAGAAGAAAUUUUUAUGUAUUGUGCGGUGAAUUGCAUUGAAAAUCCUUAUAUUGCCAAUUACAUAAAGAAAAGAAAACAAGUAGAGGAUGAAGAGAAUACUAAUGAAAGGUAAGAGACUUCCCAAUAUCCUCCUAUUAUUUCUUAUGAUGAAUCAGGUAACGAGGAGAAGCCUUCUAUUCAACCCAUCUCAUUAAUAAGGAGCUCCAAAAAGAGGGUUGAACCCACACAUAAUGUGAAGAAGAAAAAGAAAAGACGGAGAAGCAAAGGUGAAAAGGUAUCCCUCCCUAAUGAUGUUGCUCAUAUUACUCAUUGUGAUGAUGAUAAUUGCUAUACUAUUGGUGCCAUCCAUACUAUUAAUGGUGAGAGUGAUUAUGCUUAUGAUAUGAAAAGGCCCAAGCUUGGGGAUGCUAUGUUUGAUGAGAAUGACAUGUUUGAGAAUAUAUUUGCUGAAAUUAAUGUUUGUCCCAAGCUUGGGGAUGCUAUGUUUAAUGAAGAUGAUGUUAUUAGCCUACGAAGUUUUGAUAUGCAAAUUUGUUAUGAUAGCAUGCCUCCUACUUAUGAUUAUUAUAUUGAUGAAAGUGGGUUUGGAAGAGUGUCAACUUUAGGAAGUAAUGAUCCCACUAUUUUGGAGGAUGUUGAAUCUUAUUGUGAUAAUUAUGAAAGUUUAUUUGGAGAGGUCAUGACUUUAUUUAGUGAUGAAUCCACUAUUUCGGAAGAGGUUUCAAUCGAUUAUGAUGAGAACAAAGUUGCUACUUAUGAUGAUUAUUGUGAUGAAACUUAUGCUAUAAAGAGUAGUGAUGAUUAUAUUUAUAAAACUUGUCAUGAUUAUGAUUAUGAUCACCCUUUUUCUGAACAUUAGUAAUUUAAUGUGGAAACCAUUUAUAGUAUUCGAGUCUCUUAUGAUACUCCCACUAUUCCGAAAGAGAAGAAAUUUGCUUAUGUGGAGAGUAAUAAAAAUUCUAUGCUAGUAGAUCAUGAAAAGAAUGCUUUAUGUGCUGGUUAUAUGGUUGAAUUCAUUCAUGAUGCUACUGAAAAUUAUUAUGAGAGAGGAUCAUAUGCUUCUACAUAUUGCAAUAAUAUCAAGUUUCCUCUCUAUGUGCUUAAAAUCUUGAAGUUAUGCUUGUUUUACCUUCCUAUGCAAGUUGAUUCUUGUUCCCAUAAGUUGUUUGCUAAAAAAAUCCCUAUGCAUAGGAAGUGGGCUAGACUUAAAUGUGCUACUCAUAUUCUUCAUGAUGCUCUCUUUAUGUUUUAAUUCUUAUCUUUUAUGUGAGCAUCAUUGAAAUCAUCAUGCCUAGCUAGGGGCGUUAAAAGUUAGCGCUUGUUGGGAGACAACCCAAUUUUAUUUUUGUUUCUUGCUUUUUGGUUCUGUUUAGUAAUAAAUAAAUCAUCUAGCCUCUGGUUAGAUGUGGUUUUAUGUUUUAAUUAGUGUUUGUGCCAAGUAAGACCUAUAGGAUCUUCUUGGAUGAUAAUUAUUUGAUCUUGCUGAAAAAGACAGAAACUUUCUGCUCACGAAAACAAUUGUUAAAAAACAUCAGAAAGUGGUAAAAUACUGAUUCCAAUUGAAGUAGAUCAAUAAUCAAAUUAUCUAGGUCGUCCUAUUUUGGAAGAUUUUUCUGAGUUCCAGAAGUUUGCGUUUGAUACAGAUUACUACAGACUGUUCUGUUUUUGACAGAUUCUGUUUUCUAUGUGUUGUUUGCUUAUUUUGAUGAAUCUAUGAGUAGUAUCGGAGGGUAUGAACCAUAGAGAAGUUGGAAUACAGUAGUUUUAACACCAAUAUAAAUAAAGAAUGAGUUGAUUACAGUACCUUAUUAUGGUGAUUUGCUUUCUUAUACUAACGGAGCUUACGAGUUUUUUGUUGAGUUUUGUGUUGUGAAGUUUUCAAGUUUUGGAUAAAGAUUCGAUGGACUAUGGAAUAAGGAGUGGCAAGAGCCUAAGCUUGGGGAUGCCCAAGGCACCCCAAGGUAAUAUUCAAGGACAACCAAGAGCCUAAGCUUGGGGAUGCCCCAGAAGGCAUCCCCUCUUUCGUCUUCGUUCAUCGGUAACUUUACUUGGAGCUACAUUUUUAUUCACCACAUGAUAUGUGUUUUGCUGGGAGCGUCAUUUUAUUUUAUUUUAUUUUGCUUGCUGUUUGAAUAAUAUACCAAGAUCUGAAAUUCUUAAAUGUUAGAGAGUCUUCACAUAGUUACAUAAUUAUUCGACUACUCAUUGAUCUUCACUUAUAUCUUUCGGAGUAGUUUGUUUUUGCUCUAGUGCUUCACUUAUAUCCUUUUAGAGCACGGCAGUGGCUUUAUUUUGAAGAAAUAGAUGAACUCUCAUGCUUCACUUAUAUUAUUUUGAGAGUAUUUUAGAACAGCAUGGUAUUUGCUAUGGUUAUAAAAUUGGUCCUAAUAUGAUGGGCAUCCAAGUUGGGUAUAAUAAAAACUAUCAUAAGAAGUGAAUUGGAUGCUAUGAUCGAUUUGAUGCUUGAUAAUUGUUUUGAGAUAUAAAGGUGGUAAUGUUAGAGUCAUGCUAGUUGAGUAGUUGUGAAUUUGAGAAAUACUUGUGUUGAGGUUUGCAUGUCCCGUAGCAUGCACGUAUGGUAACCGUUGUGUGACAAAUUUGAAGCAUGAGGUGUUUCUUUGAUUGUCUUCCUUAUGAGUGGCGGUCGGGGACGAGCGAUGGUCUUUUCCUACCAACAAGCCUCUAGCUCUUAUCAUAGGCCUGAACCACCUGAACCUCCAAUUACCGUACCAUUGGUACUGAAUACGACCACCACUCACACCUAUUCCAGACCUUUAAACCCCUGACCACCUAGACCUCUAGUAGCAAAGCAACUAAAAGACCCAAUCACAAAAAUAACCCUCUCUAUCCCCCUCAAAACCUUGGCACGAACACUUGUUUCCAGCCACCUAUGGCCUUCCUCACAGCUCAAAACAUGAUAAUAUCAGACCUAAUCCUGCACCUCCACCACCACAACCAAGACCCAAUUCAAUACCAUUAAAGGGAGUCAUUGGGCACCGUAAGUAGUAAUCGAGAACUUGAUGAACAUACCAACCAGUAUGUGAAUCCGUAAGUGGAGGUUUUUUAGGCUAUAUCUAGCUUUCCCUGCCGGUGAGCCUAGUCUUUCCAUGAUUUCAGUUUAGAAGGACUAUCUGAAUGCCAUAUACCAAUCUCAAUCCUCCAGCUAAUAACCUAUCACACACAGUGUGAUAUCUCCCUUUUCUCCAUCUGCAGAAACUCCCUUCCCUAUGUGACUUCAGCUUUCACCGGAUGCGGAAUUCUCGUUUUGUCCUUGGCUUAUUCUUUCUCAUGUCUCUAUAUAGGUAUUCUUGUCUCUCUGCUCUGUUGAGCCUUGUUGCCAUUUCUUAUCUCCGGCUAUGUGCCCAGCCCACCCGAUCCUAUUGACCAGUGAUGUCUGACCGAAAGGGAAAGAUUGGGGAGAAUACCUUGAGCUUGCCUUUUCCUUGGAUACUCAAUGGAUUUCCCACGGCAUUAAGGAUUUCCUGUUUCCCCGAGUCAAUCUUCCAGUUCCGGUUCAAUGAAGACUAUGCUUACUUUCCUUUCUCUUACCGGUCUGUGUUCUAUCACGGACCUGUAUUCCGUUCCUCAAAUCGAGACUUUCUUUUGGUAUGAUUUUGAUACGAGUUUUCUAUCAAAACUCUAUGCCAUCAAUCACUAUCCCCGGGGAUAGAAUCCAGCUCCCGGCGUACCUGAUAACUAUGCUCAUAUACGUCAAUUCAUGGAAGAUGCUCAGGGGAACGAAUCCAUAUAGGAAACCCCUCUAGGGGAAGGGACAACUGGUUAGUUUGUGUUAACAUAUCAAGGGAUACCAAUCAUUGCCAGGUAUGGUGGGAAAAAAGCAACCUAUUGUAUUUUCCUUACUCCAGUGGGCUUUAACUAGAACUGUUUACUUAGCUUGAUCUUUGUGCUCUCGGCAUAGGUAGGAUGUAUCUCUGGAUUAUCCAUGGUAUGCUUCCAUUGUUGCACCUUAGCCCGGUAUAGUAGAAGGCGAUCCAUGCUAUUCAUGAGUUGAUAAGCUCCAUUCCAUCGAUAGGGAUCAACCCAGCUGCAUGCUUUAAGAUCCUAAGCUACACCACAGCUAAAUCAACCAACAUCAGGGAUUCUAGCUCAAGAUCCACUUAACCACUGGUUUUUGGUUCCAGUGGCAACUGAACAGUUUUCCAUACCAUUUGUGUUUUACCACCCGGUAUGGAGCCAUCUUACGUUUUGUCGGCUGCUCUUUGCCUGAGUGCGUGGGACCCACUCAUAAGGUUUGUUGGACCCGGCUAAGCCCCCUCCCGGUAGGGCUAGAGCGACAGCAAAGAAAUGGUCUUCUUAGGUUUGGAAAUUAUACUACCUCCUGUCGAAGAGCCGUCCAUCUACUUACUGCCUGCGACCGCCUUCUUGUCGCCCGCCUUUGUCUCUCCCCUCUUAGUGAACCCACUAUCUUUAGUAAAGCGGUUUGUAAUCCGUUCACUUCUUGACUUUCCAUGGGUUUCUUAGAGAGCAGGUGGUUUUUGGUUCCCCACAUUUGUCUACCCCUUCUGUUCUGAGACGUGACUUUUCGUCAUCCCUCCAUUAAAUAAGAUCCCUCACUUAUAGCUCGACGGGCCCGCACGUGGACGGGGCAUACAAAUUCUUUUUAUAGCGGGAUCGUAACAUCCUCUUAGUUUUGUCUACACUGGACAAACACGUGUUCCUCAACCCUAGGUAGGGCGUGACUAGGACACACCUAGCCACUCGAGCCAGACUAUUGUCUACCUGAAUAGCUUUUCGUUUGCCAUUAACUGAUCACCAAUGUUGCGUAAUGGUCACUUAAAUACAGGGAAAGGUUAGAGGAGCAUGUCCUUUCUUUCCUUUCGGUUUGGAAACCUCGACCUCCCUCUCUUCACUGAUUGUUAGCAUGCGUUUCUCCGCUCUUGCUUCUUUAUGAAAGCAACACGGAAACGCACCAAUCAGUGCUUGACACCCCCCAGUAGGCCCCCUCAAGGGGGACGGACACCUCUACUGGGAUGAAAGGAAGGUCGGUGGAUUAGAUCAUGAAUAUUGUUUAUUUCCUUUCAUACCCAGGAGGUGAGGUAGAGAUGGAGGGCGGCCCUCGGGGGGAGGGCCCAAUUAGCAUGUCUCAUUGGCAAGAGACAUGCACUAACAAGCCUAGUGCAUAAAGGGAGCCCACCUCUAAGGGAGGUCCCUUUACAUCAGAGGAAGACAUACGAAUCUUACCCCCUACGAGUCCGGUCUCCGGGGGCGCUUUAUCCAAUACCAGGUACCUAUUUCCAGAGGUACCGAUCUUCAAGGUACCCAUUCCAAAGGUACCGAGCCUUUGAAAUCAUGCUUUGCUAUUAAGGGGAAUUCCUCCUAACGUCGGAAACUCUAUUUAUUUGGGAUCGGUCUCCUCGAUCGUUCCCUCAAGUGAUCGGUCACUCCUCGUCAACCUUGAAUAAGACCGACAUUAUGAACUACCAUCCACUUUCUCAGUAGUUUGAAAAGUGGCAAACCAGCCAAUGUCACUUUUUUAGAAGUUGGAAACAAGCCAAUGUUACUUUUUCAGAAGUUGUUGUGACCCAUGUGAAAAGGCAUAUGGUGAUCACUGAACCUUUUGAUAGCGAUGAGUUGCUGCUGAAGACUCUUGGUUUUCUUGAAACUUGGUACUGGCUGCAUUUGGUUCGCUGAACCAUCUAACGGGACCAAGGAUAAGAGAAAGAGCAAUGGAAUCAGACUAGGGCGCCGUGGACUGGCCUACUGGUAGUUGAAAGGCGUGAAAAUUCACUUCCGACUAAGUGUGUCACAGGAAAGGACCUCUUCCAAAAUUCAUGGACCUAAAAUGGAACAUGAAAUGGAACAGGCGCCUGUGGCCCGGAAGACUGGUAUCAUAGCCUUGAUAAUGAACGGGGACCCAUGCGAACUUAGUUAAGAGGAAGUUGAACAAGCUUGCCCCAACCGGCGGACGAAGAAAAAACCGACCAGAACCCACUUCUGGAGGACUGUCCGGAGAGGAAGAAGCAACAAACUCACUUCAUACUAGCAUCGAAAGACAAGAAGGCAGUGAUCUGGUAGCGUCCUAUGUUUAAAGCUGAACAUGCACGGGCGUUAUCGGGUCUCAUUAGUACGUGACCCGCGCCAUACCGAAGUUGACGCCGGCUCCAUACUGGGUAUGGGGAGUCUGAUCCCAGGAUCGGAUCUCUCUCAUGACUAUGGAUGGAAAUUCAUUAUGCACCUGUCCAUGCCAAAUGCAAUAUUUUGGCGUGUUCAGUUAAGUAAUGCCCCUUGUGGGAAACUAUAUUCAAGAACUAAUCCAUUCGACCCGACGAGGGUCGAAGCCACUGAUCGAGUGCUUCUACUUGGUCAUCAUAGACCAGCAAAUCCAUUUGAGAGCUGUCUUUCUUUGAUGGUAGUGUCCUUUCUUCACGCUCACAAUCUCUGCAGAGCUUAACAAGAUAAUCCACGCCAACAACCAAAGCCAACAAGCCUUCGCUCAGAAGCUCUUUCUUCAUCUAAGCUUUUAGUAACAUUAGCUGUCAUCAAUAGGGUGGAAUACAUUAACUAGUAGAAACCUUGCUUCAAGGUAGAUUCUUACAUGUUUGGAGUUUUGUCUGGAUCCAGGUACCUCAACUAUUGGCCUUACAUGGCCUGACAUGGGUAUUCCUGUUGGAGAUCAUUGCAGAAAUUAAAAAAUUUCUACGCGUCACCAAGAACAAUCUAUGGAGUCUUCAAGCAAUGAGAGGGAAAAGAGUGCAUCUACAUACCCUUGUAGAUCGCGAGCGGAAGCGUUCAAGUGAACAGGGUUGAUGGAGUCGUACUCGUCGUGAUCCAAAUCACCGAUGACCGAGCGCCGAACGGACGGCACCUCCGCGUUCAAGACACGUACGGUUGGGGAAGACGUCUCCUCCUUCUUGAUCCAGCAAGGGCGAGGGAGAGGUUGAUAGAUAUCCAGCAGCACGACGGCGUGGUGGUGGAAGCAGCGGGGAUCUCGGCAGGGCUUCGCCAAGCUCAGCGAGAGGGAGAGGUGUCACGGGAGGGAGAGGGAGGCACCAGGGGCUUGGGUGCGGCUGCCCUCCCUCCCCCCCUCUUUAUAUAGGGCCCCUGGGGGGGCGCCGGCCCUAGGAGAUCCAAUCUCCAGGGGGGGCGGCGGCCAAGGGGGUGGCUUGCCCCCCAAGCCAAGUGGGGCGCCCCCACCCCUAGGGUUUCCAACCCUAGGCGCAGGGGAAGGCCCAAGGGGGGCGCACCAGCCCACCAGGGGCUGGUUCCCCUCACACUUCAGCCCAUGGGGCCCUCCGGGAUAGGUGGCCCCACCCGGUGGACCCCCGGGACCCUUCCGGUGGUCCCGGUACAAUACGAGUGACUCCCGAAACUUUCCCGGUGGCCGAAACUUGACUUCCUAUAAACAAUUCUUCACCUCCGGACCAUUCCGGAACUCCUCGUGAUGUCCGGGAUCUCAUCCGGGACUCCGAACAACUUUAGGAUUUCCGCAUACUAAUAUCUCUACAACCCUAGCGUCACUGAACUUUAAGUGUGUAGACCCUACGGGUUCAGGAGACAUGCAGACAUGACCGAGACGACUCUCCGGUCAAUAACCAACAACGGGAUCUGGAUACCCAUGUUGGCUCCCACAUGUUCCACGAUGAUCUCAUCGGAUGAACCACGAUGUCGAGGAUUCAAUCAAUCCCGUAUACAAUUCCCUUUGUCAAUCGGUACGUUACUUGCCCGAGAUUCGAUCGUCGGUAUCCCAAUACCUUGUUCAAUCUCGUUACCGGCAAGUCACUUUACUCGUACCGUAAUACAUGAUCCCGUGACCAAACACCUGGUCACAUUGAGCUCAUUAUGAUGAUGCAUUACCGAGUGGGCCCAGAGAUACCUCUCCGUCAUACGGAGUGACAAAUCCCAGUCUCGAUCCGUGCCAACCCAACAGACACUUUCGGAGAUACCCGUAGUGCACCUUUAUAGCCACCCAGUUAUGUUGUGACGUUUGGCACACCCAAAGCACUCCUAUGGUAUCCGGGAGUUGCACAAUCUCAUGAUCUAAGGAAAUGAUACUUGACAUUUGGAAAAGCUCUAGCAAACGAACUACAUGAUCUUGUGCUAUGCUUAGGAUUGGGUCUUGUCCAUCACAUUAUUCUCCUAAUGAUGUGAUCCCGUUAUCAAUGACAUCCAAUGUCCAUAGUCAGGAAACCAUGACUAUCUGUUGAUCAACGAACUAGUCAACUAGAGGCUCACUAGGGACAUGUUGUGGUCUAUGUAUUCACACAUCUAUUACGAUUUCCGGAUAACACAAUUAUAGCAUGAACAAUAGACAAUUAUCAUGAACAAGGAAAUAUAAUAAUAACCAUUUUAUUAUUGCCUCUAGGGCAUAUUUCCAACAGUCUCCCACUUGCACUAGAGUCAAUAAUCUAGUUACAUUGUGAUGAAUCGAACACCCAUAGAGUUCUGGUGUUGAUCAUGUUUUGCUCUAGGGAGAGGUUUAGUCAACGGAUCUGCUACAUUCAGGUCCGUAUGUACUUUACAAAUAUCUAUGUCUCCAUUUUGAACAUUUUCACGAAUGGAGUUGAAGCGACGCUUGAUAUGCCUGGUCUUCCUAUGAAACCUGGGCUCCUUGGCAAGGGCAAUAGCUCCAGUGUUGUCACAGAAGAGAGUCAUCGGGCCCGACGCAUUGGGAAUAACUCCUAGGUCGGUAAUGAACUCCUUCACCCAGAUUGCUUCUUGUGCUGCCUCUGAGGCCGCCAUGUAUUUCGCUUCACAUGUAGAUCCCGCCACAAUGCUUUCCUUGCAACUGCACCAGCUUACUGCCCCACCAUUCAAAAUAUACGCGUAUCCGGUUUGUGACUUAGAUUCAUCCAGAUCUAUGUCGAAGCUAGCAUCGACGUAACCCUUUACGACGAGCUCUUCGUCACCUCCAUAAACGAGAAACAUAUCCUUAGUCCUCUUCAGGUACUUCAGGAUAUUCUUGACCGCUGUCCAGUGUUCCAUGCCGGGAUUACUUUGGUACCUUCCUACCAAACUUACGGCAAGGUUUACAUCAGGUCUGGUACACAGCAUGGCAUACAUAAUAGACCCUAUGGCCGAGGCAUAGGGGACGACACUCAUCUUUUCUCUAUCUUCUGCCGUGGUCGGGCAUUGAGUCGUGCUCAAUUGCACACCUUGCAAUACAGGCAAGAACCCCUUCUUGGACUGAUCCAUAUUGAACUUCUUCAAUAUCUUGUCAAGGUACGUACUUUGUGAAAGACCAAUGAGGCGUCUUGAUCUAUCUCUAUAGAUCUUGAUGCCUAAUAUAUAAGCGGCUUCUCCAAGGUCCUUCAUUGAAAAACACUUGUUCAAGUAGGCCUUUAUGCUUCCCAAGAAUUCUAUAUCAUUUCCCAUCAACAGUAUGUCAUCCACAUAUAAUAUGAGAAAUGCUACAGAGCUCCCACUCACUUUCUUGUAAACACAGGCUUCUCCAUAAGUCUGUGUAAACCCAAACGCUUUGAUCAUCUCAUCAAAUUGAAUGUUCCAACUCCGAGAUGCUUGCACCAGCCCAUAGAUGGAGCCCUGGAGCUUGCAUACCUUGUUAGCAUACUUAGGAUCGACAAAACCUUCCGGCUGCAUCAUAUACAAUUCUUCCUUAAGAAAGCCGUUAAGGAAUGCCGUUUUGACGUCCAUUUGCCAUAUCUCAUAAUCAUAGAAUGCGGCAAUUGCUAACAUGAUUCGGACGGACUUCAGCUUUGCUACGGGUGAGAAAGUCUCAUCGUAGUCAACCCCUUGAACUUGUCGAUAACCCUUAGCGACAAGUCGAGCCUUAUAGAUGGUCACAUUACCAUCCGCGUCUGUCUUCUUCUUAAAGAUCCAUUUAUUUUCUAUGGCUCGCCGAUCAUCGGGCAAGUCAGUCAAAGUCCAUACUUUGUUUUCAUGCAUGGAUCCUAUCUCGGAUUUCAUGGCUUCUAGCCAUUUGUCGGAAUCUGGGCCCGCCAUUGCUUCUUCAUAGUUUGAAGGUUCACCGUUGUCUAACAACAUGAUUUCCAGGACAGGGUUGCCAUACCACUCUGGUGUGGAACAUGUCCUCGUGGACCUACGAAGUUCAGUAGUAACUUGAUCCGAAGUACCUUGAUGAUCAUCAUUAACUUCCUCUCUAGUCAGUGCAGGCACCACAGGAACAUCUUCCUGAGCUGCGCUACUUUCCGGUUCAAGAGGUAGUACUUCAUCAAGUUCCACUUUCCUCCCGCUUACUUCUUUCGAGAGAAACUCUUUCUCCAGAAAGGACCCGUUCUUGGCAACAAAGAUCUUGCCUUCGGAUCUGAGGUAGAAGGUAUACCCAAUGGUUUCCUUAGGGUAUCCUAUGAAGACGCAUUUUUCCGACUUGGGUUUGAGCUUUUCAGGUUGAAGUUUCUUGACAUAAGCAUCGCAUCCCCAAACUUUUAGAAACGACAGCUUAGGUUUCUUCCCAAACCAUAAUUCAUACGGUGUCGUCUCAACGGAUUUCGACGGAGCCCUAUUUAAAGUGAAUGCGGCAGUCUCUAAAGCUUAGCCCCAAAAUGAGAGCGGUAGAUCGGUAAGAGACAUCAUAGAUCGCACCAUAUCCAAUAGAGUGCAAUUACGACGUUCGGACACACCAUUUCUCUGAGGUGUUCCAGGCGGCGUGAGUUGUGAAACUAUUCCACAUUUCCUUAAGUGUGUGCCAAAUUCGUGGCUCAAAUAUUCCCCUCCACGAUCUGAUCGUAAGAAUUUUAUUUUCCUGUCACGUUGAUUCUUAACCUCACUCUGAAAUUCCUUGAACUUUUCAAAGGUCUCAGACUUGUGUUUCAUUAGGUAGACAUACCCAUAUCUACUCAAGUCAUCAGUGAGAGUGAGAACAUAACGAUAGCCACCGCGAGCCUCAACACUCAUUGGACCGCAGACAUCAGUAUGUAUGAUUUCCAAUAAGUUGGUUGCUCGCUCCAUUGUUCCGGAGAACGGAGUCUUGGUCAUCUUACCCAUGAGGCACGGUUCGCACGUGUCGAAUGAUUCGUAAUCAAGAGACUCUAAAAGUCCAUCAGCAUGGAGCUUCUUCAUGCGCUUGACACCAAUGUGACCAAGACGGCAGUGCCACAAGUAUGUGGGACUAUCAUUAUCAACCUUACAUCUUUUGGUACUCACACUAUGAAUAUGUGUACCACUACGUUCGAGAUUCAUUAAGAAUAAACCAUUAACCAGCGGGGCAUGACCAUAAAACAUAUCUCUCAUAUAAAUAGAACAACCAUUAUUCUCGGAUUUAAAUGAGUAGCCAUCUCGAAUUAAACGAGAUCCUGAUACAAUGUUCAUGCUCAAAGCUGGCACUAAAUAACAAUUAUUGAGGUUUAAAACUAAUCCCGUAGGUCAAUGUAGAGGUAGCGUGCCGACGAUGAUCACAUCGACCUUGGAACCAUUCCCGACGCGCAUCGUCACCUCGUCCUUUGCCAGUCUCCGUUUAUUCCGCAGCUCCUGCUUUGAGUUACAAAUAUGAGCAACCGCACCGGUAUCAAAUACCCAGGAGCUACUACGAGUGCUGGUAAGGUACACAUCAAUAACAUGUAUAUCACAUAUACCUUUGGUGUUGCCGGCCUUCUUGUCCGCUAAGUACUUGGGGCAGUUCCGCUUCCAGUGACCAGUUCCCUUGCAAUAAAAGCACUCAGUCUCAGGCUUGGGUCCAUUCUUUGGCUUCUUCCCGGCAACUGGCUUACCGGGCGCGGCAACUCCCUUGCCGUCCUUCUUGAAGUUCUUCUUACCCUUGCCUUUCUUGAACUUAGUGGUUUUAUUCACCAUCAACACUUGAUGUUCCUUUUUUGAUCUCCACCUCCGCUGAUUUCAGCAUUGAAUAUACCUCAGGAAUGGUCUUUUCCAUCCCUUGCAUAUUUAAGUUCAUCACAAAGCUCUUGUAGCUCGGUGGAAGCGACUGAAGGAUUCUGUCAAUGACCGCGUCAUCCGGGAGAUUAACUCCCAGCUGAGUCAAGCGGUUGUGUAACCCAGACAUUUUGAGUAUGUGCUCACUGACAGAACUAUUUUCCUCCAUCUUACAACUGAAGAACUUGUCGGAGACUUCAUAUGUCUCGACCCGGGCAUGAGCUUGGAAAACCAUUUUCAGCUCUUCGAACAUCUCAUAUGCUCCGUGUUGCUCAAAACGCUUUUGGAGCCCCGGUUCUAAGUUGUAAAGCAUGCCGCGCUGAAUGAGGGAGUAAUCAUCAGCACGCUGCUGCCAAGCGUUCAUAACGUCUUGGUUCUCUGGGAUGGGUGCGUCACCUAGCGGUGCUUCUAGGACAUAAUCUUUCUUGGUAGCUAUGAGGAUGAUCCUCAGGUUCCGGACCCAGUCCGUAUAGUUGCUGCCAUCAUCUUUCAGCUUGGUUUUCUCUAGGAACGCGUUGAAGUUGAGGGCAACAUUAGCGUGGGCCAUUUGAUCUACAAGACAUAUUGUAAAGAUUUUAGACUAAGUUCAUGAUAAUUAAGUUCAUCUAAUCAAAUUAUUCAAUGAACUCCCACUCAGAUAGACAUCCCUCUAGUCAUCUAAGUGAAACAUGAUCCGAGUCAACUAGGCCGUGUCCGAUCAUCACGUGAGACGGACUAGUCAACAUCGGUGAACAUCUUCAUGUUGAUCGUAUCUUCUAUACGACUCAUGCUCGACCUUUCGGUCUUCCGUGUUCCGAGGCCAUGUCUGUACAUGCUAGGCUCAUCAAGUCAACCUAAGUGUAUUGCGUGUGUAAAUCUGGCUUACACCCGUUGUAUUCGAACGUUAGAAUCUAUCACACCCGAUUAUCACGUGGUGCUUCGAAACAACGAACCUUCGCAACGGUGCACAGUUAGGGGGAACACUUUCUUGAAAAUAUUGCGAGGGAUCAUCUUAUUUAAGCUACCGUCGUUCUAAGCAAAUAAGAUGUAAAACAUGAUAAACAUCACAUGCAAUCAAAUAGUGACAUGAUAUGGCCAAUAUCAUUUUGCUCCUUUUGAUCUCCAUCUUCGGGGCGCCAUGAUCAUCGUCGUCACCGGCAUGACACCAUGAUCUCCAUCAUCAUGAUCUCCAUCAUCGUGUCUUCAUGAAGUUGUCUCGUCAUUUAUUACUUCUACUACUAUGGCUAACGGUUUAGCAAUAAAGUAAAGUAAUUUAUAUGACGUUAUAUGUUGACACGCAGGUCAUAAAUAAAUUAAGACAACUCCUAUGGCUCCUGCCGGUUGUCAUGCUUAUCGAGAUGCAAGUCGUGAUUCCUAUUACAAGAACAUGAUCAAUCUCAUACAUCACAUAUAUCAUUCAUCACAUCCUUUUGGCCAUAUCACAUCACACGACAUAUGCUGCAAAAACAAGUUAGACGUCCUCUAAUUGUUGUUGCAAGUUUUUACGUGGCUGCUAUAGGUUUCUUAGCAAGAACGUUUCUUACCUACGCCAAAACCACAGCGUGAUAUGCCAAUUUCUAUUUACCCUUCAUCAGGACCCUUUUCAUCGAAUCUGAUCCGACUAAAGUGGGAGAGACAGACACCCGCUAGCCACCUUAUGCAACUAGUGCAUGUCAGUCGGUGGAACCUGUCUCACGUAAGCGUACGUGUAAGGUCGGUUCGGGCCGCUUCAUCCCACGAUGCCGCCGAAACAAGAUAAGACUAGUAGUGGCAAGAAAAUUGACAACAUCUACGCCCACAACAAGUUUGUGUUCUACUCGUGCAUAGAAACUACGCAUAGACCUAGCUCAUGAUGCCACUGUUGGAGAUCGUUGCAGAAAUUAAAAAAAUUCUACGCAUCACCAAGAACAAUCUAUGGAGUCUUCUAGCAACGAGAGGGAAAAGAGUGCAUCUACAUACCCUUGUAGAUCGUGAGCAGAAGCGUUCAAGUGAACGGGGUUGAUGGAGUCGUACUCGUCGUGAUCCAAAUCACCGAUGACCGAGCGCCGAACGGACGGCACCUCCGCGUUCAACACACGUACGGUUGGGGAAGACGUCUCCUCCUUCUUGAUCCAGCAAGGGGGAGGGAGAGGUUGAUAGAGAUCCAGCAGCACGACGGCGUGGUGGUGGAAGCAGCGGGGAUCUCGGCAGGGCUUCGCCAAGCUCAGCGAGAGGGAGAGGUGUCACGGGAGGGAGAGGGAGGCGCCAGGGGCUUGGGUGCGGCUGCCCUCCCUCCCCCCCUCUUUAUAUAGGGCCCCUGGGGGCGCGGCGGCCCUAGGAGAUCCAAUCUCCAAGGGGGGGGCGGCGGCCAAGGGGGUGGCUUGCCCCCCAAGCCAAGUGGGGCGCCCCCCACCCCUAGGGUUUCCAACCCUAGGCGCAGGGGGAGGCCCAAGGGGGGCGCACCAGCCCACCAGGGGCUGGUUCCCCUCCCACAUCAGCCCAUGGGGCCCUCCGGGAUAGGUGGCCCCACCCGGUGGACCCCCGGGACCCUUCCGGUGGUCCCGGUACAAUACCGGUGACUCCCGAAACUUUCCCGGUGGCCGAAACUGGACUUCCUAUAUACAAUUCUCCACCUUCGGACCAUUCCGGAACUCCUCGUGACGUCCGGGAUCUCAUCCGGGACUCCGAACAACUUUCGGAUUUCCGCAUACUAAUAUCUCUACAACCCUAGCGUCACCGAACCUUAAGUGUGUAGACCCUACGGGUUCGGGAGACAUGCAGACAUGACCGAGAUGACUCUCCGGUCAAUAACCAAAAGCGGGAUCUGGAUACCCAUGUUGGCUCCCACAUGUUCCACGAUGAUCUCAUCGGAUGAACCACGAUGUCGAGGAUUCAAUCAAUCCCGUAUACAAUUCCCUUUGUCAAUCGGUAUGUUACUUGCCCGAGAUUCGAUCGUCGGUAUCCCAAUACCUUGUUCAAUCUCGUUACCGGCAAGUCACUUUACUCGUACCGUAAUGCAUGAUCCCGUGACCAAACACCUGGUCACAUUGAGCUCAUUAUGAUGGUGCAUUACCGAGUGGGCCCAGAGAUACCUCUCCGUCAUACGGAGUGACAAAUCCCAGUGUCGAUUCGUGCCAACCCAACAGACACUUUCGGAGAUACCCGUAGUGCACCUUUAUAGCCACCCAGUUACGUUGUGACGUUUGGCACACCCAAAGCACUCCUAUGGUAUCCGGGAGUUGCACAAUCUCAUGAUCUAAGGAAAUGAUACUUGACAUUUGGAAAAGCUCUAGCAAACGAACUACACGAUCUUGUGCUAUGCUUAGGAUUGGGUCUUGUCCAUCACAUUAUUCUCCUAAUGAUGUGAUCCCGUUAUCAAUGACAUCCAAUGUCCAUAGUCAGGAAACCAUGACUAUCUGUUGAUCAACGAACUAGUCAACUAGAGGCUCACUAGGGACAUGUUGUGGUCUAUGUAUUCACACAUGUAUUACGAUUUCCGGAUAACACAAUUAUAGCAUGAACAAUAGACAAUUAUCAUGAACAAGGAAAUAUAAUAAUAACCAUUUUAUUAUUGCCUCUAGGGCAUAUUUCCAACAAUUCCCUCUUUCUAGUCCCACUCUUCUCCAACAGAGCUCCCUCACUGAGCGAGCAUUCAGCAUUCCUAGUAUGUUCCACUCAUUCUACGCCAAGCACCCAAUCACGGGAUCAGAAUCACACUCUAGAUCAUACCUUUCACGAAAGAAAAGGACAGGCAGCCACUGCUAAACCAAGAUCUCCAUCUCUUGACUCCGUCAAUCAAUCUUACCUUAUAGGGCAGAAAGGUAUAUUUACCAUACGAGAUGUGUGCACCUACUAAAGGGAAUAGAAAGAUCUUGGGCACAAAUACUCCACUUUUCACGAAAGACAUAGAUUCACCAAUGAUUGGUUGGACUAAAUACUACAUUUAUUUGCUCAGAAGAAGGAAAGUUGGCUGUGAGAAUGAUUUCUCGUACGUAGUCUUUCCUAGGACCAUUCCAACAGGAUGCUCAGAGGUGGGUGGACAAAAAGCUCAAAAGGCAUACUUCCUGCGCUUUCAGAGGAUCUAAAUCAGUCUUCAUCCUUUCGCUUUUCAAAGCCCCUCGCAAUAAAUAUGUAAAUUCGUUUCGCAGAAAUUCAGAGAUUUUCGAUCUCCUCGAAAUAAAAUGAGUUCGAUCAGCAACACCGGUCUCAGCAGCACCAGGAUAAAGACCUUCUUUUUACCCAUAACCUUUCUCUGCAGCAUUGGAACCAAGAUCGGGCUUGGCAUAGUUACGAGGUUCCCGUUCUAUUUAACUAACACUAACUGAAGCUAACCGGAAGCUUUCUUCUCAUGCGACUCUUGGAUCGAAAAGAGGCUGCUGGACUGGACCACGGCUGAAACUGCCAGGCACGGACUAAAAGCUUUUAUCAGGGAUUCCCGAGUCAAACGACUACCAUACAUAGCAUAGAGCUGGAAGCUGCACUAGUGUACAGAGAAGACUGGAUGUGAACACGGGCGGACAUUGGCUAUGUAUGGGGCACUCACUAAUCACUAUUAGCAGGAAAGAACUAGCAGAAAGAAAGAUGAACGCACUUUCACUCCUUGCUCUUCAGCACGUACUCACACGAGGGACUCUCAAAUCUCUAUUUCAGACCAUAAUCUUUCUAUCCCUUUACCGAAGUGAUUGAUAGCAGGGCUAAAAAAUCAUAGGGCUUCUUCUAUUUUUAGUGUGAACUCACUUCUAUUCUAUAUAAAGAUAGGGGCUUCAGUACUUGGCUGACCGCCCGGUGGAAGACCUGAUUCUACCACACAAGGGCAGCUUUCGUAAUCCAGGAUUAUUUUCCUCAUAUGUAAUUUCACCUCAAUGUGGAAAUGUCCGAUCUUAUUCCAAAAUAGAAGGUCUUCAUGAAGGUCUGUCUUGUUUCGGGAAUAUAGGUACCGAAGUUCAAUAGCGGUAGGUACCAAGGAGAAGACGAGUCAGGGCCGAUUGACAAGACUAGCUAGGCUGACCUUCCAGCCAUACUCCAUCCAAUAUCGAACGGAAGUGCUAAAGGUUUCAUGUGAUGCUGACCUCAAUGAACCAGACCUCGAGAAUUCGUUCAUCCCUUCGCUCCGAGGAUUGGUCGAGUACUUGGCCACAUGCAUGAGUAGGCCUGUUGCCGGGAUGUCCCAUUAAAAAGGCAGGUCCCAUAUUUGAAAUACAAAAAUAAGAUCAGAUAGCGCUCAAGAGGUUUUUCUCCAUACGAGAAAUCCUUCACUCGCAGGGAAUUCAAAUAGAUGUGUUGAAGAUCAUCAAAGAAAGGAGAAGACUAAGCAGCUCAAUAGGGUCUCGAGUACGACUGUAGUACCAAAGCUUGGUGCUUCUACCAGUCAAGCAAUUACCACGGGUGGAUAUUCAAUAGAAAGCCUACUUGAGUAGGUCAAACAACGGGGAUCUCUCAGUUCCAAUGGCUGGAUCUCAGAAUCACGUAGAUGGGUAGAAGUAAUGGGCAAACGCACCUAAGUUAGAGAUUUCCACUACUACGGUAGUGAUGGGGUGCCUGUUUACCUAAGUAGGCCUAGUUCUUUCUAUAAUGAGCAUUCGCGUCCGGGGACUUUGAUCCAACUUCAGCUGAUGGGGAAACGGCAAGGGAUGCACCGGUAUCUGGACACGUGAUGGACCCAGUAGUAAAUAUUCCUUUGUGGAAGGCUUUGGUUAUACCUGGGUGGCAAAGCGAAGUUUCUGGUGGGUAGGUGUCUAAAACAACCCUCUGCAAGGAAGCACGCCCGUAUCAAUCCUUUAAUCGGAGACUAGACUAGCGUUAGGAAGGACAAAGGAGACAGACAGAAUUUACAUCAGAAAAAAGGACUUUUUGAAGUUUGAGUGAGGAUAAUUGUCUUAAAUUUCAGAGAAUCGGCUGAAAAAACGCGGAAUUGUCUUCGCCUUUGUAAGCGAAAAUGUCCAGUAAAGCCUAUCUCGCUUUUAGCCUUCAUGGUGAAUGGCCCACCCUUUCUUUGAACCUUGUCAAUGAUCGAACGAACUUACAAAUAUGAACUGAGUGCCAUUUGAUGAGUAAGAUCGAACAAGGGAGAGGGAUAUGGAAAGGAUGAAGUAAUGAAAGAGGAAGUCAUUGCUAGUAGUAACGACUUGUCACGAUCCAUUGGUUCAUAUAGAAUCCAUGUCCUAGGUCUAUCAAAAAACAUUCUUUUCGCUAAGCGUAUAUAAUAAAAUAGAGUGAAAGGGUCCACCCCAAAACCAAGGGGGUACUAACUAAUAGCUGAGUCCUCUCCGAACCGCAGGAGAUAGUUGCCCAUCAUACGGCUCACCAACUUCACUUGCCUCUAAGGGGGGCCCGCUCCGGGCAGGUUCGGAUCACUUACUAUACACGGCCCUACGAAGGGGUUAGGAGCGUUUUCAAGAUGAUUCUUUCCUUGUCGAGACGAAAAAGGAACCCAUCUUUUCGAUUGAAAAAUGUGAGUCUGUUUUGCCCACUUUAUCCAUCCCCCUCUAUCAAAAUGAUCAAAAAGGCAUUUCAAAUGCUUCUUAUUCCCGUGUUUGAUCUUAUCCAUCUCUGCCCCGCUUCCAUGUGGGCAGAGACCCCUGUAGAGAAUGAAGAGGAGCCAAGGAUCUUACUCUCAAGAGUGCUUCGAUAGGCUCCACUCUCUCCCCUGAAUAAGUCAGGCUCCGUUAGCCUGGGCUGAGAUGGGGAUAACGAGUCGACAAUUGAAGCCCCCAAUGUUCUGCCAGACACUGGACAGGGGUAAGCUCUGUAAAUGUGUAGAGCCAAGUGUAGUGUGGUGUAGUAGUAGGCACUUCUAGGCCCCUUCCCGGCUUCUGGAUCACUCCAGUGCUUCGGGUACUACGGACCCUCUGCCAUGCAUUGCAGCAGAGCCGUUUCAUGAGNNNNNNNNNNNNNNNNNNNNNNNNNNNNNNNNNNNNNNNNNNNNNNNNNNNNNNNNNNNNNNNNNNNNNNNNNNNNNNNNNNNNNNNNNNNNNNNNNNNNNNNNNNNNNNNNNNNNNNNNNNNNNNNNNNNNNNNNNNNNNNNNNNNNNNNNNNNNNNNNNNNNNNNNNNNNNNNNNNNNNNNNNNNNNNNNNNNNNNNNNNNNNNNNNNNNNNNNNNNNNNNNNNNNNNNNNNNNNNNNNNNNNNNNNNNNNNNNNNNNNNNNNNNNNNNNNNNNNNNNNNNNNNNGGGGGGGCUAAGCGCAGUUCUUUGAAUCAAAGGUUUCAUGAAAUCGAAAUCGAUUCUUUUUUAGAUAUCUGGAUAGAUGGAUGGAUCUAUCUUUCUAUUCAGAUAUCUUUUGCAAUCAGCCCCAAAUCCUUGAUUUGGCCAGGAAACAAAGCACUGCUUUGGGCCCAGGAAGCGAAGGGAAUGAGCUCGGCUGCUUCUCCCCCACACUUCUUUAUUUCUCCAUGCCCCUUCCGCAUGCGCUUCGCGUGCCAUUGGCGCUUUUCUCUCCUCUUAUUUCUUCAUUGGAGGGUUUGGAUGGACUUCGCUGUUCUUUCCCAACGAAAAUGGAAAGGGCUGUAUCACAUCGAGAUGUCGAUUCGUUUUCCGCCCCAAAUGAGAUGGGGAAUUAGUCACCUCUGUCCCUUCAUCUUUUUGAAAGGAAUCGAGGCCCGUCCCGGCUCGUGUCGUUCCAACAACCGACGGGGAGCACCUCAGUAUACGAUCGCGCGCAGUAACUGGGAGUCCUAUUACACCUAAGGCCAACUUCCAUUCACCAAACCCAGGUUCAUCUCGUGUAGUGAUUGUGGACUCGUACAAGGAUAUGGAGUCGACGGUUGAUGUAUCAGACUCGACCCUGUCUUUCGUAGCAUGCAUUCCCAUCUGUGUUGCAACUGAUUCGGUAAGCUACGUGUCUCGUGCAUGGAAAACUGCCUUCGGUCUCCCAACCUUACUCAUGGCAACCUUCCGGCCGCCCAACGACCUAUAACGCUAGUCACUACUCCCACUAGGGCUAGGAAGUAAGCCCCACAACCCAAAGCGGCGAAGAACAAAUAGAAUUUGCUACAAAAGCCGGCUAACGGGGGUAUUCCUGCGUAUGAGAACAUUGUAAUGGAGAAGGUCAUAGCCGAAAUAGGAUUCGUUUUGGCUAGAGCGCCCAAAUCCGCUAUAUAUUUGACACGGGUUUGCCGUAAUGCUGGAACUAUGGCGAAUGCAUCUAUCGUCAUUGAUGCAUAAAUAAAUAUACCAAUUAGUAGUGAUUGAAUUCCUUCUAUGGUUCCACAUGAGAAACCAGUACGAAUAUAACCUACAUGUCCAAUCGAACUAUGAGCUAGAGGUCUUUUGACUUUCAUUUGGGCCAUGGCGGCCAGUGCUCCUAAGAUCAUAGAAGCAAUGCUGCAGAAAAAGAAGAUUUGUUGUAAUGUACCCCCAUAGGAAGCAACAAUAGAAACACGUGACAUAUUUGCAGAAAUAGAGAUUUUAGGCGCAAUAGAAAGGAAUGCUAUCACCGGGGUGGGUGAACCCUCAUAGAUAUCAGGUGCCCACAUAUAUAGAGUCAAAAGAGAGAUUGAGUCCGAGGGAGAGGGGGGGGGUUUCUUGGGGCUCAAGAGAUUGAAUAGAUAGGGCCCCACAAGUUGUUAAUUCGCCCCUGGGGAAUUCACACAAAAGGGAAGGACUUAUUCUCAACGAAAAAAGUGCUCUCUGAACCGAACGUGAAAGUUGUUUUCCAUCAGACGGCUGUUCAUGUAACUCCACUCUCGGCUUGGAUUAUAUAUCCAUUUGGUCCGCUCUCGGCCAUUCCACAUGCUGCCUAGCAGAGACAUGGUUAUCUGAAGUGGAUUCUCUCUGUUGUAGUAGAUGCCGAACCUGCUGCUCAGUGGGCUGGCGCAGCCGCUACAUGGACCCCUUUCUUUAUGUUGUUGCCAGCGCUUUCCCGGGCCGAGCCGGAAUUCUUUAUUAGAACGUCGGCAGGCAAAGCCCGAAGGAAGGCUGUUAUCCCCUCGGCCUUCUUCCUUUUCGAUGAAAAACAAAUCGACAUCUCAAUCUCCGAAAGCGUUUUCCUUACCCAGCUAAUAUCCCCCCUUCGUCGAGCCUUUCCUUUAGUGGUAAGGGAUAUGCACCUUAUCUGAACGUCGGCAGGCAUUCCGGAAUUCUCCUUUUUUGGCCUCGGGUGAACAUAGGCUCAAACAUGAUUGGAGGGGUCCUAGCUACGCCAUGCGUUCAAUAAAAAAAAGCAAGCCUCUGGGAAGCUGCAGGGAUUACAAAAAGAGGGUGCUUUCCUGUGUUGCACCAAAAAAAGGACAAAGGAGAAGACGCUCUUCGACUUUCUUUCUUCCUCCCGCGCCUGCCUAAGCCCGGCCCGCGUUAGAGGGGAAGAUUAGCAAAGCGGAAAAAGACAGAGGGAGGGGGAGCUGCAUCUUAUUCUCUUCGCGAGAACUUCAGGAUCGGAGAAGCAUUCGGAAGGGGCGAGGCCUUCAUUUCGUUGGCAGAAGCAGAAACGAUCCAAUCCAUUCAGGGCUUCGGGGAACCCAAAAACGAACUCUGUUUACUUUUUUCAUAGAUAGAUGAUAUAUAUAGGAAUAAUAUAUACAUCCCUUUACUUUAGAUGUCUAUGUAUCUAUUUUGGAAUCAUCUCCCGAUUCUCGUUUUUUUCUAAUUCGCACUGCUCUUUCUCUCUAAAUUGCAUCAAAUAAAAUAGAGAGAGAGAGCAGAUGGAUCCUAUCCCCUAUAACGAACACUCAUUCCUAUCUAUUGAUAGAAAAGAAAGAUCUUCGUCACGGACUUUUCCUUUGUUCUUUUUUUUAGAUUGGAGGAAUUCCUCAUAUCCAAGGCAGCUCCCCACAAACACCCCACCCAUAUGACUAUGCCCCCUUUUGAAUCGACAGUAGAUUGGGCUUCAUAGCUACUUUCAUUCUAAAGACGAAUAUUAGUCAAUAGGCGGGCUUCUUUCAGUAGCAAACAUAUUCAUUUUCACCGGGCUCCGCGCACCUUUGGUACUUCUGGAGGGCAAGCAGUUUUAUAGUGACUUCUUUCUUAGGGUAGGGCGACGAAUACUUCCAAUUCCGGAAAGGUCAUUGGGUCGCCUUUGGAAGCUAAAGCGAAAGUUGUAGAAAGCCGGGAGAAAAAGCGAAAGCUUGCUCGACACGGCCUGUACCCUAACCCUCGGAAGCGAAGACGCAAAGCGUCACUUUUUUCAAAAGGAAGGAGUUUUUUCUGACUGAAUCCAUCCAUAAAGCCGCCAAGGAAACGAAGUUCAUUCCCUUUCAUCAAGUGGGUAAGGUAGGCAAACCACUUAAGCUUUGCCUUAGACUGACGGAACAAAGCUAAGAAGUAGGCUGAAUGGAAAAAGGAAAGGGACAAGGGCGGUCAUCGCUUGGCGCGAAGGCUGCUGGUUCGGUACGGUACUAAAGGUCCUCGGACUUCCAGGCGGUUUUUCUUUUGGGCUGCUGUGAACCCUUGGAUCUCGCCAAUACAGCCUCCUAUGGUUUUCGUUACCGAGAUAUCUUUUCUUUUUUCCCAGGGUUUUUUGGGUAAUCAGCUCCCAUGCUGCAAACAGUCAAAUCUGAACCUUGUCGCUCUUCUUUCCUCGUGGGCAGGAAGCACACCAGCAGCGUGCGUUGCGUGAUUCCACUGUGUUUUUUGCACUUGACUGGGUGGACAGUUGACCGAAAGAUAACUUCGAUUUGCCCGGCCAGCAGGCGGGCGGCGUGCUUAUCUUGUGUGACAACACUACAGAGCGAGUAGCUCUUCUAGUCGGGCAGCUGUGUGACAACACUCCUGAGAAAGCGGCGCUUUUGUGUAACAUGCUAUGGUCUCAACGCCCUUACGAGGUAGUGAUGAGUUUCACGCGCUCUAAGACCGGCCCGCGUGCAGUGAGGAGGAUUGGCCGCUAUCUGAGCGGUACCACCCACCCUACCCUACUACCUAUAGGGGGUCGUCCGUCCUACAGCCGCCCGAAAAGGAACUGCAGUAAUCUUGAAUAGGAAUCCUACAGCGAUAAAAAGAAUCCCCAUAAAAAUACCACUAGAUCGAGCACCAGUGAUUUCGUAUCCGGUCAAAAUCUUGGCUAAUUGAUCGAAGUGGGUAGCUCCAGUAGACCCAUAGAUCAUGGAACAAAUAGGGUGGGUAGGCCCAACCACCACACUACACGUAUAGACGUGAACCCCCCCCCCCUCCUUACCGUACGUGCGACUCUCACCGCAUACGGCUCGCACAAAGACUCCAAAAUCCAUCCCGAGCUUUUUAUUCCACCUCUCCCUCCUCUCCAAUCCUUGAUCAAACUAGCCUUCCCCAGCAAGAAAACGUAUCCGUUUUAGCAACAAAGCGCUCAUCCCUUGCUUGUUCUUGAGCGCGCAAGGCGCUCAAGAUGGUGAUUCUUGCUUAAAAAAGGGCUAGAGCACUCCAGCUUCGAAGCUGGAGUUUGCAACUUCAAAACUACAGGUUUUAGCCCUCCUGCUGGGUGGGCGCUUCCUUCAUCUAUCGUAUGUCUCGCUUGGCUUCGUCUCGAACCAAGGAGGCAUGAUGGCGGGCGCGUGCAUGUGCCAACUGCAGAGACUACAAGCCGACGCCGGAAGCGACUCGCUUCUAUUCUCGAUUGGAUAUAGAUGGGGAAUCUCUAUAGAUCGUCUUUUUUCGACAACCUCUCUAAAACGCAUACGAGAAAAUUGCACUUCACGGCACGGCAAAAAAAGAGCUUCGCUCGGUUGGCCCUCCUAGGCUUCUGCCUACUUUCUCUUCUCUUAAGUCUACAACAAGUGGGAGAGGCAGGAUUCGAACCUACGUAGAAAACCUUCAACAGAUUUACAGUCUGUCGCUUUUGACCGCUCGGCCACUCUCCCCUUCCCGGGGAUACGCCCUCCUCAAACAAAGGGUUCCUGAAUAAGAAGGAUGGCGGCCUUCAUUCUUAAGUUAAGAAGAGCAGAUGGAACUAUUAGAUUUGCUCGCGUUCCGGGAGAAUAAAUAAGGUCAUUUAGUAAGUUCAUAACAAUUUAUGUAAAGCAAGGGGCAAAGAUUCUACGACAGCUUCCCCCUCAUUGCCAUCGUCGGCCUUCCCCAGCUCCCCUCCUUCGUCGCUUCUGGCUAAGCAUCUUUUGGCAGAGGAAAGGAGGCGACUAGUCGCUUCUGGCGAAGCAGCGAGUUCAUGAGCAAGUGAAUGAACGAGCAGCGAGUGAAGUGCAAUAGUCGUAAGUAAGGCUCGCCAUGUUCCUAAAAGGAGUGACCAUCUUUUCUUCCCUUCUACUGACACUGAGCGAGCAGCAAGCAUAGGCAAUAGUUUCCGUAGGGGUGGGGCGCAAGCAAGCGUUUUCAGGCUCCGCUAGCUAGCGUACUCUUCUGCUAUCAAUGAAACCGAAAGAAAAAAAUCAGUGCCCUUUCGUAUAGAUCGAGACGCAGUACUUUUUCUUUACUUCUUCCAUACUAGGAAGAAUGGAAGGAAAUCCUUCGAUAACACUUCUUUCUUAUUUGAAGAAAUGAUAUCCGACGCCCGUGGAAACUCUUUCAUUUCAAAAAAGUUCUUCUUCUUAAGAAGCAGAUAGCAUUUCCUAUUGAUUUGUCCCCUGGACUAGACCUAUGUAGAUUUGGAAUUAUCCGUCGCUACGCUGUUCCCAAGGACUAGCAAAAUCGAAAUAGCGAAAUUCUUGGGUCAUCUCAAUGGGUUCAGUGAAAGACGCUAACCGAAUAGUUAGAGAUGCCGCAAGCAAAGAUCAUAUAGCCUAAUUGACUGCAAGUUGAAUAAGCUAUGACCCUCUUUAGAUCGUUCUGUAAUAUUCCAGUGGUUGCCGCAAGGAAUGACGUCAUAUGCGCAUAGUGCUUGGUUUUUGAUGACUUGUAGAUUUUUGCAAUAAGUAUGUGCGUUCUUUAUGACUAAUGUUGAGUCCAUGGAUUAUACGCACUCUCACCUUCCAUCAUUGCUAGCCUCUUCGGUACCGUGCAUUGCCCUUUCUCACCUUGAGAGUUAGUGCAAACUUCGCCGGUGCAUCCAAACCCCGUGAUAUGAUACGCUCUAUAACACAUAAACCUCCUUAUAUCUUCCUCAAAACAGCCACCAUACCUACCUAUUAUGGCAUUUCCAUAGCCAUUCCGAGAUAUAUUGCCAUGCAACUUUCCACUGUUCCGUUUAUUAUGACACGCAUCAUCAUUGUCAUUGUCAUAUUGCCUUGCAUGAUCAUGUAGUUGACAUCGUAUUUGUGGCAAAGCCACCGUUCAUAAUUCUUUCAUACAUGUCACUCAUGAGUCAUUGCCCAUCCCGGUACACCGCCGGAGGCAUUCAUAUAGUCAUACUUUGUUCUAGUAUCGAGUUGUAAUCUUUGAGUUGUAAAUAAAUAGAAGUGUGAUGAUCAUCAUUAAUAGAGCAUUGUCCCCAAAAAAGGCCAAAAAAAGAAAGGCCAAAUAAAAAAAGAAAAAAAAAAGAAAAAAAGAGAAAUAAAAAGGGACAACGCUACUAUCCUUUUUCCACACUUGUGCUUCAAAGUAGCACCAUGAUCUUUAUGAUAGAGAGUUUCUUGUUUUGUCACUUUCACAUACAAGUGGGAAUUUUUCAUUAUAGAACUUGGCUUGUAUAUUCCAACAAUGGGCUUCCUCAAAUGCCCUAGGUCUUCGUGAGCAAGCAAGUUGGAUGCACACCCACUUAGUUUCUUUUGUUGAGCUUUCAUACAUUUAUAGCUCUAGUGCAUCCGUUGCAUGGCAAUUCCUACUCCUUGCAUUGACAUCAAUCGAUGGGCAUCUCCCUAGCCCGUUGAUUAGCCGCGUCGAUGUGAGACUUUCUCCUUUUUUGUCUUCUCCACAUAACCCCCAUCAUUAUAUUCUAUUCCACCCAUAGUGCUAUGUCCAUGGCUCACGCUCAUGUAUUGCGUGAAAGUUGAAAAAAGUUUGAGGUUACUAAAGUAUGAAACAAUUGCUUGGCUUGUCAUCGGGGUUGUGCAAGAUGAGAGCAUUCUUGUGUGACGAAAAUGGAGCAUGACCAAACUAUAUGAUUUUGUAGUGAACUUUCUUUAGCCAUGUUAUUUUGAGAGGACAUGAUUACUUUGUUAGUAUGCUUGAAGUAUUACUAUCUCUUAUGUCAAUAUGAACUUUUAUUUUGAAUCAUUUGGAUCUGAACAUUCAUGCCACAAUAAAGAAAAUUACAUUGAGAAAUAUGCUAGGUAGCAUUCCACAUCAAAAAUUCUGUUUUUAUCAUUUACCUACUCGAGGACGAGCAGGAAAUAAGCUUGGGGAUGCUUGAUACGUCUCCAACAUAUGUAUAAUCUUUGAUUGUUCCAUGCUAUUAUAUUACCUGUUUUGGAUGUUUAUGCGCUUUACUUUACACUUCUAUAUCAUUUUUGGGACUAACCUACUAACCGGAGGCCCAGCCCAAAUUGUUGUUUUCUUGCCUAUUUCAGUGUUUCGAAGAAAAGGAAUAUCAAACGGAGUCCAAACGGAAUGAAACCUUCGGGAGAGUUAUUUUUGGAACGGAAGCAAUCCAGGAGACUUAGAGUGUACGUCAGGGAAGCAACGAGGUGGCCACGAGGUAGGGAGGCGCGCCUGCCCCCUGGGCGUGCCCCCACCCUUGUGGGCCCCUCGUGGCUCCCCUGACCGACUUCUUUCGCCUAUAUAUAUCCAUAUACCCUAAAAACAUCGGGGAACAGAAUAGAUCGGGAGUUCCGCCGCCGCAAGCCUCUGUAGCCACCAAAAACCAAUCGGGACCCUGUUCCGGCACCCUGCCGGAGGGGGGAUCCCUCACGGUGGCCAUCUUCAUCAUCCCGGCGCUCUCCAUGACGAGGAGGGAGUAGUUCACCCUCGGGGCUGAGGGUAUGUACCAGUAGCUAUGUGUUUGAUCUCUCUCUCUCUCGUGUUCUUGAGGUGGUACGAUCUUGAUGUAUCGCGAGCUUUGCUAUUAUAGUUGGAUCUUAUGAUGUUUCUCCUCCUCUACUCUCUUGUAAUGGAUUGAGUUUUCCCUUUGAAGUUAUCUUAUUGGAUUGAGUCUUUAAGGAUUUGAGAACACUUGAUGUAUGUCUUGCAUGUGUUUAUCUAUGGUGACAAUGGGAUAUCACGUGAUUCUCUUGAUGUAUGUUUUGGUGAUCACCUUGCGGGUUCCGUGACCUCGUGAACUUAUGCAUUGGGGUUGGCACACGUUUUCGUCUUGACUCUCCGGUAGAAACUUUGGGGCACUCUUUGAAGUUCUUUGUGUUGGUUGAAUAGAUGAAUCUGAGAUUGUGUGAUGCAUAUCGUAUAAUCAUACCCACGGAUACGAGGUGACAUUGGAGUAUCUAGGUGACAUUAGGGUUUUGGUUGAUUUGUGUCUUAAGGUGUUAUUCUAGUAUGAAGUCUAUGAUAGAUUGAACGGAAAGAAUAGCUUCGUGUUAUUUUACUACGGACUCUUGAAUAGAUCGAUCAGAAAGGAUAACUUUGAGGUGGUUUCGUACCCUACAAUAAUCUCUUCGUUUGUUCUCCGCUAUUAGUGACUUUGGAGUGACUCUUUGUUGCAUGUUGAGGGAUAGUUAUAUAAUCCAAUUAUGUUAUUAUUGUUGAGAGAACUUGCACUAGUGAAAGUAUGAACCCUAGGCCUUGUUUCCUAAUAUUGCAAUAUCGUUUGUGCUCACUUUUAUCAUUAGUUACCUUGCUGUUUUUAUAUUUUUCAGAUUACAAAAACCUAUAUCUACCAUCCAUAUUGCACUUGUAUCACCAUCUCUUCGCCGAACUAGUGCACCUAUACAAUUUACCAUUGUAUUGGGUGUGUUGGGGACACAAGAGACUCUUUGUUAUUUGGUUGCAGGGUUGUUUGAGAGAGACCGUCUUCAUCCUACGCCUCCCACGGAUUGAUAAACCUUAGGUCAUCCACUUGAGGGAAAUUUGCUACUGUCCUACAAACCUCUGCACUUGGAGACCCAACAACAUCUACAAGAAGAAGGUUGUGUAGUAGACAUCAGCACACAAGGUGUUCCUCUGGUAUUCGGGAGUUGCAUAAUCUCAUAGUCUGAGGAACAUGUAUAAGUCAUGAAGAAAGCAGCAGCAAUGAAACUGUAACGAUCAUAAUGCUAAGCUAACGAAUGGGUCUUGUCCAUCACAUCAUUCUCCUAAUGAUGUGAUCCUUUUCAUCAAAUGACAACACAUGUCUAUGGUUAGGAAACAUAACCAUCUUUGAUAAACGAGCUAGUCAAGUAGAGGCAUACUAGGGACACUUUGUUUUGUCUAUGUAUUCACACAUGUACCAAGUUUCCAGUUAAUACAAUUCUAGCCUGAAUAAUAAACAUUUAUCAUGAAAUAAGGAAAUAAAUAAUAACUUUAUUAUUGCCUCUAGGGCAUAUUUCCUUCAGUCUCCCACUUGCACUAGAGUCAAUAAUCUAGUUCACAUCGCCAUGUGAUUUAACACCAAUAGUCACCAUGUGAUUAACACUCAUAGUUCACAUUGCCAUGUGACCAACACUCAAAGGGUUUACUAGAGUCAGUAAUCUUAGUUCACAUCGCCAUGUGAUUAACACCCAAAGAGUACUAAGGUGUGAUCAUGUUUUGCUUGUGAGAGAAGUUUAGUCAACGGGUCUGCCAUAUUCAGAUCCAUAUGUAUUUUGCAAGUUGCUAUGUCAACAAUGCUCUGCACGGAGCUACUCUAGCUAAUUGCUCCCACUUUCAAUAUGUAUCUAGAUCAAGACUUAGAGUCAUCCAGAUCGGUGUCAAAGCUUGCAUCGACGUAACUCUUUACGACGAACCUUUUGUCACCUCCAUAAUCGAGAAACAUAUCCUUAUUCCACUAAGGAUAAUUUUGACCGCUGUCCAGUGAUCUACUCCUAGAUCACUAUUAUACUCCCUUGCCAAACUCAAUGUAGGGUAUACAAUAGAUCUGGUACACAGCAUGGCAUACUUUAUAGAACCUAUGGUUGAGGCAUAGGGAAUGACUUUCAUUCUCUUUCUAUCUUCUGCCGUGGUCGGGCUUUGAGUCUUACUCAAUUUCACACCUUGCAAUACAGGCAAGAACUCCUUCUUUGACUAUUCCAUUUUGAACUACUUCAAAAAUUUGUCAAGUUAUGUACUCAUUGAAAAAACUUAUCAAGCGUCUUGAUCUAUCUCUAUAGAUCUUGAUGCUCAAUAUGUAAGCAGCUUCAUCGAGGUCUUUCUUUGAAACACUCCUUUCAAACACUCAUUUUAUGCUUUCCAGAAAAUUCUACAUCAUUUCCGAUCAACAAUAUGUAAUUCACAUAUACUUAUCAGAAAGGUUGUAGUGCUCCCAUUCACUUUCUUGUAAAUACAGGCUUCAUCGCAAGUCUGUAUAAAACUAUAUGCUUCGAUCAACUCAUCAAAGCAUAUAUUCCAACUCUGAGAUGCUUUGCACCAGUCCAUGGAUGGAUCGCUGGAGCUUGCACAUUUUGUUAGCACCUUUAGGAUAAACAAAACCUUCUGGUUGCAUCAUAUACAACUCUUCUUUAAGAAAUACAUUAAGGAAUGCAAUUCACAUCCAUUUGCCAGAUUUCAUAAAAUGUGGCAAUUUGCUAACAUGAUUCGGACAGACUUAAGCAUCGCUACGAGUGAGAAAAUCUCAUCGUAGUCAACACCUUGAACUUGUCGAAAACCUUUCGCGACAAGUCGAGCUUUGUAGAUAGUAACACUACCAUCAGCGUCCGUCUUCCUCUUGAAGAUCCAUUUAUUCUCAAUGGCUUGCCGAUCAUCGGGCAAUUCCACCAAAGUCCAUUUGUUUUCAUACAUGGAUCAUAUCUCAGAUUUCAUGGCCUUAAACCAUUUUGCGGAAUCUGGGCUCAUCAUCACUUCCUCAUAGUUCGUAGGUUCGUCAUGGUCUAGUAACAUGACUUGCAGAACCGGAUUACCAUACCACUCUGGUGCGGAACGUACUCUGGUUGACCUACGAGGUCGGUAGUAACUUGAUCUGAUGUUUCAUGAUCAUCAUCAUUAACUUCCUCACUAAUUGGUGUAGGCAUUACUGGAACUGAUUUAUGUGAUGAACUACUUUCCAAUUCGGGAGAAGGUACAAUUACCUCAUCAAGUUCUACUUUCCUCCCACUCACUUCUUUCGAGAGAAACUCCUUCUCUAGAAAGUAUCCAUUUUUAGCAACGAAUAUCUUGCCUUCGGAUCUGUGAUAGAAGGUGUACCCAACAGUUUCCUUUGGGUAUCCUAUGAAGACACAUUUCUCUGAUUUGGGUUCGAGCUUAUCAGGUUGAAACUUUUUCACAUAAGCAUCGCCGCCCCAAAAUUUAAGAAACGACAGCCUAGGUUUCUUGCCAAACCAGUUCAUAUGUUGUCGUCUCAAUGGAUUAGAUGGUGCCCUAUUUAAUGUGAAUGCAGUUGUCUCUAAUGCAUAACCCCAAAACGAUAGAGGUAAAUCAGUAAGAGACAUCAUAGAUCGCACCAUAUCUAAUAAAGUGUGGUUACGACGUUCGGACACACCAUUACGCUGUGGUGUUCCGGGUGGCGUGAGUUGCGAAACUAUUCCGCAUUGUUUCAAAUGAAGACCAAACUCGUAACUCAAAUAUUCUCCUCCACGAUCAGAUCGUAGAAACUUUAUUUUUCUUGUUACGAUGAUUUUCUACUUCAGUCUGAAAUUCUUUGAACUUUUCAAAUGUUUCAGACUUAUGUUUCAUUAAGUAGAUAUACCCAUAUCUGCUCAAAUCAUCUGUGAAGGUCAGAAAAUAACAAUACCCGCCGCGAGCCUCAACACUCAUCGGACCACAUACAUCAGUAUGUAUUAUUUCCAAUAAGUCAGUUGGUCGCUCCAUUGUUCCCGAGAAUGGAGUCUUAGUCAUCCUGCCCAUGAGGCAUGGUUCGCAAGCAUCAAGUGAUUCAUAAUCAAGUGAUUCCAAAAGCCCAUCAGCAUGGAGUUUCUUCAUGUGCUUUACACCAAUAUGACCUAAACGGCAGUGCCACAAAUAAGUUGCACUAUCAUUAUUAGCUUUGCAUCUUUUGGCUUCAAUAUUAUGAAUAUGUGUAUCACUAAGAUCGAGGUUCAAUAAACCAUUUAUAUUGAAUGUAUGACCAUAGAAGGUUUUAUUCAUAUAAAUAGAACAACAAUUAUUCUUUGACUUAAAUGAAUAACUGUAUUGCAAUAAACAUGAUCCAAUCAUAUUCAUGCUCAACGCAAACACCAAAUAACAUUUAUUUUAGGUUCAAUAUUAAUCCCGAAGGUAAAGGGAGUGUGCGAUGGUGAUCUUGUCAACCUUGGAAUCACUUCCAACACCCAUCAUCACCUUGCCCUUAACUAGUCUCUGUUUAUUUUGCAACUCCCGUUUCAAGUUACUAAUCUUAGCAACUGAACUAGUAUCAAAUACCGAGGGAUUGCUAUAAACACUAGUAAAGUACACAUCUGUCGGGGGAAACGACAUCUAUGGAAUCACUGGGAUCCCUUCUACGGUUGGCGGGCGCGGGGUUGUGCAAAGAGCGGGUCUGGUAGUUAGCACAAAGAUCGUUUUACCCAGGUUCGGGCCGCGAGGAUGCGUAAUACCCUAGUCCUGCUUUGGUGUAUAUAUUUGAGUGUUCUUGAACUCUAGAACUAGCUACGGUGCAUGUCUAGUCCAAAAGAUCCGAAUCCUUCUCCUGGACGCCUCGGGCCUCCUUUUAUAGUCAAAAGGGGUCGCCACAGUGGCACAUAGGAGGUGGAAAGGUGUACAGUGUACAAGCUUAUCGCCUGUCAUUACAGGACAAGACGCAUUAAAUGCACUCCUUAGGUGUCCCGUUGCUUUAUUGGGGACGGCAACGAGGCCCGUCCCGUUCGUCGCCGCUCCAUCUUGCUCUGACGCGCGUCCAGGCCAACGAGGCAUGCGGCGCCACGUAGGCUGGUAGGCUGCUGAGAUGGCGUGGUGGAAGGAUCUUCACAAAGAUCUGCAUGCCACCACGCAGGUGCUUGCUGAGUCGGUCUGGAAGCCGCACGUUGCCACGCAGGUGCCUGCCCAGCUGGUUGGGCUGGCAGCUGUAUGGGAACGGCGGUGGAGCCUUGGCAGAUGCGGGCAUGGCUGUGGCCCCGCGGGUGUCCUUGGCAAGGGUCUUGCCGUGGCAUCGCGCCUUGCCGGGGGUCUCAUGGAUUUCCUUGGCUAGGAUCUCGCCGAGGAUCGUUGUCUUUUGGUCCUCAUCUGAUCUUGUAUGUUUAUGAUCUUCACAAAGAUCUGCAUGCCACCACGGAGGUGCCUCCCGAGCCUUGGUUCCAAUGUGGUUGACGGUGUUGGAACCCUUGGGCUCAAGGGUGGCGCGCCCUACUGGUGUUGGGCAAGCUGCCCCGGCAAGGCUCUUGUCGGGGCUGCGGAGGCCGCUGAGGGAGUCCUGGAUUAGGGGGUCCUCGGACAGCCGGACUAUAUCCUUUGGCCGGACUAUUGGACUAUGAAGAUACAAGAUUGAAGACUCUGUCCCGUGUCCGGAUAGGACUCUCCUUGGCGUGGAAGGCAAGCUUGGCAAUACGGAUAUGUAGAUCUCCUCCCUUUAACCGACCCUGUGUAACCCUAGCCCCUCCAGUGUCUAUAUAAACCGGAGGGUUUUAGUCCGUAGGACAACAACAAUCAUACCAUAGGCUAGCUUCUAGGGUUUAGCCUCUACGAUCUCGUGGUAGAUCAACUGUUGUAAUACUCAUAUCAUUAAGAUCAAUCAAGCAGGAAGUAGGGUAUUACCUCCAUCGACAGGGCCCGAACCUGGGUAAACAUCAUGUCCCCCGCCUCCUGUUACCAUCCGCCUUAGACGCACAGUUCGGGACCCCCUACCCGAGAUCCGCCGGUUUUGACACCGACAUUGGUGCUUUCAUUGAGAAUUCCACUGUGUCGUCAUCAUAAGGCUGGAUGGCUCGUCUCGUUGUCAAGGACAACAUCACCUCUGGGGGAGUCCUGGCUGUAGGCCAAACUCUCCGACUAGGCGGCUUCGUCAUGACCGCCCGUUCGGCCAUUGCGCCGACGAUGACUUCUCGGGUCAUCGAAAAUAGCCUCCAUGUCGGCUCGGAAUUCGCCGAGCAGCUGGAUCCAAUGGAGCUCUCUUCCUUGAACGAGCUCUUGGAUCGCAUCGCCACCUUGGGAGUCGCUACAGACUAUAAUCAGAUCGGGCUUAAACCUGACCAAAGGGAGAUUAACUCUCCGUCAGUCACCCAUCAGAUAGCAGUGGUGGAGGAGCAAUGCAGCGAUUCUUCCUCUAUCUUGAGGACAAACUAUGUCCGGAUUCCCGAGCUCUCCGAGCCGAAUACCCGUCUACGGGAGGACAUGGCCCAAGCCUUGAACCUAGAAUCAGGCAGGGGGCCAGACCUAUUGGGCAACAUCCCGAAGCCCAAACUACCAAGCUCGGAAACUCCUCCACCCCUGGGUCUCAGAUCGGGUAAGGGUUCGGACCUAAAUCUACCCACCCACCCAGAUAUAAGUGAUCUUUCCCACAUUAGACAAGAGCCCCAAGAGACAGUACACCACUAUUGGGCCAGAUUCCUCCUUGUAAUGAGCAAGGUUAAGGACUGUCACGAGGAAGAUGCAAUUUCAUUCUUUUGCAAAAAUUGCACGGACAGGGGAAUCCUCAACGCCAUAAGUCGCCGUGACAUAGCACACUUCGCUGACUUGGCGGCCAUAGUACGGAAGUACUGUGCGAUGGAAAGCGCCUGGAAAACUCAAACAAAAUUUUGGGAUCCUCCGGCUCUCACUAAACCCCUCGUCCGAACUAAAAGGGUGUACUCUCGUAAGUCACCCGAUCCAAUUACAAAGAAACAAAAGCCCACUACAGGGCGUGGAACCGUAUUGGAGGGAUGGCUUAAUGGGCCAUGCAAAAUUCAUAGUACAGCGGAUACCAUGCCAACACACAGCCUUAGAGCAUGUUGGGUACUCCGGCAGGUGGCCAAGAGCGGUGAGGAUCUCCUCGUCAACAAUACCGCAGAGCACCAUCCCGUGGUAAACAACAAUACAGUAUUGACAGUCUUCGAGACCUUCGCCUCAAACAAUAGGCGCAAACGAGCACUCCGCAGCCUUGCCGAAGUCUGCCACGUGGCAGCAAUAAAUCCAUGGAGCAAUACGGCUAUCACCUUCAAUGCCAGUGAUGACCUAAAUUCCGAACAGCCCGAGCACCAGCCGCCUUGGUCCUUAGUCCAAUUGUGGACGGCUUCCGGCUUACUAAAGUGCUCAUGGACGGCGGCGGCGGAUUAAACCUCAUCUAUGAGGAGACUCUUCGAAAAAUGGAAAUAGACAAAAGCCGCAUUGAGCAAAGCAGCACGACCUUCGGAGGAAUCAUCCCUAGUCGGGAGACACGAUGUGCUGGGAAAAUCACACUAGAUGUGGUAUUCGGCACGCCGGAGAAUUACAGGUCCGAAGAAAUCACAUUCCAAGUGGCCCUGUUCAAUAGCGGAUACCACGCCCUUCUAAGGCGGGAGGCAUUCACGAUCUUCCAAGCUAUACCCCAUUACGGGUACAUGAAGCUCAAAAUGCCCGGGCCCAAUGGAAUUAUCACUCUAGCUAGUGAUCCGGACAUAGCACUCCGCGCCGAAAAUAAAACAGCUGCACUGGCCCUCGAGGCGUUAUCUGAAGCCCUCGCGGCCGAAGAAUUAACUGCGUUGCGCUCCACAGUGGAUAGGGACGACGUGAUACUUGAAAAAAGAUCCAAGUCCACCUCUUUUAAACCAGCGGAUGAAAUAGUCAAAUUCCAAGUCCAUCCAACGGACCCUGCCAAAACAGCAUCCAUCGGGGUACAGUUAAACCCCACAGUAGACGCCGCGCUACGGGAGUUCUUGCGCGUGAAUUGGGACAUCUUCGCCUGGCAUCCUUCAGACAUGCCAGGAAUCCUACGCAGGCUGGCCGAGCAUAGCCUUAACAUUCUAAAGGGAUUCAAGCCGGCAAGCAAACUCUUCAGCGCUUCUCUGAGCCUAAGCGACAAGCCUUGGGAGAGGAGCUAGCCAAGUUACUGGAGGCCGGAUUCAUUCGAGAAAUAAAACAUCCGGACUGGCUAGCAAACCUGGUGAUGGUACCAAAGAAGGACAAAUCGUGGCGCCCCAAGGAUCCCUUCCCCCUCCCUCGCAUCGAUCAAAUUAUCGACGCUACCGCAGGACACGACUCAUUGUGUUUCCUCGACGCAUACUCCGGAUACCAACAAAUUAAGAUGGCGGAGUCAGAUCAAGCCGCAACGGCAUUUAUCACUACAUACGGCCCCUUCUGUUUUAACACCAUGCCUUUCGGGCUCAAAAACGCCGGUGCAACCUAUCAACGCAUGAUUCAGACAUGCUUGGAGACACAGAUCAGCAAAACAGUGGAGGCAUACGUAGACGAUGUGGUCAUUAAAACCAGACACGUCGAAUCCUUAAUAGACGACUUGAGGCUCACGUUCGACAAUCUCCGAACAUACGACAUCAAGCUCAAUCCGGAAAAAUGCGUCUUCGGCGUGCCCGCCGGAAAGCUCUUAGGCUUCAUCAUCUCUAAUAGAGUAAUUGAAGCAAACCCGGCUAAAAUCCGAGCUCUGUCACAGUUGGCUAUCCCAACAGACCUCAAGCAAAUCCAGAAACUAACUGGAUGUGUGGCUGCCUUAAGCCGCUUUAUCUCCCAAUUAGGAGAAAAGGCACUACCUCUUUAUCGCCUUCUUCUACGCACCGAACACUUCGAGUGGACGGAUGCGGCCACGACCGGAUUAGAGGAAAAAAAACCCGUUUUGGCCACAAACCCAAUCUUGGCUGCGCCAAAUGUCGGCGAACCAGUGUUGUUAUAUAUAGCGGCAACACACCAAGUUGUAAGCGCAGUGCUCGUCGUCGAACGAGAGACGGAAAUCACGAUAUACUAUGUAUACGCUGGUAUACUAUGUAUCCACUGUCCUCACUCCAUGCAAAUCACGAUACCCACAUUAUCAAAAGAUAGCAUACGCGGUCUUCAUGGCAUCCCGGAAACUACGACACUACUUUCAAGAGAGUUCAAUUACGGUGGCCUCUGAAGUACCACUCAAUGACAUAAUAAACAACCGCGAGGCCAUGGGCCGGAUUGCUAAAUGGGCUAUUGAGCUCCUCUCGUUCGACAUAAUAUACAAACCACGGCGAGCCAUUAAGUCACAAGUACUGGCUGAUUUCGUCGCCGAAUGGACAGAAGCCGAACUCCCUAAAGAGUACGGCGCGUACUCCAAUUGGAUCAUGCACUUUGACGGCUCUAAAAUGCUGGCUGGUCUGGGGGCUGGCGUCGUCCUGACAUCUCCCACCAGAGAUACAGUCCAAUACGUACUCCAAAUAUUAUACACAGACUCCAACAACGCAACAGAAUAUGAGGCCCUGUUACAUGGUCUUCGGAUGGCAGUUUCCAUGGGCAUUCAACGCCUGGAGGUGCGUGGCGACUCGAACCUCGCAAUAUCUCAAAUAAAUGGAGACUUUGAUGCCAAGGAUCCAAAAAUGGCCGCUUAUCACAACGCCGUCCUCAAAAUGUCAGCUCGGUUCGAGGGGCUCGAAUUCCACCAUGUGGUCAGGGAAAACAACCAGACGGCGGAUAUCCUCGCCCGCAUCGGCGCUAAGCGCGAUCCUGUCCCGCCUAAUAUCUUCUUGGAAAGGCUGUUUAAGCCAUCUGUGGUAUGGGAAGGAGAGACCGGUAACAAUAGUCCGGACCCGGCCACAACACCAGACACCGAACACUCUGACGUAAUCGGAGGCUUUGCCACCGAAAUAACACCUUCGGCCCACGUGAUUAUGGCUGUCAUUGCCCCGUGGACAGAACCCUUCUAGGCUUACCUAACUAGGCAGGAACUACCUGAGGACCCAAACGAGGCACGUUGCAUUGUGCGACAGUCUAAAGCCUACAAGGUCCACGAGGGAGAGCUUUAUAAGAAAAGCCCUACCGGAGUCCUUCAAAGGUGCAUCUCAGAAGAGGAAGGACGGAAACUUUUGGCAGAAAUUCAUGCUGGACUUGGCGGCCACCACGCCGCAGCACGGGCCCUUGUAAGCAAGGCCUGCCAUACAGGUUUUUAUUAGCCGACAGCCCGGGCAGACGCACAGGACCUCGUUCAACGUUGCGUCGGUUGCCAGCUUUUCGCAAACCAAAGCCAUAUGCCACCUACCGCUCUCCAAACAAUCCCCAUCACUUGGCCCUUUGCAGUCUGGGGGCUUGAUAUGGUCGGACCCCUUAAAGGGGGAAGCCAUAAGAAAAAAUACCUAUUGGUCAUGGUGGACAAAUUCACCAAAUGGAUAGAAGCCAAACCAGUUAAAACGGCCGAAUCCGGACCAGUGAUAGACUUCAUAUCCGGGGUUGUACACCGUUAUGGCGUUCCCCACAGCAUCAUCACGGAUAACGGCUCGAACUUUACAGCCGACGAGGUAAAACUUUGGUGCAGCAAAAUGGGCAUCAAGCUCGAUUAUGCUUCUGUCUAUCACCCGCAAACUAACGGUCAAGUCGAGCGAGCAAAUGGUCUUAUCAUGAGCAGCAUUAAACCCAGAUUAGUGCGAUCCUAGAAGGAAUCAGAUACGCACUGGGUAGAGGAGCUCGACUCCGUACUAUGGGGGCUGCGGACCACGCCGAACCGCACUACCGAAUACACACCGUUUUUUAUGGUGUACGGCGCAGAGGCGGUACUGCCCUGCGACAUAAUUCAUGACUCACCUCAAGUGCGCAUGUAUGAAGAGAAAGAGCCAAGCUUGAUCGGCAGGACAGUUUGGACACCCUGGAGGAGGAGUGUGACGUGGCAAAAGCCCGUUCCGCAUUUUAUCAGCAAAAGGCUCGUAGGUAUCAAAGUAGCGAAGUACAGGCCAAAACUUAUAACGUCGGCGAACUCGUUCUAUGCCUACCGGAGAAGAAAAAGAACAAGCUCAAGCCCAAAUGGGAAGGUCCCUUCGUUAUUGACCAAGUUCUAACCGGUGGAGCGUACCGUCUGCGGGAUGCAUCGGACAAUCGACUCGAGCCAAACCCAUGGAACGCAGCCAGACUCCGAAGGUUCGACGCCUAGUGCCGGACUCUAUGUUCGUCUCCUUACCCCCGUCAAUUUUUUAUAUAUCCGUUAUCUGUCUUUUCUUUCUUUAUUUCUUCCCUUUUUCUUAAAGGCCUUAAAAGGCUAAAAUGUGUCUUGACUACACAAUCUUGACGCGCUAGGCGUGCUCAUUAUACCUGGGGGCUUCUUAUACAGAAGCUUAAUAUAGCUAUGUUUCGGGCUCUAUGCCCUCCGCACAUGUGUUACUCUUCCACAUGUACCCCUUUUUCGCCAUUAUAUGCAUCGAUAUGACUUAAGUUUUGGCCAAGCUGGGUUGCCUGGCUCUUGCGUUUAUGCCCUACGUUCCCGUUAAUUCGGCUAGGGCAUAAGGGGAGCACCUCUGCGAUUGUUACUGCUGGGUCAGCCGGAUGUGUACCUCAGACUGGGUGAAGCCAAAAGCUAGCGUUCUUAAGGGAAUAUUCGGUCGGUGAACAAAAGAUGACAUUUAUUUAUUGUAAUACAUGCCCCCAGAUGUUUAUAUCCUACGUCUCUUUUCGCAGUUCGGACAUGCACAUUAAUGCAUGCGUACCCAGGGAAAGGAACCCUUAACGGAACAAUUCUCCCUGGAAGAUGUUUCUUACUAUCCAUGUAAUAUAACAUAGCUAGUUGGGUACUUGUCUGUUCAAGCACUUAUGACCCCUACGCCUGGUUUCCACGCGUACCCCGGCUUUUACAUAACUGAGCGGGUAUUCGGAUACACUCCGGACUGUCGGGUCCAGAGGUCGAAGCGAAAAGGUCUGCCAUGACAAAUGAUUUACAAUCCGGCUAGGGACAAUACAUGUCACUUGAAGUACACAAUCACUUAGACUGACUAAAUUCUUCUUCUAUACCAUCCAACAGGCUGUCUAGCCUACAAUCCUGUUGGGAAUACUUUGCAGCUAAUUCUACUUGAUCAUACACCAAACUGACGGGGAUCUCUUUCCCAUCGGACCCACAGGUCCGACCUCGGCCAUGUGGUUCGGGUCAGCCUUGGUAUAUCGCGUCUUCACCAUGGCCCAGGCUUCCCUUGCACCUUGUCGGCAGGCUGAUAUCUUCCAUAAUCGGAAGCGCCGCCGCGCUCCCUUGAGCUUCUUUACAAGCUCCCCCAUGCCUCCUGGCAGGGAGGCGGAUGGCUACAGGGCUUGGGCAAUGCCCUGCAUCACCUGCCGAACUUGUUCGUGCAGUUGUGCGAGCUCUGGCAGAAGAUCACCCGCAGACCCGGGCAUCUCCUCCGCGGGAUGACCCGUCAGCAUACCUACAGACAUAACUCUGUUAGCCGGUUUCUUCGCCGAACUCUUUAAAAGUUCAUUCAAGCACUUACUGAAAAUGCCGCGUCGAAGCCUCUUAUUCUCCUUUACGGAAUCAGCAAGCUGGGCUCGAACAUCUUUCAUUUCAAUGCCCAGCCGGGUAUUGGCGUCUUGGAGAUCGUUUUUCUCCCGCCUAACCCGUGUAAGAACGCGCUCGCCAGCCUUUAGCUAUCGUUGAGCAUGUUGCUCAUCCCCUCGCACGACCUCCGGAUUCACUCCGGAGUCAUCUGCAGAAUCUAUUGUUAGAUUUGCAUGUAUGCCGCAUACUACCUGGUACAAGUCUUCCUUUGCAAUAGAAAUAAGUGUUACCAGAUGGGGCCUUCUCGGACUCCUUCACUGCGGCAACUGCGGCCUGAAGCUGGGCUUUGCACUCCUCCAGCUCUUGAGACAACCGGGUAUUCUUCUCCGUAAGAACCUAUGCAAACAAUGAUCCUUAAAUCAGUUGUGCCAACUGUUUCAAGUCUCAGGGGCUACUGAUAUACAUAAUUAUUAGAUUUUCUUACCUGUAUAUCCUUCACAUACUGGUCUGUGGCUUUGGCAAGACCAUUUUGAGCAGCUCGGAUGUACGUGUCUCCUGAGUUAAACGCAUUGAACGCCUCUUGGGAGAAACAAGCAUCACGGAGUACGGCCCGGCGACGCCUGUGAUUCAUGGCACUCUCCACUUCGGAAUUCGUAGCGGACAGCCUAUCUGCAUCCUCUGUAGGAGGAACAUCCGGUGUUGGCCCCAUGUUAGCAUCCGCCUCUAAGUCCGGCUCUGGAGCCCGGCUGGUGGAAGCGUGGCCGGCAACCUCUCCGGAUAUAGUCCGGCGAGCGUUUUUCCUACUAGGAAACAUGGACGUUAUUAUAUUUUAAAAGACGACAACCACAGAGCGGGGUUCUUUUUCAUACCUCUGCGACGGCGUCUCAGUCCUGACCGCCUUCCUUUUAAGCCUACCCGGCUUCGGUGCCCCUUGUUGGUGAGUCACUGCGGGUUCGGCAUGGCGUCCCGAGGGCCUUCCCUGUAAGACACCAUAUGUGUGCGGUAGGUGAAGUGCAGAAAAAGGGAUCCUUCUCAGAAGUUGGGACUCCGGUUUUACUUACAUGUGAUGCAGGGAGUAGUCUAGGAUAAUCGGCUAUGAUGGCCACCAUGGCAUCGUCGCAGCUCAAUUGAUAGAACGUCCUGUCAAUAAGCUCCACAAAUGUGUCCGGAUCCUCUUCGAGUCCGGGGUCGAGGGCCCGGUCAGGGUCCUCUGGUUGUGGAGGCGGGCUGUGGACCUCCCUCACGGCUUUUCGCAGUUCCUGCUAUGAAAUAGCAAGGUAAAUAUUUAUCACAAAGAAUGCGGGAAGGUCUGGAGUAAAAAAGCAGCUCAUCCAGUUCGGGGGGUUGUACAUGGAGAAUCCAUCCCGUGGCUUGAUACGGAUGAACUCCUCUUCCUCUCCUUUAUAUAAAUCGGACAGUAUUUUCGCUAGAGCAUCGACGGAGUCCGGACCUUUACGACCGCAGCGGGUGGCAUCGUCUUCUCCAUUGAAGUGCCACAUGGGAUGUCCCCGAUAUUAAAGUGGCUGCACCCCCCGCAUUAUACAUAUUGACAUAACCUCGAUUAUUGUCAAUCCUGAUUUGGCCAGCGUUUGUAUCUGGCCCAUCAGGUAAAGGACCCCUCUGUUAUCUUCCUCCUGGGGGCUCCGAGGGCGCCAGCUGCGGCGUUUCUUCAAAGGGGCGUUAUUAAACUCAGGGAGGCCCAUUCGAACAGGGUCCGAAAGGGGGACGUCCUCCAUAUAAAACCACUCCGAAGGCCAGUCUUUGGAUGUCUUCUUCGGAGUACCAGACAGGUAUCCGGUCCCGGCGAUGCGCCAUAUCUCGGCUCCGCCCACUUGAUAUAUCGACCCCUCCUGUGUACGGGGUACGAGGCAGAAUAGCCUCUUCCAUAGCUCGAAAUGAGCUUCACAGCCCAGAAACAGCUCGCAAAGGGCGACAUAGCCAGCGAUGUGUAAUAUGGAGGCGGGAGUAAAGUUAUGCAGCUGGAGGCUGUAGCACUCCAGGAGCCCGCGGAGGAACGGAUGGAUUGGAAAUCCAAGUCCCCUUAACAAGUACGGGACAAGGCAUACCCGCUCCCCCAUCGACGGGUCGGGAAAGCUCUUUGCUUGUUCCCCGCCAUUGUAAGUGGCUAGUCCAGCUCGGACGGGGACCAUAUACGCAGGAGGAAGAAACCCCUGGGUCUGUAACUCUACCAACUGUCUAUAGGAAACGGAACACUUCUUCCAGUUGCCUGGCUUAGGGCUACGGGAGCGAGAGGAGGAGCUACGACGACCGGCCAUGAUAGGAUGGAUUUUUUCGGGCACGCUCCGAUGGAUACUCGCUGAGGGAGGAUGGUGUGAUCUGGAUCUGAGGAUCCCCGAUCCCUUAAAUAGACGAUUUACUCACAUGGUUAGGGUGGCAAGUGUAAAAAUGCCCCGACUUCUCGCAUUCGCUCGACACGUGGAGGAUAGCCAUUAUUGGGCGUAGAAGCCGAAGAAUGCAAACAUUUAUGGGAAGCCGGACACUACUCGACAGGUACUCAGGACUUGGAGAAGAACCCGCCUUGCAAUGCCGAAGACAAUCUGCGCGCCGGACUCAUCGUCAUUGAAGCCUGGUUCGGGGGCUACUGAGGGAGUCCUAGAUUAGGGGGUCCUCGGAUAGCCGGACUAUAUCCUUUGGCCGGACUGUUGGACUAUGAAGAUACAAGAUUGAAGACUCCGUCCCGUGUCCGGAUAGGACUCUCCUUGGCGUGGAAGGCAAGCUUGGCAAUACGGAUAUGUAGAUCUCCUCCCUUGUAACCGACUCUGUGUAACCCUAGCCCCUCCGGUGUCUAUAUAAACCAGAGGGUUUUAGUCCGUAGGACAACAACAAUCAUACCAUAGGCUAGCUUCUAGGGUUUAGCCUCUACGAUCUCGUGGUAGGUCAACUCUUGUAAUACUCAUAUCAUCAAGAUCAAUCAAGCAGGAAGUAGGGUAUUACCUCCAUCGAGAGGGCCCGAACCUGGGUAAACAUCGUGUCCCCCCGCCUCCCGUUACCAUCCGCCUUAGACGCACAAUUCGGGACCCCCUACCCGAGAUCCGCCGGUUUUGACACUGACAGCCGCCCCGGCAAGGGCCUUGCCGGGGGGAGUCCACCUCGCCCUCUUGAUCUUUGCGUCUCUGGUCUUGGCGUUGCUUUGUUCGUCUUGUGCUUCUGGUUCCUCCCUUUGCUCUGCUAAGUGUGGCCGCAGGUGCGGCUCUGACUGCCCGUGCACAAGUAGAGGGGUAAAAAGGAGAGCCCCUACUUUUGUACACCGACAACAUCAAUAACAUGUAUAUCAAAUAUACCUUUGUUCACUUUGCCAUCCUUCUUAUCCGCCAAGUAUCUAGGGCAGUUCCACUUCCAGUGACCAUUUCCUUUGCAGUAGAAACACUCAGUUUCAGGCUUGGGUCUAGCUUUGGGCUUCUUCAUGGGAGUGGCAACUUGCUUGCCAUUCUUCUUGAAAUUCCCUUUCUUUGCCUUGCCCUUUUACUUGAAACUAGUGGUCUUGUCAACCAUCAACACUUGAUGCUUUUUCUUGAUUUCUACCUUUGCUGAUUUCAUCAUCGCGAAGAGCUUUGGGAAUCGAUUCCGUUAUCCCUUGCAUAUUAUAGUUCAUCACGAAGUUCUAGUAACUUGGUGAUAGUGACUAGAGAACUCUGUCCAUCACUAUCUUAUCGGGAAGAUUAACUCCCACUUGAUUCAAGUGAUUGUAGUACUCAGACAUUCUGAGCACAUGCUCACUCGUUGAGCUAUUCUCCUCCAUCUUGUAGGCAAAGUACUGUCAGAGGUCUCAUACCUCUCGACAUGGGCAUGAGUAUGAAAUACCAAUUUCAACUCUUGGAACAUCUUAUAUGCUCCAUGGCGUUCAAAACAUUUCUGAAGUCCCGGUUCUAAGCCGUAAAGCAUGGUGCACUAAACUAUCAAGUAGUCAUCAUACUGAGCUUUGUCAAACGUUCAUAACGUCCGCAUCUCCUCCUGCAAUAGGUCUGUCACCUAGCGGUGCAUCAAGGACAUAAUUCUUCUGUGCAGCAAUGAGGAUAAUCCUCAGAUCAUGGACCAAGUCCGCAUCAUUGCUACUAUCAUCUUUCAACUUAUUUUUCUCUAGGAACAUAUCAAAAAUAAAUGGGGAGCUACAUCGCGAGCUAUUGUCUAUAACAUAGUUAUGCAAAUACUAUCAGGACUAAGUUCAUGAUAAAUUAAAGUUCAAUUAAUCAUAUUACUUAAGAACUCCCACUUAGAUAGACAUCCCUCGAGUCAUCUAAAUGAUCACGUGAUCCAAAUCAACUAAACCAUGUCCGAUCAUCACGUGAGAUGGAGUAGUUUUCAAUGGUGAAUAUCACGAUGUUGAUCAUAUCUACUAUAUGAUUCACGUUCGACCUUUCGGUCUCCAGUGUUCCGAGGCCAUAUCUGCAUAUGCUAGGCUCGUCAAGUUUAACCCGAGUAUUCUGCGUGUGCAAAACUGGCUUGCACCCGUUGUAUGUGAACGUAGAGCUUAUCACACCCGAUCAUCACGUGGUGUCUCGGCACGACAAACUUUCGCAACGGUGCAUACUCAGGGAGAACACUUGUACCUUGAAAUUUAGUGAGAGAUCAUCUUAUAAUGCUACCGUCGAACUAAGCAAAAUAAGAUGCAUAAAGGAUAAACAUCACAUGCAAUCAAUAUAAGUGAUAUGAUAUGGCCAUCAUCAUCUUGUGCCUUUGAUCUCCAUCUCCAAAGCACCGUCAUGAUCACCAUCGUCACCGGCUUGACACCUUGAUCACCAUCGAAGCAUCGUUGUCGUCUCGCCAACUAUUGCUUCUACGACUAUCGCUACCGCUUAGUGAUAAAGUAAAGCAAUUACAUGGCGAUUGCAUUUCAUACAAUAAAGCGACAACCAUAUGGCUCCUGCCAGUUGCCGAUAACUACGUUACAAAACAUGAUCAUCUCAUACAAUAAAAUUUAGCAUCAUGUCUUGACCAUAUCACAUCACAACAUGCCCUGCAAAAACAAGUUAGACGUCCUCUACUUUGUUGUUGCAAGUUUUACGUGGCUGCAACGGGCUGAACAAGAACCGUUCUUACCUAUGCAUCAAAACCACAACGAUUUUUCGUCAAGUAUGUGUUGUUUUAACCUUCAACAAGGACCGGGCGUAGCCACACUCGAUUCAACUAAAGUUAGAGAAACUGACACCCGCCAACCACCUGUGUGCAAAGCACGUCGGUAGAACUAGUCUCGCGUAAGCAUACGCGUAAUGUCGGUCCGGGCCGCUUCAUCCAACAAUACCGCCGAAUCAAAGUAUGACAUGCUGGUAAGCAGUAUGACUAUUAUCGCCCACAACUCACUUGUGUUCUACUCGUGCAUAUAACAUCUGCGCAUAGACCUGGCUCGGAUGCCACUGUUGGGGAACGUAGUAAUUUCAAAAAAUUCCUACGCACACGCAAGAUCAUGGUGAUGCAUAGCAACGAGAGGAGAGAGUGUUGUCCACGUACCCUCAUAGACCGUAAGCGGAAGCGCUAUGACAACGCGGUUGAUGUAGUCGUACGUCUUCACGAUCGACCGAUCCUAGUACCGAAAGUACGGCACCUCCGCGAUCUGCACACGUUCGGCUCGGUGACAUCCCACGAACUCACGAUCCAGCAGAGUGUCGAGGGAGAGCUUCGACAGCACGAUGGCGUGAUGACGGUGAUGAUGAAGCUACCGGCGCAGGGCUUCGCCUAAGCACUGCAACGAUAUGACCAAGGUGGAUUAUGGUGGAGGGGGGCACCGCACACGGCUAAGAGAUCAAUGAUCAACUUGUGUGUCUAUGGGGUUCCCCCUGGCCACGUAUAUAAAGGAUGGAGGGAGGAGGAGGCCGACCCUCAUAGGGCGCGCCCAAAGUGUGGAGUCCUACUAGGACUCCCUAGUCCUAGUAGGAUUCCACCUCCCACAUGGAAUAGGAAAAAAGGAAGGGAGAAGGAGAAGGAAGGAAGGGGGUGCCCCCUUUCGCUAGUCCAAUUCGGACCAGUCCAUGGGGAAGGGGCGCGGCCACCCUUGAGGCCUUUCUCUCCUUUCCCGUAUGGCCCAUUAAGGCCCAAUACGAAUUCCCGUAACUCUCCGGUACUCCGAAAAAUACCCGAAUCACUCGGAACCUUUCUGAUUUCCGAAUAUAUCCUUCCAAUAUAUCAAUCUUUAUGUCUCAUCCAUUUCGAGACUCCUCGUCAUGUCCCCGAUCUCAUCCGGGACUCCGAACAAACUUCGGUCAUCAAAUCACAUAACUCAUAAUACAAAUCGUCACAGAACGUUAAGCGUGCGGACCCUACGGGUUCGAGAACUAUGUAGACAUGACCAAGACUCAUCUUCGGUCAAUAACCAAUAGCGGAACCUGGAUGCUCAUAUUGGUUCCUACAUAUUCUACGAAGAUCUUUAUCGGUCAAACCGCAUAACAACAUACGUUGUUCCCUUUGUCAUCGGUAUGUUACUUUCCCGAGAUUCGAUCGUCGGUAUCUCAAUACCUAGUUCAAUCUCGUUACCGGCAAGUCUCUUUACUUGUUCCGUAAUGCAUCAUCCCGCAACUAACUCAUUAGUCACAAUGCUUGCAAGGCUUAUAGUGAUGUGCAUUACCGAGAGGGCCCAGAGAUACCUCUCCGAUACACGGAGUGACAAAUCCUAAUCUCGAUCUAUGCCAACUCAACAAACACCAUCGGAUACACCUGUAGAGCAUCUUUAUAAUCACCCAGUUAAGUUGUGACGUUUGAUAGCACACAAGGUGUUCCUCCGGUAUUCGGGAGUUGCAUAAUCUCAUAGUCUGAGGAACAUGUAUAAGUCAUGAAGAAAGCAGUAGCAAUGAAACUGUAACGAUCAUAAUGCUAAGCUAACGAAUGGGUCUUGUCCAUCACAUCAUUCUCCUAUUGAUGUGAUCUCGUUCAUCAAAUGACAACACAUGUCUAUGGUUAGGAAACAUAACCAUCUUUGAUAAACGAGCUAGUCAAGUAAAGGCAUACUAGGGACACUUUGUUUUUUCUAUGUAUUCACACAUGUACCAAGUUUCCGGUUAAUACAAUUCUAGCAUGAAUAAUAAACAUUUAUCAUGAAAUAAGGAAAUAAAUAAUAACUUUAUUAUUGCCUCUAGGGCAUAUUUCCUUCAAAUAGGUCUCUGUAAAAGUCGUCUACAUGGGCCCGGAUGUCCUCUGGCUGCUGCAGGAGGGUCUCUCCAUCCCAUAGGAGAGGGAUGGAAUUACGUCGUCGCCGACCGUUGACGAUGGCCUGGAAGUAGGCAGUAUUGGCGCCCCCCUUGAGGACCCAAUUAUGCGUACCCCGCAAGCGCCAAUAAGCCUCCUCAUCUGUGUAGAUGACCGUGAGCUGGUCCUCUAAGUCGUAUCUAAGCAUCCAUUCCUCGGCAGAUAAACCCACACCAUUCGCGCAGAAUUCGAGGGCCUGGAUGGCCUCUAGGAGGACUUUCUUGCGCUCCCAGAUAUCACGACCCACGUUAGCCCCCCAUCCUUUCAUGAAUUGCCAUGACCGCUUUGCACAGAAGUGCCAGGAGUCAACGGCCGAGAGGGAUCGAUGGGGGGCCUCGCGCGCCUCUAGCCACCUACCGACCACAGCAGCGGCAAACCCAGGCUGGCGCAACCAGAAGGUUUUGAAGCGGAAGCAGGGCGGUAGGGGAGGACGCUCGUUCUCCGAAGAGAGGAGGAGGGGGACGUGAUCGGAUCCAAUCCGAGUAAUCGCCCGGAGUGAAGCUAGGGGGCAACGAAUGGCCCACUCAGGAGAUGUGAAGACCCUGUCUAAGACAGAGCGGGUCGGCUCCGCUUGGCGGUUGGUCCAAGUGAAUCUGGCGCCGACUCUAUCAAGCUCGCGAAGCCCCAUGUCUGCGAUGUAGUCAUUGAACAUCUGCAUCCGGGGGAAGUUAACCAAGUUGUUACUCUUGUCGUCUUUCGACUGGAUGAGGUUAAAAUCUCCGUCCACCACCACCGGUAGCUGGGCGGCUGCAACCUUUCGGCGAAGCUCAGCGAGGAAGGCUUCAAAGCGUCGAUGAUCGGCUGGGCCAUAGACCGCUAUGAUCUCCCAUUUGAAGUUGAGGGCCCGUUCAAAAAUCUCCAUGCUAACGAAGAACUCGCCCCGGUCCAUGCUUCCUACCUCAAAGGUGGCAUCCUUAACCCCUAGAAGGAUGCCACCCGAGUGGCCCAUGCUCCCACUAGAAGGGAGCCAGUGCCAAGAAAAUAGAUUGGAGCUCAAAUGUUCGAGCUCCGAUAGGGAAAAUUCCGUACGCGUCGUUUCUUGGAUGGCCAAAAUGUCGAUUCGUUCAUUGCGCAUGUACUCUAUCAGUUGGUGGCGUCGGCCAUCUUGGCCGAAACCGCGGAUGUUCCAGAACAGCGUACGCAUCACGAGACCAUCGGGGGGCUGCUUGACCCAAGACUCGAGAUNNNNNNNNNNNNNNNNNNNNNNNNNNNNNNNNNNNNNNNNNNNNNNNNNNNNNNNNNNNNNNNNNNNNNNNNNNNNNNNNNNNNNNNNNNNNNNNNNNNNAAAAGCGAAGGAAAAAAAUCACUUCUCGCAUAUAUACAUCCGUCCUUUCGUUUUCCUCUGCGUAGUGAAUGUUCUAGGCAUCCCAUAUUUGGCUGCUAGGACUCCAUUCAAAUAUACGGGUUUUGGCCAAACAUAGGCCAAAUUUUCAUGUCCCACGUGGAAUUUUCUUGUCAAAUUUAGAUAUAUUAUCAACAAGUUUUUUUUCAAAAGAAAAGCACUACCACAAGAUGCUCCGCAAGACAUGAAUCAGGAAGAGGAGAUCCAUUUUGAUAUAGGCAAGAGGAAAUUGAUAAAACAUUACCAUCCUAAUUUGAAAUAUUUGGUAAGAAGAAAGUACUUGGCUGAUAAACCUUGUCAGCCAAGAGAAAUUAAUAUUUAUUGAGAGUUUGGGACUAAAAGGAUUGAUUUGAUUAAUUAAGAGCUCCACUGGAAUUUAGCUACUUAAAUACUUUCAUUUCACCAUUCUAUUUUGUUCCACUUGAAAUUUAAUUAUAUUUUUAUCUUGUAGGAUAUUGAAUCUUAGUGUCCGAUGAUGUAUUUUGUAGUUUCGAAAUGGAAGGCAUCAUUUUAAAGUAAUUAUAUUCUUUGCUUCCUUAAUAUAGUAAGCAUUUUAUAGCUGCAUUUUGCAUUUAAAUGGUCUUCUAUUAUGUCAGCUAGAUGUUUCCUUUUUAUGGGGUAUGUCAGCUAGAAGUUACAAAACACAUUUUUAUUUAGUACAUCGUUGCUUGAAAUUUUAGGCCGUGUUAAAGUGAUACAUUAGGGUAACAUUUGCUCCAGCUUACACCCUGACUCCGACGACGACAGAGGUGCCGCCGGCUAGCCAUACGAGGUCAUCGUCCGCUACAAAUUAGUUUAGGUUUUUUAACUAUAAGUUAGUUUGUGUUUUUAAGUUUUAAACGGACGAAAUAUCAUCUGAUUUAUGUUUUGGACGAAAUAUCAUCCAAUUUAUGUUUUGCAUGAACCGCGGCUUCGAUUUAUGUCUUGGACGAAAUCAUCUGAUUUAUAUUUUGCAUGAAUUGGAUGGACUGUACUUGCAACAUCCGUAGACCGGACGAAAUCAUCUGAUUUGUAUUUUGCAUGAAUUGGAUGGACUGUGACUUGCAACAUUCGUAGACUAGCACUAUGCCUGAUUUGAAGGCCGGCGUUUGAGAUGCCCUAAGCCACUUUUUUGGGCUUGUGCCCUAAGCUUUCUGUUUAUGGCUUCCGCCUCUUUUAACAGUGUGAUGAAAAGAAAAAGGUCUACGGUUUCUUUUUUAGCAGAGUGUUGUCCAUAUGUAAUGACACAAAGCAACACUUUUAUUAUUUUAUUAUUUAUAUAUUGAUAUAAAAAGUGUUGCUCUGUGACAUUACAUCCGGUGCAAAACUCAAUUUGUUUCCGUUGCAAAUUGGUUCAAAGCAAUCCACAAACUGAGGGGUUUGAUGGAGGAAUUCCACUGUUGCCUUGCCCCUCUAUUUAUAUCCUCCUUGACCUCCCGUCUCCUCGUUGCCCCGCGAGGUGGUGCUAAAUUUUCUAGCUUCUCCAAAGUGCGAAACGGUUCGGCUAGCCUUUUAUGGGCCUAGUAAUUGAAUACUCAUGUGUUGGGACCUACAAACUCAGAGACAUUCAUUAAAAUAAUUCGUGAUGUGCUUAGAGCAAGUAUAAUAAGCUUAUAUAAGUAGGCUGUAAGGAUUAAAAUAUAAUUUUUUUGUUGAUGUGGAGGGAAGAGAAAAGGAGCCGGCUACAGAAUAAGAGCCAGCUACAGCACGUGCUCCUAGGCACUAUAUGAGAGUGGGAGGUGGGUCAUGUAUUAAUGAAGUAGCACAUCUUUGUAUCUUACUAUUAUACUUGAAGGCUACAAGGUUGGCUAUAGAUGACAUGUCAAUGUCAUAUAGCCAUCAGCUGGCUAUACUAUUAACCAUGCUCUUAUCACUACAUUGUGAUAAAUAUGAUCUUGAAACCAACCUCACUACCUCCUCUUGCUCGGUCAUCCACUGCUGACGACGGAGGUCUCUUCUUCGUGCUCCCAUGUUUUUCUCAUGGAAACAAAUAACUGCAUGGUCAUGUUAUUGUUUUAUUUUUCAUCCAAACAAGGAAUUACGUAUACUUACUUUAACUGAAAAACUGGUUAGGCCCAGCUGUUAUACAGCGGUGCCCAGCUGUUAUCCCUGGGUGGGCUUGGGUGCCAACACACGAAAUUGUUAGGCCCAGCCGUUGGUUGCUCGUGCAUGUCUCUCUCUGCGUGGGAAAAUCAGGCAUUUCCUAUUCUGCGCUUCAGUCGCCCGUUUCUUCGUCAUUUGCAUACCGGCGCACACCCCUAAUCCGCCCUGGCCCAGCUCAUUCACCUUUUUUUUCUGUUUUCUGUAAAACUUCAAAAAACAAGCAGGCGCCGUGUGUCGAACUUGAGACCUAUUCCUUCAGUUCGAGUUGCAGUAACCAACUACGGAACAUCAUAGGGUGUGCACAUUUACUUCCCUUUAUCUUUUUCUUCUUUUCUACUAUUUGUCGUUUGUUGGUUGGUUUUCUAGGUGAGUUUUAUUUUGGUUUUUUCUUUCUUCUUUUGCUUUUUUAAAUGCAUGAACUGCAAAUUUGAAACUUUCUUCAAACCUGAAUUUUUUUUCAAAUUCGCAAACUUUUUCUUGAUAAUCCACGAACUUUUUUCAAAUUAUAUGAACAUUUUUUUGAAAUUGUUGUUUUUUAAAAAAAUUCAGGCCUUUUUUCAAAUUUGUGCACUUUUUCUUAAAUUUAUUAACCUCUUGAAUUCUAUGAUUUUUUCCCAAAUUUGAUGAUUUUUUUGUUCAAAUCGGUCAACUUUUUUCAGAAUCAAUGAUUUUCUUUUCAAUUUUAUGAAAUUUUCUUCAAAAUCGAUGAACUUUUAUUCAUGAAAAUAAAAAAAAGUUCACAGAUUUUUGAAAACCACUAGCCAUGUAGGACAGUGAGUUUUUUUUAUUUGAGGCAAGUAGUACACAUGUCGUACUGCUGUUUUUUUAGGGGAAGGUCGUAUUGUAGGAGGAGGCAUAAUUGGGGUGCGGCCCGCGAACAAAGCUAGCUGCUUCAAAUUGUCCGUUAGCGAAAUAUAUUUUAUUAUCCCUAAAAAAGCCAAAUAUAUUUUAUUUUCCUAAAAAGACAAAUAUUUUAUUUCCAUAAGAUUUAAAUUUCUGACACAUACUGCACGGAGAUUAAUCUCAAAUUCUGCUUCGCCCUAAAAACAGUAAGCCAAAUAGGGUAAGUCCAUGGUGCCCCAUGUUUUAAAAAAACUAGGUUUGGGUACAACUCCUUGUUUUUCGUGAAGUUUGACAGGGGUGCUCCAACAAAUACGCAUAAUUUUCUCCUCUGCUCUUUCGGCUAAUAAUAAUCUCAUGUCGCUUCUUUACGUCUAAUCUCACCGAUUCAUAUACGUAUCCACUGAUGAUUCAACAAGCGACCACAUAAAUCAGCAAACAGAGGUGAGGAGGAUCAGGCAAAGCAUGGUCAGGGUGAUAAAGCAAUCACCACAUGGAGGAGAGAAGCAUGGUCAGAAGGAGGAGGAUAAAGCAAUCACCGGAGGCUGGAUGAGGGGAGGCAAGAACAAGGAGCAAAAGGGAGGGGUGCGGAGGAGGCAACCGUCGCCGGUGGCGGGAUUCGGCGCGCAGGGGGUGCAGCCCGAUGAACCUAUAGGUGGCGACGCUGGAUGGGAGACGAGGGGAAAUGUUUACAAUCUAUUAACGUAUAAGUGAUAAUUUAUAAAAAAAAUCUUAUGUGUAGAUUCAUCCAUCUAUUGCAACCAUGCAUGACUAACUUUUUUUUUUAAAUUUCCAUCAAAAAUUGUCAAUCCUAAAAGAAAAGUUAUUCUUUGUAUUCAAAAUUACUACCAAUGACCUCUCUUUUAUGUUAUUAUUAAAGCAUUGACCAUAAGUGAAUCCAUCACAACAAAAGGAGACCCCAAUUUCAUGGGUGACACUUAUUCUCCCGUUGCAAUGCACGGGCCCUUCUGCUAGUCUAGUUCAAAAGUCCUUGUGGAGUUGAAGGAAUAUUACGUACGAUUGCCACCUCUGCAAAUCCCUGCUUCCCUCUGCGAAGGGCCUAUCCCACAAGUAUAGGGGAUCGCAACAGUUUUCGAGGUAGAGUAUUCAACCCAAAUUUAUUGAUUCGACACAAGGGGAGCCAAAGAAUAUUUGCAAGUAUAUUAGCAGUUGAGUUGUCAAUUCAACCACACCUGGAGAUUACUUAUCUGCAGCAAAGUGAUCAGUAGCAAAGUAGUAUGAUAGUUUUGAUAGUAGUAGCAACAGCAAUAGUAACGGUAACAGUGAUAGCAAUGAUUUUGUAGCAAGUGCAAUAGUAACAGUGGCAGUAGUAACUGAAGGAAAUAUGCCCUAGAGGCAAUAAUAAAGUUAUUAUUUAUUUCCUUAUAUCAUGAUCAAUGUUUAUUAUUCAUGCUAGAAUUGUAUUAACCGGAAACAUAAUACUUGUGUGAAUACAUAGACAAACAGAGUGUCACUAGUAUGCCUCUACUUGACUAGCUCGUUGAUCAAAGAUGGUUAUGUUUUCUAGCCAUAGACAUGAGUUGUCAUUUGAUUAACAGGAUCACAUCAUUAGGAGAAUGAUGUGAUUGACUUGACCCAUUCCGUUAGCUUAGCACUCGAUCGUUUAGUAUGUUGCUAUUGCUUUCUUCAUGACUUAUACAUGUUCCUAUGACUAUGAGAUUAUGCAACUCCCGUUUACCGGAGGAACACUUUGUGUGCUACCAAACGUCACAACGUAACUGGGUGAUUAUAAAGGUGCUCUAUAGGUGUCUCCGAAGGUACUUGUUGGGUUGGCGUAUUUCGAGAUUAAGAUUUGUCACUCCGAUUGUCGGAGAGGUAUCUCUGGGCCCUCUCGGUAAUGCACAUCACUUAAGCCUUGCAAGCAUUGCAACUAAUGAGUUAGUUGUGGGAUGAUGUAUUACGGAACGAGUAAAGAGACUUGCGGGUAAUGAGAUUGAACUAGGUAUUGAGAUACCGACGAUCGAAUCUCGGGCAAGUAACAUACCGAUGACAAAGGGAACAACGUAUGUUGUUAUGCGGUCUGACCGAUAAAGAUCUUCGUAGAAUAUGUGGGAGCCAAUAUGAGCAUCCAGGUUCCGCUAUUGGUUAUUGAUCGGAGACGUGUCUCGGUCAUGUCUACAUAGUUCUCGAACCCGUAGGGUCCGCACGCUUAACGUUUCGAUGACAGUUAUAUUAUGAGUUUACAUGUAUUGAUGUACCGAAGGUUGUUCGGAGUCCCGGAUGUGAUCACGGACAUGACGAGGAGUCUCGAAAUGGUCGAGACAUGAAGAUUGAUAUAUUGGAAGCCUAUAUUUGGAUAUCGGAAGUGUUCCGGGUGAAAUCGGGAUUUUACCAGAGUACCGAGGGGUUACCGGAACCCCCCGGGGGUUAAUGGGCCAUAGUGGGCCGUUGUGGAGAAGAGGAGAGGCGGCCAGGGCAGGGCCGCGCGCCCCUCCCCCCUAGUCCGAAUAGGACAAGGAGAGGGGGGCGGCGCCCCCCUUUCCUUCCUCUCUCCCUCCUCUUUCCCCCUCCACUCCUAAUCCAACUAGGAAAAGGGAGGGAGUCCUACUCCCACCGGGAGUAGGACUCCACCUGGCGCCCCCCUCCCGGCCGGCCGCACCUCCCCCCCUUGCUCCUUUAUAUACGGGGGCAGGGGGCAUCCUAGAGACACAACAAUUAAUCUCUUGAUCUUUUAGCCGUGUGCGGUGCCCCCCUCCACCAUAGUCCACCUCGAUAAUACUGUAGCGGUGCUUAGGCGAAGCCCUGCGUCGGUAGAACAUCAUCAUCGUCACCACGCCAUCGUGCUGACGAAACUCUCCCUCGACACUCGGCUGGAUCGGAGUUCGAGGGACGUCAUCGGGCUGAACGUGUGCUGAACUCGGAGGUGCCGUGCGUUCGUUACUUGAUCGGUCGGAUCAUGAAGACAUACGACUACAUCAACCGCGUUGUGCUAACGCUUCCGCUUUCGGUCUACGAGGGUACGUGGACAACACUCUCCCCUCUCGUUGCUAUGCAUCACCAUGAUCUUGCGUGUGCGUAGGAAUUUUGUUGAAAUUACUACGUUACCCAACAGUAAGUUAGCAGAAACAAUAUAAGAGAAAUUCGUAGGCAUUGGAUCGGUGAAUUCGUUGGAUGAUAUUCAUCAUAUAACAGUCAUAACCUAGGGCGAUACGACACUAGCUCCAGUUUAUAAAUAUAAUGUAGGCAUGUAUUCCGUAAAUAGUCAUACGUGCUUAGGGAAAGGACUUGCAUGACAUCUUUUGUCCUACCCUCCCGUGACACGUGGGUCCUAUUGGAAACUAAGGGAUAUUAAGGCCUCAUUUUAAUAGAGAACCGAAAUAAAGCAUUAACACACGAUGAAUGCAUGAACUCCUCAAACUACGGUCAUCACCGAGAAGUGUCCCGACUUCUGUCACUCCGGGGUUACCGGAUCAUAACACAUAGUAGGUGACUAUAACUUGCAAGACCGGAUCUAGAACAUAUAUAUAAUGGUGAUAACAUAAACGGUUCAGAUCUGAAAUCAUGGCACCCCGCCCCAAAGUGACAAGCAUUAAACAUGGCAAAGUCAUAGCAACAUCAAUCUCAGAACAUAAUGGAUACUAGUGAUCAAGCCCUAAUAAAACUAACUCGAUACAUGAUGAAUCUCAUCCAACUCCUCAUCGACCAGCGAGCCUACGAAGGAAUUACUCACUUCCAGUGGGGAGCAUCAUGGAAUUGGCGAUGGAGAAGGGUUGGUGAUGACGAAGAUCAAAGAUCCCCCUCUCCGGAGCCCCAAACGGACUCCAGAUAUGGCCUCCUGAUGAAGAUCAGGAGGUGGCGGCGGCUCCGUCUCGUGAAACGCGAUAAUUCUUCCUCCCUGAUUUUUUUCUCCAAAUAUGUGAUUUUGUGGUAUCAGGAUUGAGGUCUGCGGGGCCACCAGGUGAGGACAACCCACCUGGAUGCGCCUGGAGAGGGGGGGCGCCCUGGUGGGUUGUGCCCACCCAAGUUCCCCCUCCAAUGGUUCUUGACUCCAGAAAUUCUCUUUAUUAUAUAAAAAAUCCUCGCAAAAUUUCGUUCCAAUCUGAGAACUUUUAUUUCUGCACAAAAACAAUACCAUGGUAGUUCUGCUGAAAACAUAGUCAGUCCGGGUUAGUUUCAUUCAAAUCAUGCAAAUUAGAGUCCAAAACAAGAGGAAAAGCAUUAGGAAAAGUAGAUACGACGGAUAUGUAUUAGGCGUUGAUGACCAGAUGCAUUGAACUCUUGAGGCAUCUCAUAUAUCCUCUCAUGUAGCUAUUACUUGUAUCUCUUAUCUCCCCCCUCUUUCUGUUCUAGCUAAACAUGUGUUGGUAGUGGCUAGCUGCACUUUCCGUGCAAUGCAUUAACUUCAUGUAAUUGACCUUGGUCAUUCAGGUUUCGCACCUGAUUUGAAAUGCAUAAGGCAGAAACUGCUCUGCCUUUUCUUUUAAAAAGAACCUGGCGGGCAGCGCGAAGCCGCAUAUGCAUGCACCACCAUCUACUCCUCCUCCGCUACCGCGUGAUGCCUCUAUUGUCGUGGCCUUCGAGGACGCUGGGGGUCUCGGGAAACCUUGUGCAACACAGCCUCAUCUGAUGCCGUGGGGUUGCCUAUCCCGUCAAGGACACCAGGGGUUUCGGUCAGGCGCGUGUUAGAAUCCCAUAUAGAAUCACAAGCGCUUGGGCACCCCAGUGCGGUAGUGCCUAGCAUUGCUCUCUUUCACAUGGGAGAGCUUGGUUCGAUCCCAGCGACCUCCCUUUUUUCCCUUUACUCUCUUUUCUCUACGAAUCCAUAGCUGAUGGGCUGCAUUGUGCCCAGUAACACUCUGUUUAACUUUUCUAUUUUUUCGGGCAAAUUCGAAUGCUUUUUAAAAUAUUCAUAUAUUCGAAACCUCAACUCUAAAUCUAACAUUUUAUAUAUGAAAAUCCAUCACAAAAAUAUGUAGAUUUCAAAUAUGCUAUUAUCUUGCAUGUUAAUCAUUUAUAAAAAUACAUUUAGGUUGCCCAUCAUAUAUGUUUCCUCCCCCAUAUAUGUAAAUUAGUGGCUUAAUGUUGAUUCCCAUAUUGCUUGAAAUUGUGCCCAUAAAUAUUAUUGGAAACACGAGUACACUAAAAAGUCACCGCACCUUUAUUUCUGCGCAACACCACUUAUUGAUGGCAUCGAGUGUGUGUAUGAGGGAUGAUUUUUUUUUCUUCUGUUGCAUUGCACGGGCAUGUUUGCUAGUGUGGACCUAAGCUAAAUUGCCGCCCUAUAUGCCCGCCUUUAGGUGGGACAUCGACUAUUCUCGCUUUAAGCGAACUAUAGCAUUCACGGGUGCUGUGUAUUGCACAAACGUGCACCCAGCAGCCUCAUGAUGCUCAUGCGGGCCAGCCCAUAUAUGAUAUCUCUCUCUCUCUCGUUCUUGCGACAUGCGAUGUGAUUUUUUUGUUCAUUUUUAGAUCCAAUUUGCAAUUACUGUUUUCUACGUUUGGUCAUUUAUUAUUAUUAUUUUUAAAAAGGAUGCAAGUUUCAAAAAAUGGUUCAUUUUUCAAAAAAUGUUACAAAUCUGAAACAAUGUUUGUAAAUUUUAAAGUAUUCACAACUUCAAAAAAUGUGCAAAUUCAAUGUAUAUUCACAAAUUUGUUUCCGAAGUCAAAAAAAUGCUUGCAUAUUAGCACAAUGUUGGCGAUAUUCAGAAAGUGUUUAUAAACUUUUAAUUUGUUACAAAUUUUAAAUUGAUCAUGAACUGAAUUUUUUUCAAAUUUUUAAGAAAUUUAUCCAAAUUUCAAAAUAAUUUUCAUGAAUUCAAUAGAUAUUCAUGAAUUUUCGAAACAUGUCCUAAAGUUUUUAAAUUAUAAUGUUUUUAUAAAAUGUCUGAAAACUUUAUGAAAUAUAAUGUUUUAAAAGUAUUAUGUUUUAUAAAAUUAUAAUGCUUUAAUAAUGUUUUAUAAAAAAAGAUGAACAUAAAAGGAAAGGUGGAAACAUAUAAUGAAAAUAAAAAUCCGAAAUCUUAGUGAGAAAAAACGGGUCCAAAGUAAUGCAAAGAAAGCAAGAAUCUUCCCCAAACCGGAUGGGGGAGCACAUAUGAAGUCUUAGUUGAGCAGACUCAAUUUAUCAGGUAGGGUUGCGCGUUUGGUCGACAGACAAGGGCAGCGUUUUGUCUUGCCUGCUUGCUGCGAUACAGAGUAUGUGCUCGCGGCAGCCUGUAGUGGGCCGGCUCAGUAGGCACCAAUCACACGGUUCGUUCAUUGGUCUCGUUUUUUUUCCUUCUUUCAUCUUUUUAUUAGUUUUGUUUAUAUCUUAAACGUUCAUAUGUUUGAAAAAUGAUAGAUCUAAUUUUUUAUACAAUGUAAACACAUUAUUAAAAAGAAACAUGAGAUUAAAAAUAUAUUCAUGCAAAUCAAUAAUAUGUUUACCCGCAAAAAAAUCAAUAAUAUGUUUGUGACAUUAAAAAAAUUGUGUAUACAAUGUAAAAAAUGUCCACAUAGUUGAAAUACACGUAUCUGAUUUUUUUGCAUGUAUUUGAAAAAGUAUAUCAUUUUAAGGAAAAAUGUUCAAUGUGUAUCAGAAUAUAUUGCACGUGUACACCAAAAAUAUAAAACAUGUAGUAAGAAAAUCUCAACAAUUUAUUUACAAAGAAAUAGAAAUAGAAGGAAUGGAAGAAAUUGAAAUAAGUCGAAGAAAACCUAUAAGAAGAUACAUUAAUAAAAAGAAAGAAAAAGCCUCAUGAAAGCUCCUAAUACCGAUAAUAAAAGCUGCCAAAAACUGCUCAGUGGACCUACAGUAUUGGGCCGGCCCGCUAGCCUCAUGCCAGAGGUGAGACGGCCGCUUGUCCAUCUGUGGGCGAUAUAGGGAGCACAACUCGCUCGUUGCAAGGAGCAUGGGGACUUUCGCCUACAACGCGAACACAAAUGGGUCGGGCCUAGGUUUUCGCCACACAACACAACGUGGUUGCAUUUUCCCUUUUUCCUUUCUGUCUACAUUUUGAAAACUAUUCUAAAUACGUAUACUACAAAAACUGAAUGUAUUUCAAAGUUUAUAACACACAAUUUUAAAAGAAUGUUAACACAGAGUUAUAAUUUUGGUUGUAUUAAAAAAUAGCUUGAAAUCUAAAGAGUGUUGCGACAUUUCAGAUAAAUGUAUGACAUAUUUUUUAUACAAUGUAAAAAACUGUUCAUGUAAUUCAAAUUUUCUUUCAUACCAUACAAAAAAAAUGUUCACCCAUUUUUAAAAUAGGUUUAUGAUAUUUUAUAAAAAUAUGCAUACAAUAUAAAACAAACGUUGGCGUAGUUUAAAUAAAAUGUUCAACUUGUAUUUGACAAAUGUCCUUUGUUAACAAGGACUGAAGAAAACCGAUAAGGAAAACACAUAGAAAAAAGUGCAAGAAAACAAAUUAAGUUAUGAUGAAAACUAAUAAGAAAAAACACACAAAAAACACAUGGCAGCUUUUAAAACCUGACCAAAUCGGUCCAUAGAAACCUUCUAAAACCGCUUUUGACAGCUAUAAUACAAGUCCGACCUAUUAUAGAAAUGCCAAAGGAGAGGCGAAAGGAACUCUCGGUACGAGCGAAUGGAUGCCCGUAUGUCUCACUUUUAGCGAGUUGUAGGGAAGCCUUGCGUCAAGGCGGUCGCCAGAUGGGCCGGCCUAGCCCGUGGGAGGCCACAACCUUGUUUUCUUUUCUUCUUCUGAUUUCAAUUUUUUUUGUUUUAUUCCUUAUUUAUUUUUUUACUUCCAAAUAUCCUAAAUACAUAUAUUAAAAACAUCACUUUACAUAAAAACAUUUGAAAAGAAAUGUUAAGCAAGUAUUUGAAAAAUGUUAAAUGUGUAUAGAGAACUUGUUUUUCAUGUAUACAUAAAAAAUACAAUGUGUAUCAAAAAAUUUGAUCAUGUAUUUGAAAAUUGCUAAUCAAGUAUUUGAGAAUUUAAAAUGUGUAUAGAGAAAUUAUUGACCUUGUAUUAAGAAAAUAAUCUUGUAUUUUUUCAUCAAGCAUUUGAAAAUAUUAAAAUUUGUAUGCAAAAAAGUUGACCAUGUAUUUAAAAAAUGUUAAACCUAUAAGCAAGGCAUAGCAUGCGGGCGAGCGAGAUAGGCGGCGCGUUACACGUUGAAUAGGAUCCACCACCCUGCUCCGGCAAUAAAACGGUCUUCUUUGGUUAACUGGGCCAACCUGGGCUUCCUGGUGCGAUGCGCGGGCGACGCCUACCCCGAGCCCACCCUCUCCGGUCUAUCCCCUCUCGAUCUAACCGCCCGUGGCGGCGGCGGCGGAUUUUACACUCCUCGACUCCCCCCUUACCCGCCCGCCGCCGGCGCCCGCAACCUCUCCCGGACGCGCCCCUGCCGAGGAUCUGCACUGCCGGCGAGCUCCCGGCGCUGCGGUAAGUAAGGCUCAUCUAAUCCAGCGUCGCAUUGCACGAUUUGUGAGGCCCGAGAGGUUGUUGGCGGGAUGUGAGACCCUCUAAAUUACCGCCAUUUCUUGUUGCCCCGCCGCAGUUUCGGCUCGUUGGAUUCGAGAGUAAGCAGGCCGGCCGGCCGGCCGCCCCUCGUUGCUACCAACAGCCCGCGCUAUAAGCCAAGCCUGGCGGGCAGCGCGAAGCCGCAUACGCAUGCGCCACCACCACCUCCUCCUCCGCUGCCGCGCGAUGCCUCUCCUGCCGUCGCCGCCGAGGACGCUGCGGGUUUCGGGAGGCCUUGUGCACCACCGCCUCAUCCGAUGCCAUGGCAUGCCCAUCCCGCCGAGGACGCCGGGGGUCUCGGGCGGGCGCCUGUUCGCCUCCCUCCCGCUCCCGCCGCCUCUCCAGUCCCCAAGGUACCCCCUUCCAUUCUUAUGUGCCUUGCAAGCUGUGAUUCCUUGGAACCUGCGUGGACACAUGGUAGAUCUGCCUCUGGCGGCAGGCAGUAGAGGUUAUGCUGCCAGCGUAUGACGUUUUCAACCAGUUGGUUAGAGGUUUCGUCGGCGGUAAGGGGAAUCGGGGAUAUGAGGAGAGCAGCAAGGGGAUGAGAUUGAAGAGCAGGAGGUGUGAACUGGGGAGCAUUUUCAUUCAGCAUACCGAUCUGUUCGAUUACACGGCAUUAAACUAGAUCUGGGCACCACAGCUGGCAGGUGGGCCCUACGACACUCGCUACCCCUUCUAUCCUGGAUCAACCCGUGUCGGGUAACCUCACGGUGGCGGCCACAGGCGACGGGGACGUGAUACUAUGCUCCACGUCUCGUGUCUGUCUCUCCUUAAUAUGGAAAGUACUUCAUAUUAGAUAAUGCCGGAGAUUGCCAAGAUUACUGGCUUCUACUUGCUAUUGCCGAUCUUGUUUGUUCACUAAAAAUGUGAAAUAGGUACACUUAUGUGCAUGAAAAUAACAUAGUGCAUGAGAACUGAGCACAUCAGAAAUCACCAACUAUUAGGAUGAGACGGCCGUUUGCUUUUUGUUCUGAGAGAGCGGAGAUUGUUAGCUCGGUUAGAGUUUUCAUAGGGGCUGGUGGUGGGCAUUCACUGAAGGAGAUUGUGCUCAUGCUUAUCAGGGAUCGUCGGGUUUUAUUAUAACUCUCCUUAAAAUCUCUAUUCCUAGAUACUCCCUGAUAUUGGCAUAUGGAUAGAAUGAUUAGCUUUUGGUUCAGUAAUUGUUCCCCUAGGUUAGGUAAAGCCUGUACUUGAUGAGUGUCACCCUUUUCACAUUUGCAAAUGGUUGGUUUCUUUUUUCUUAUAAUAGCGCUAUUUAGUGCAUUGAAAUAUUUUGAAGACAUUUGGUUUAUGCGUUUAUUUCUGUUGUAUUGUAGAGAGGUGCAUGUUUGGUAUCUUUGCCCCGAUGAGCUGAAUAAUCAGUCCCAGCUGAAUAUGUAUGAAGAACUCCUGUCUCCUUCUGAAAGAGAGUAUGCUGACUCUAUGAAAGCAACAAUGUUGCGGAAAGAUGUUGUUUUGUCCCGUGCAUUGUUGCGCACCACCCUCUCAAGAUGUAUGUAACCACCAACUGUCUAUUGCACUGUCAUUCACACUUAAUUUUCAUGCCUGUUACUAACUUACCAUUUGAACUGCAAAACGUCUUAUAUUUAGUUACAAAGGUAGUAUCAUUCAAGAGAUCUUGUUGUAUGUUAUUCUUGUUAUUAUGAGUUAUUUAAUCCGGAAAUUUGUUGCAGAUUUUAGAUUCACAAGCAUAUAUAUGUUGGUUAGGAUUGACAUCAAAGAUAAUCCUUUCCAUGGGUUGUGCUGUAUAUAUAAACUAUUUUUCUUAGUUUAUAUACCUUGUAAUCUUUGUAAUCAUCAGGAAAACUUUAUCUUCGUAAGAAAACAACUUAAUAUUUCUGGAGAGCUUCGGAGCUAAUGCAAUUUAUGACUCUUAGAUGCACUGAGUUAUAUUGCCUUUGAACUUUGCCUGUAGAUAGGUGGGCUUCCAUUUGCGCAUUCAUCUUGUCUUACAUAUACGGAAAGUAUAUGAUUCAAAAUCAUCGAUGUCAUGUAAAUUGGGCUUCUUGCAACACUAGAUGUUUUUCUCUCCUACUAGGUAUAAUAUCACUUUCUGAUGCACAAUUUUCAUAAAUAGUCCUAAAAAUGGAGAAUGAACAUAUCUUCCAUUUGACCUGAAACAUGGAAUUUUGACAUGCUGCUCAAUGUUAAGUUUAUAAGCAUGUUAUCUUGUCAAUAAUUAUACUAUACUCGUCUUGUUAGUUCUUAUCAACUACUCCCUCUGCGUCAAAAUAUAAGACAUUUUUUGACACAGUCAUUAACAGAAUUACUGAUAUGCUUAUUUCUAAUUUGUUUGAACUAGAUUAGAUACAGGUUGUAAAAUUGAUCCGAGGUCAUUUGAGUUUAAGAAGAACAAAUUUGGCAAACCUGAGGUAACGGCUUCAGCAGUUAUUUUUUCUGUAAUUUAAAACCUUGUAGCUAACUUGCCUGUUGCUUUCCAUGUUUAAUCAGGUAUUAUGGCCAUUGGAUGAUAGCACUGCGGAGCAACCUUUGCAUUUCAAUAUUUCACACACAACUUCUUUGAUUGCCUGUGGCAUUGCCAUUAAUGCUCAUGUAUGUUCCUUGCCCCUGUGAUUAUCGAAAGUGAGAAAGAAAUGACCAUUUUUCUGUUGCUUUGGAAGUUAUUCAGUUGAUAUUUCUAUUUUAUGUACUGUCUCAGAUUGGCAUUGAUGUUGAAGAGAAGAAGCGGAAUACAACCAAGAAUAUUUUAUCUCUUGCUCGCCGUUACUUCACCCCUUCUGAAGUUGAUAGUCUAGCUGAGAUUUCUGAUUCAGAUGCUCAGCGGAAGGAAUUCCUGAAACUAUGGACUCUUAAAGUUAGUGAGACUCUCUUUGGUCCUCUAAUUAUAGCCAUUUCAUGUGCAUUCACUACGUUGUGCUGGUGUACAUUCUGUAGAACAUUGAGCAGCGAUGGUAUUUUCCAGUAUUAGGGCGGAAUCUAUCCUUGGCCCAUAACAUAGUCUAAUAUGACCACCUAAAGCAUACUGUAGCUGACUUCGUUGUUCUUUGAUAUAAAAAUGCAGGUCUCGAAUGUGUCUAGAGUGAACUCACUUUUAAUGCUAACUAGCUUAAUCCUUCCUUACAUAUGGUUAUAUUUAAUUAAUCAAAUCGAAGGACACAUAGAUGGGCACCUUAUGAAUAGUGCUUUUGUGGAAAAAGGAAUCGGUAUGAGAAGAGUUAGCGCCAAAGUGGGUUUGCAGCAAAUGUUGCCCUAUGUAAAUUUAAUAUUUAUAAUACUGAUUACUGAUACGAUGUUUUAAAAUAAAUUGCUUACAUAGAAUUGAUGUAUAAAUUUUUAGGAAGCAUAUGUAAAAGCUCUUGGAAUGGGUUUCUCAGGUGCUCCAUUCAGUACAUUUUCGAUAAUGCUGGAAACAAGCAAGGGAAUUAGGAUUUCUAAGGUAUGCAGCUUCAACCUUUCCCCUUUGUUGCUGUCUUUAACGUACGCUAUAUGUGUAAGGGAGCUCUGGAAUUAUGUAUCUUAAAAAAAUCCAGAUGAUAUUCUGUGACACCUUCUGACAUGUGGGUCUCCUGGACACCUAACAUUCCUUUUGGCCAACUGUCAGAUGGCAUGUUAAGCAAAUUUCACAAGGAAAAGUAUAUGGUUAUUAUGCAUCACUAGUUAUCAACCCAUGCAGCUGUUCGGGCUAGAUAUUUUAUAUGACACGUAAAUAAAAGAAAGGUCGAGCAAUAUAUUUCUUUAAUGAACAUUACGGGCUCCUUGUGUGGGAGCUUUCAACACUGGGUACACCCUUUGUGCAAUGGAAACUUCAGAGUGCAACAGGAAUAUGAUGAAAAAUUGAACCCGUCAGAAAUAGUCGUUUAAGUCAACUUUAUUUAGGCAGACAAUGUACAUGAUCUCCUGGAUGUGUAUUUCACAUGCAGAUGACAAUGUAACAAAAAAUUGAAACACAAUUCUAAGCCUAUUGGAACCCAGAUACACAUUAUUCUACUAAUCCUUGCAUUGUUACAUCAUAAUAUAUAAUUUAUAAAAGCAAUACAUUGCAUUAGUUGCAUGAUUCGUUGGAGCACCAACAGCCACACUAAUUAUUUGCUAAUGGAGGUUUCCAUGGCGUUUCCACUCUUCGUUCGAAUAUCGCAACUUACUAUAGUGCCAGCAAUCAUCCCUUGGCAUUAACUUUUUUUGGGUGAGAGUGUAGAAUGUGUCGGGCCCUCGCAUCGUCCUCCCGAGGGCGACUCAGGGGUGACUAGGGUUCCCAGCGCUGUCGCGCCCUUCUUCCAUCUCCCUCGCCGCCACCAGAGGAGGACGCUGAGAAAGCUUGCAUGGAUGCCAGUGAAGGUGGCGGCGAGGCUCGUGUUGCUCCGUUUCUUGAGCAAAGGGCUGCAGAUGCUGGGCAGCGGCCCCGGAUGGCGAGACGGUGGUGUCUUGGUGGUAGGCGGCACCCGCAGAUGCUGGUGGCUGGAUCCCUUGGUCGCUUUGGGCGGCGAGGAGUUGGCGGGCGGUGGUCGAGACGCAAGUCCUUCUUCGGCUUCAGGCCCCAGAGCUGAAGGUACGGCCCCCUCCUCGUCAACCCUGGUGCUCGGCGGCCUCGGUUGCCGGUACCCUCUUUGGCGAGGUGUAGGUGUUGCAGGUCUGGGUCCAGGGGAAACCCUUGGCUGGCUGGUCGGGCCACGGCAGGGACACCCAAGGGUGCCACUUUCCUCCCUGGAGGCGCGGCCGAGGACUCUUUCUCCCACCCCUGGCCACUUUCCUGAGCGAAAGCUCAAAAUCUGCUCUGGAUCGAUGUGUGUGCCGUGUUCUCCUUGGAGAUGCCGUCCUGGGAAUGCUGGACUUGGAUGAGUGGUGCUGUGGUGUGGAGGUGUGCGGCGGCUUCGAGUCUCUAGCGGCAGCGAGCUAUCCUAUUUUCUGCAGGUCCGGCGCCUUCCCUUUGUUGGUGCUCUCCGUUCCGGUGUGCGCUGGUAGCCUGGUAUGUUCAUAUGGGUCGACAUCCUCAUCCCUAGGCGGAAGUGGAUGUGGUAGUGUCAAGUAUGUGAUCCGAGUGCCCGGUCCCUCUUUGUGAAGGCUGACCAUGUUUUCAAUGUGUUUGUUGCCUAGGCUUGGCCCGGUGCUGUUCUUUCGUCUUUGAUUGUUCCUAGUAGCUUUCCCUCCUUGCUUGUGUUUCCGAGGAUGGCGGGGCUGCAGUCGGCGUGGUGUGCUUCAUGCAAGCCAUUUGUUGUGAAGUCUCUGUGUGGUCGUGAAGCCGACUCCUUACCUAAUUCUCGGGUGAGCGCCUCUUCUUGCUGACGGUGCAGUGUCUUUCGAGCCAGGACGAGAGGGUAGGGGCCCUCUCUUCCCGUGGCUGCUGGCUGAUCCACUGCUGCCUCUUCUGCUUAGUUAUUUUAGGUUCUUCAGUGUGGUGGGCAGCAACAGUUGCAAGCUGUGCUUUAAUUUUCUAUCUCGUGCUUGCUGUGUGUAUUGCGUUGUAAGCUGCUCUUUCAGCUCCUUGUACCGUUCUGCCGUUGUUUCAUGUUGGUCUUGUGUAAUCCCUGGCCCAUUGAUGGCGUGCUCUUCUUGAGCCUUCUUUCUAAAAGAACAAAUGUUGAACCAAAUUCAGCAGGAAGUUUGGUCUAACGGACAAUUAGGGAGACGAGAAGAUAAAUAAUAGAGGGUAAUCAUGCAGGGAUAUUCUCGUUGAAGUGAAAAACUUUUAAGUAUAAUAAAGUUCAAUCUGUGAUGACUGACAAGAAACCCUCCCACAAACAAAAGCUUGACUUCUAACAAUGAGACGAAGUGUGUCGAAUUCAUUGCUCUUUCUAGGAGACUCCUUGGAAACCUCAGCCUGCAAGCAUAGAAACACCAUCAUUUGGGUCCCCUAGUGUGUAGUAGAGGGCUCAUUUAUCCAGCACGUAAGCAUUUAUUUACAAAUUUUUCAUGUCACUGUUACUGAAGACUGAAUACCAGUUAAAAAAAAUAUUAUCUGCAUGAAUGAUGUGCUGUUGACGAAAACAUGGAAAUUAUAUAUACUAACAGUCAUAAUUCAGUCCCAAAUUUUCAACAUUUUUUACUUCACAUAUGUACCAUUGAUAUAAACAUGCUUCCCGCUUGACUGGUAAACAUGAAGACAAUCACAGGUAAACCUAAAAGAAACUAAAGCAAAUUAGAGGACAGACGUGAAGAGAAGAGGUACAGUACAGUAUACCCACAACCGAUUUUAGCAGCUGUUUCAGAAUACAUGCACUUAUGAGAGUAUCUAGGCCUAUAUAUUCUGAGCCCGACCAAUACAAUUUUACACCUUUAUCUGCUGAAGUACUGACUACAGGAAUGGUGUUGCAUGUCAACACCAUGUGCUCAAUGGGCACAGGAAAACUAAGUGAAAGUCACAAUUAUGACUUGGUAUUUCAUCUAAAAACAAAGGUCAAGAACACAACAUUAGAAUUAGUUAAGCACAUCCGUACUUUGAGUUCUGACACACCCAUACGUCGUCAACAAUCUCCUCUCUGCUGCAAAAUACACAUAAGAAAACCAAGCUUUUCUGAUCUCAAGCCUCACAAACAGCAGAGUUCACAUUCCAUAGAUUUCUUGAUCCGACAUUAGGGAUAAAGCAUAUUUGUCGUGGGUCCUUGUUAUGAACUCAAUAGGUCGGAGAAUACAGCAGUGAAUUUGGGGAUUGAUGGUUACUUCCUUUUGAGUUCGGAAAGGAUUGCUGGAGAAUGAUCUCAAACAGUCUCGAGGAGGGUAAACUACUGUGCUGGCUGCUCGUAGACCCGUGCGUGGGAGGCGACGGUGAAGUUAGGGAGUCAGCAGGUAAGGAGAGGAAGAGAAACAAAAGGAGUCCAUGUGGGAGAGGGUGAGGUUUACUUAAUCAAACGGCUACAUAGAUAGCUUGAAGGUAGACCGGAUAGUUGUUAUUCCUCUGGGACAAAUUCUCUAGGAUUAACGUGAGUCCUCGAAAGGAGCCUCUAGUUAGUAACUCUAAGAUAAUGGUGCCUUAUUACUGUGUUGCAACUUAGGAAUAAAUCAAUUUUAAUCGAUCUGCCUUGACUCUUGUUGGAUCUGUCAGACAUCGAAUGCUUCCAGGCCUGGUUGUGACCAUCUGUCUGAGAACUGGCUGUUUACACUCGCGGAGCUAAAUAGUUCUCACUACAUGUCAGUUUGUAUAGAGGACAGCUCCAGAAGUCAAGGUCUGUAUAUAUUGCCAGCUUGGGUAAUAACAGUUUGCUUACCUUGUUCUUCCAGUUACUUCAUUGUUGUUGUAUAUGUUGCGUAGCAGGUCCUGAAGACAGCCCAGCACCAGUAGGACUGAAAGUAUGGAAGACUGUACCGUUUGUCGAAGAUACACUCGUCUCUGGAACAGAAGCUGUAAAACUUAUUGCCUGAUUACUGAAACAUUGUUGUGAAACACAUUUGGUCCAGUACCGGUAGGUUUUGGUCUCUGCCCACUGAAACAUCAUUGUUCCUGUGCGUUGCCUCUCUCUUGGUGGAAACAUUGUUUGUCUGAGCUGCCAUUCAUUGGCUGUCACUACAUUGCCAUAUGUAUCUUCAGAGUUUGUUUGCUCACAGCAGUUCUUUUCGGACACAUAUCUCGUGAUUUGAAGCUGUUGGAGAAGGGCUUCAGAGAAGCAUAUUGGCCGAAAGCCCUGUACGUGCAAUUUUAGGGCUGAGUGAUUGCUCCAUCUAGUUUGUUCUACUUCUAUACCAAAACAGAGUUACCCUGUUUUAAAAGAAAGAGUUGCUCAAUUUUUAUCAGGGAAAGCAGAGUCUUAAUCUUUAUUUAUCUAGAAUGUUAUAUGGGAUACAAAGGACAAUGUGACCAUAAUAACAUCCUCUCCUGCAACAAUUCAAGUUCUUUGCCACUGAGCAGUCAUCAACUCACCAAAUCACGCAUGCCAGAUCGCCCACAAUGUCACAAGCACUUUCACCAUCUUCGUGUUUCAAGUGAUCAAUCAGAGUAAAAGGUCAUUCCAGUUUAUGGGGUUCUCGCCGGUUCUGCAAUAGUUUGGUCACGUCCUCGUCAGUCAGAGGCCGUACACACACUGACAUUGUGCACUCCAGACGGGAACGCCUUGAGGAAUCCACGUGACCGCGUAUCUUGCAUCUCCUGCAACAUGCAUUCCUAUAAACUACUCCCUCCGUACCCGUGCAUAAGCCAUUUUUAUAAAAACCAAAUAAUCUCAAAAUACUUAGGCGUGGUGCAUUAACUUUCACCCCUUUCUUAUUUCUUGACAUGAAUAAAGAAAUCAACCAAUAAGAGACGUAGGACGUGUAUGUUUUUAAUGAGUUAAGACUACCUAUCACGGCAUGCACGGUCAUGGUGCAUAACGUAAGAUGACUUAGACUACCCAUAGUGAGGAGUAACUUAGUAACAUGCAUAUACUAACAUGCAUAUGUUACUAGUCUAUAUUUACCUCUAUAGUGAGGAGUAACAUAUGUGUGGUGUCAUGCAACACUCUAUUUAUUAGGUUAUAGACUCAUCUUGUCUUGGUAUGUGAGAUGUUAUUCAUAAUAUGAAUAAUUACAAUAUUACCAUAUGCCUCUCUUUCCUCAUUAAUUUCUUGUCACAUCAUCUAUUUUACCUAGUUAGGCUGGUAAUAGUGGGGAGUAACUUGUACUAGUGUCAUGCAUAUGACACUAGUCUAAGUUACUAUCUUCAUAAUGCAAAGUAACAUAAUAGUAGUGUCAUAGAUGGCUUCAUUUAUUAGGUUGUAGACUCAUCUUCUCUUAAGAAGCGCUAUGUUACAGUAACAUAUUAUGUUACUCUAAACACUUCUCUCCUCAUUAAAUACAUGCCACAUAAGCAAAUUUGUCUUGAAAUACGGUAUGCUACUAGCUAAGUUACUCCCACUAUGACUAGCCUUAUAUGUGAUGUUAGAGCAUCUCCAGCCGCGCCACCAACACGCCCCCCAGGCCAUUUUUUAGCGCCGGCGUCGAAAAAUCGCCCCAGUCGCGCCCCCAGGACCUUGUUUAUCGCCGGUUUGGGCCGAAAUAACAGCCGGCGAACCCGAGCCAAACCCAAGCCCCCGGGGGGCGCCUGGGGGCGUCGCCUGAAGCAAAAAGACACUUUUUCCCGCAGAUCCCCCGCUUUCCCCCUCCAUUUUGCCUCCAUUCCCCCGUUCUGCUCUCUUCUCCCGCCAUUCUCCUCUCUCUCCCCGCCAUCCGGCCGCCAUCCCGCCAUGGCGCCGAAGAGGUAUACGGCCCCUCGCACCGCUGCCACCCAGCCAAAGCAGAGGAAGCCGAGGACGGCACCCGAGUGAUGAUGCCUCCACGACGCCCAGCACAGAAGCCGCGCUGACGAUGACCAGCCCGGGCACGCCGACUCUCGCUAGUCCGACGCCUGAGGAGCACGCCGCCGUUUGAUGCAUUGCCUACGCGUCCUUCCUUUUGAACGACGAACUUUCGAGUAUGAUUGAUCGCCGAACUAUGGCAUGGUGAUCGCCGAACUUUGUGGCAUUGAUCGUCGAACUUGUGGCGUCUUUUUGGGUAGCGGGAAAUGCCAUGUUUGAAUUUAUACGCGUCUUGGGGGCGAACCUGGGGGCGUGACUGGGAACUAGAUCGCCCCCAGGGCUAAAAAAGCGCCCGCUGAGGGGCCAAACCACAAUCGCCGGGUGCGCCUUGGGGCCGAACGAGUGGAGAUGCUCUUACUCCCACUAUGGGUAGUCUUAUGCACCAGUACAGAGGGAGUGGUACGAUUUUGCCGUGGGGAGUGAGUGCUUGCCAAGUCGCCACAAAAAUACCCUGAUCUUUGAUGGCACUUGGACUCUCCAAAGAGAUGUCCAGUUCUUCUCCAACUGUCUUGUUGGGACUCAUCUUGUCUUGGUAUGUGUGAUGUUACUCAUAGUAUGAAUAACAUACAAUGUUACCAUAUGCCUCUCUUUCCUCAUUGAUUUUUUGCCACAUCAUCUAUUUUACCUAGUUAGGCUGGUCAUAGUGGGGAGUAACUUGUACUAGUGUCAUGCAUAUAACACUAGUCUAAGUUACUACCUUCAUAAUGCAAAGUAACAUAAUAGUAGUUUCAUAGAUGGCUUCAUUUAUUUGGUUGUAGACUCAUCUUCUCUUGAGAAGCGCUAUGUUAUAGUAACAUAUUAUGUUACUCUAAACACUUCUCUCCUCAUUAAAUACAUGCCACAUAAGCAAAUUUGUCUUGGAAUGCGCUAUGUUACUAGCUAAGUUACUGCCACUAUGACUAGCCUUAUAUGUGAUGUAUGUUACUCCCACUAUGGAUAGUCUUAUGCACCAGUACGGAGGGAGUGGUACGAUCUUGCGUGGGGAGUGAGUGCUAGGCAAGCCGCCACAAAAAUACCCUGAUCUUUGACGACACUUGGACUCUCCAAAGAGAUGUCCAGUUCUUCUCCAACUGUCUUGUUGGAGUUCGACGCUCUACCUUCCAGCCACGCCUCCCAUCUUCCCUUGGUGCAAGCGAGCAUGGUGAGAACACUCUUGUUUGUAAAUAGUUUUACUUGUUUUAAGUACCACUUUAUGUAUGACCUUUAACAAAUUUUCCGCGGGAAUCAUCUAAUAGUAUACAAAUAGGAAGCCUGGCAGAAAAAAGAUACGUGGACUCAAUCAGUAGCGGAGAGCGGCAUGGAAGUAAGAAGGGGCCAAUUGAUAAGCCAAAGUAAUAGCACAGGAAAAAUAAGAAAAUUGUCUCACAUGGGCCAACAAUUACAGAUUUAUUAGGCCUCGUAAUCGGGUUGCGCCGUCCCCCCAAAAGCUCUGCUCCUGGGUUCAAUCUUAUUUUUUCUGAGAUACGGGUCCUGUGACAGCCUGGAUUUGCCUUCUCUCUUUCUCCGGACUUUCAUUUGCAUUUGCUUUGGAUUUGGAGUUUUGAAUCAAUUCAAAUGGACUUGAACACUUGGGCCUAUCCUUGAUUUUCACCCAAGUGACCCAUCCACCUCUAACUCACCUUUCCUUCUCUGAAAAACUCGAACAAAAGCCCAAGGAAUAUUUUUCAUAAAACAAAAUAUUCAUUUUCUUCCCUGAAAAUCACUUCAGAGAAGUAUGCUCGAAAGCAACCCCUAGAUUUCUUGCUCCAAAAAUCCUGAAUAAAUUCACAAAUAUUCUUUGAACCUUAGGGCACCUUCCUGAGCAAAAAUAUUGCAUAACUUUUUGUAAUAUUUUUGCUACAGAAAAUCAUUUCUGUUCUGGACAGAAUGAUCACUUUGCACAGCAAGUAUAUUUUUCCUUGAUCUUUUGGGGCUGAUCUUUUCUGAGCUUGAUUACCCUCCUAAGAGAUUGCUAAACCCCAAAGCACAGCCUUUAGUUCUCACUAAAUUUUGCUCAGUGAAGCUCACAAGUUUCUGUCCAGAAACUUGCCACGAAGAAAGCCACUCCCACAGUUCACCCGUGACCCAGCCAACCGUGCAAAACAACCAAAACCACUAAGGACUAACUGCCAGACAUGGUGUUUGCGCUUAGCUCAGCCUGAUGCCAAAGUUCACGCGAUGACCACGAGCGUCCAAGGGGGUUGGCAUGCAGUCGACGCGCUCUGCGGUGCGCCAGCGUCUCUGUUUCGCGCGUGCUUGCUGCCCCGGCCGCCGCACCUUGCCAAACCGCGCCCCCAUCCUCAUUUGCACCUCCAUAACUCCACCCUGGCGCUCGCCGAUGCCGGAGCUCGCUGCAUCGAGCACGGGCACGGUGCGGCCAGGGCAACAGUGCGCCCGUGCCCCUGUGCUCGUCGCGUACGGCGCUCCUGUGCUCGUCGCAGCUCGUCUACAGCCCCCGCGUGAUCCCCGACACCUUCUCCCCCUCUCACUGACGCCAUUCGUCGCCGGGCGACACUCUAGAGAGCUCCUGCGAGCUCUCGAUCCCCGCCUAUAAUAGAGCUCCCCCGAGCUCGUUUCUCUCCGCACACACACUCAACACACCUCCACACCAUCGUAGGAAGCCGCAGCCCGGUCGGGACAGGCCUCUGGCCGCCGUCCCCGCCCCGAGCUCGCCGGCGAUCCCCGUCCUCUGCCCCCUUCCUCUCCAGAGCCGCUCGAGCUCCACUGACCACUCCGGCGUGUUCAUGGUGGUCCACUGGUGCGUGCUGGUGCCGUUGGAGCUGCUGGACUGGCCCUGCUUCACCGGAACCACCAUCUCCGACGAGCUCCGCCCGCUGCCGCCGCUGGAGAGCUCCGUUCCGACCCCGUCCGGCGACCCCUAGCCACGCUACGGGUAUGGGCAGGUGCGCCUCGAUCUCCUCUACAACCCUAUCCUCUUAGAUCUCGUCGCCGGGCACUCCUCGCCGGAGAAAGCGCCGUCGCCGCCCCGCCCGCCUCUGCUUCUCUUCCCCUCUCCCUCCGACCUGACCGUUGGGGCCCGCUGUCAGCCACUCAGGCCGCGGCCGAAGCGGUAUGAGUGGUGGCGCCCAGGCGGUUUACGCCUUCGACGUCACCCCCUCUAGUUUUUCUUUUAAUUCAAAUUUAGUUCAAAUUUGACAAGAACUUUGACUAGCUGUAACUUUUAUUCUACAAGUCCAAAUGAGUUGGUUCUUUUUGCAUUCUUUUCUUACUAGAAAAUCCUAGCAACACAUCCAAGAUGGGAUUUUUCUUUGCUGCCUAGAAUUUUUGGUAAUUUUCAGAAGUGUUCUUGAUAUUUUCCUUUUGUCAUUUGAUUUAUUUUCAGAAGGUGAAGCUUGUCUUGAAGGCAUCCAGGAGGAGUGUGAAGCUCCUCUGCACUAAGGCAAGCCACAACAACAUUGUCAUGGUGUCUUUGCAAUAUCCAUGAUUUUCUACUUGGAUUUAUAUGUUAUUCAUUGCAUAUAGUAUUAAAAUAAAUAAUGCUUGUGUUAUUUAGUUUGUCAUGAUCAAAAUGCUUAGUUAACAGAAAUGAAUGCUUGAACUAGUGAGAUAUAGCUUGAGUAGUUGAUCUAAGUAAAUUUGUCAUGGCUAUGGUGAUAUGAUCAUCGGUCUUAUUUUUCCUAUAUGGAAAAAUGAGUUUAUUUGCUAAAUGCCAACUAGAGUGAUGAGUAUAAGUAACAAGUAAGAAAGGACCAGAAAUGUUGAAAGUUGAGUUUGUGCAAGUAGAACUUUGAAUAAGGUUGAUCUGUUAUUUCUAAAUGGAUGUGAUGCAUGAUAUAUGGUUGCAUAAGCAUGGCAUAUAGUGACUCAAGCAUUUUAUUUUCAAGUUAAACCUGAUGAUAAUUGAACUUGAACAUAAAGUUGGUCGGGUCAUGGUGCCACUGAAUCGGGCUGACAAGUGCAACCACAUUUGCCUUAGUAUGGGGAGGCUGUUAGUCGUUCUGUUGUCAUGCCUUUUAUCGGUGCUUCCAACAAGGGAAGGUUAUGGGCAUGCGUUACCCUGGCCCGGUAAGCAGACAUAACCUUGUGGACCUGUUGUUGUUAUGGUACCUUGUCCCUGUUUGGGACAUUUUAUUUGCCACGACGGUGGUUGUUUUGCCUUUGGUAGGCUUGGUCACCCAUGACUAAUCUCAGUGGGGAGUUGGUCGGAGUGGCUGUAAGAGUGUCAUGGCAAUGGGAGGGUUCUGUCGGAAUGCCGUUGGUCCACCCGAAUGGGAAUGCGAGACCAUGGUUUCCGUGGUGUGGGUAAAGUGCGCUACCUCUGCAGAGUGUAAUAAUCUAUCGAUAGCCGCGCCCGCGGACAAGGGCCCAAUUCGUAAGUAAGUCACACCAUGGAUCAACUUUCAUAAAUAAAUCUUGCACACUAAGUUAUUUGCAUUGCACUGGUUGGAUCAUGAUGAUGUCAGUGAGACUGACUGUAGUGGUAUCACUUGUGAUCCGGGAGUGAUCACUGUUUGAUUACGAGGUAACCAGUUGAACCAAGUAUGAUUCCAUUCGUGAUUCGUCGUGAGCACUGUUCGGUUGCGAGGCAACCUGUUGGUAAGAGAGUCCGAGUGACUCGAUGCACAAGUUUGGCUUCACUGCAUGAGUAGCAUGUUGUUGUUUGCAUUUAACUUGAUUAAAUGUCAUGAUAUUGUUUGUCAUUAUGGUUCUGUUUGCUGUGAGCUUGCAAGUACAUUCAAUGCGCCGACCUGGCGUGUUAUGCUAGAUUUCAGGAAAGUCUAACUGGAUCGGAGUGCUGCUGUGUCUAGACCGUGUCCACAUCGGUGUCCCUGUGCUAUGGAGUCCCGCUACGUCGUUGUUUCGCUGUCGUGUAGAUGUCGUGCUCGAGGCCCCUUUUAUGUUCACUAAAUAAUGUACAUAUUGUUCAGCCGCACCGAGUGUGCCGCUUGGCCUCGUAACUUGAUGUAAUGUCGCACUAUGCUUCCGCUAGUUUCAAUAAAGCGGUGAUUUCUAUACCAAGAUGUUGUGUGUUGCCAGAAGACAUGAUCUCUGGGUUGGCAAUGCAAGUUAAACCGGUCGCUCUGAGCCGGGGUGCCACAACGCUUGGUAUCAGAGCCGCGCUGACUGUAGGACACGCUAGACCCCGACACGCGAAGUAAACGUUAGUUAGUUUGCUAAUUGAGUGCCGUUAGUAUUUGCAUCUGGAUGCUGCAUUGCAUGCAUCAGACUUAUUGUUAUUUCUAACCGGUUAAUGGUUGUGUGUGUAGAUGGCUCCGGUGCUGUAUCCAUGCCAGUUGCAGCUGAUGCCUUACACUUCUCCGCAUCUCCUCCGUAGCGUGUGGCGUUGACUGUACCUCACGGUGAUGACCCAGCAUAUCAGGUGUACCGGGAGCGUCUAGCCGACUCCGUGUAUGAGUAUCAUGUUGUGGUUACUCUGCGCACCAGUUCGUCAGCGGGUUCUUACACUCGUUCCUCUCGGAGCAGUUGUGCAUCCACCGCCGCUCAGGCUGUCCAGUAUGCUGCAUUCGAGAUUCUUUUUGAGUUACGCUAUGCUGAGGCUCGGAUGCAGAACUACCCAGGUUUUCGCUUCUACCCAUCUUUGCACGACGAUGGUCGUGUUCGCUUUCAUUCCAUUGAUCCUGCGUCUGAUAGUGACACUAGCCACCUUUCUCGAUAUAUCACUACUAGUUAUCUUCUGAUUCAUGAGUUGGCUCGAGAGCUGAAUCGUGCUCGUUCUGCUUUAGCCGCCGAUAGAUCCUACCCUACUCCACCUUCUAUGGGAUUUACUCCUUAUAUUGUGCCCAGUUCUAGCUCGCCUAUUUCUCCGGUUACUCCCCUGAGUAGCUCGGGCACCUCGACAGUGAACCCACACAGUGCUCCUGCUGAGUGGGCGUCUCUUCUUGCUACCCCCGCAGCUCCCAUGAUCCCUUCUCAUCCCGCGCCUACCCCUGAGAGAGAGCCCUCGAGGCAGCGUCGUCGUAUUACCUUUAACCCGGAGGUCUCGGUUGGCGUCGUCAGUUCAGGAUCUGGGUCUGACUUAGGAGAGGAUCCGGCAGCGCCGGCAGAGUCCUAGAGCGUCUGAGUAUCCGUAGUGGUCAUGUGAUGUACGGAUGUAGUUGUAUGAGCCAUGGUGUAUCGUUGCAUGUAUGCAAGUAGUCGCACCAGUCAUGAUGUCUAUCUUUCAUGUAUGAGUCUAUGUAUAAUUAUGUUGGAACUUUUUAUUCAAUCGCCGUGUUUCUUGGUUCGUUCGUUUCGCUCUUUCGGGUUUGUCACUGUCUUUUCUUCCCACGUUUGGAUGUUGCCCAUCGCGGUUGCUCUUAUUGGAAAAAAUAAACAGUAGGAUGACGCGGGGAGGCAGCAGCACGCAGGCUUGUGAGGAUGUCCCUGUUCGUCGCUCAGCAAGACAGGCAGGACACUCCGCCGAGCCGUAUACACAGCCACCGCCUCCACCGCCAAAUCCACCCUCCACUGAACAAAUUAUGCGCAUGUUUGAGGAAAAAAGGAACAAUGAUCUGAUUGAGCUAUUAAAAAGUGUGCAAGCUAUGGUUGGGCAGAAUGGGAAUCAAAAUGGCCAUAACUCCAAGCUGUCAGAUUUUUAAAGGACUAAGCCUCCCUGUUUCAGUCAAGUGGUUGACCCUUUGGAAGCAGACGAUUGGUUACGAAGCAUUGAGAAGAAACUUGAAAUUGCUCGCACUGAAGAAGCUGACAAGGUUCCGUUCGCUACCCACUAUCUUGAAGGAGCCGCUGCUAUAUGGUGGGAUAAUGCUAAAGCUCUGUGGCCUGCGGGAAAUAAAUUAUGUGGACUAAUUUCAAGGACCAAUUUCUCAAGCAUAUUCCAGCUGGUAUCAUGAAGGUCAAGCAACGCGAAUUUCUAGGUCUCACUCAAGGAAGUCUGUCAGUAAGUGAAUAUUUGCACAAGUUCAACCAUCUGGCCCGUUAUUCCCUUUAUGAUGUGGCCAUGGAAGAAAGGAAGAUUGACAGGUUCCUUGGAGGAUUAAAUCAACACCUCAGGAGUGCUCUCUGCAUGGUCGAUUUUCCAGAUUUUCAGUCUCUGGUAAACAAGGCCCUCAUCGCAGAAAGAGAGUACAAGCCUGUGCAAGACAACCGACCCGCAAACAAUGACCACAAGCGUAAAUUUGAGCCGAAGAAGGACGGACAAUCCAUACAGAAGGCCCGUACCUGGCAACAGACUCAAGUGGAGUACAAACCCAAUUGGCAGCAGAAUGUGAACAAGACCACUACUCAAGUCAAGAAUGUCGUGACCAGUCCAGUACACGAGGAGCGCCAGCACAACAAUGCUUGCUUUAAUUGUGGACAGACCAGACAUUAUGCCAGGUAGUGUCCCAAGAAGUCAAAAUGCCCCGUUCCGGCCGCAAGUCAAUCACAUGGGGCCAUAUCAUACCCAGAAGAUCGUCCAAGGGCAAGUUCAUCACCUCUCCACAGACGAGGCUCAGGAAAACCCCGAAGUCGUCAUUUGUAUGUUUUCUGUUAAUAGCAUACCCACGAUAAUUUUAUUCGACUCUGGGGCUUCCCACUCUUUUGUUUCUUGGAGUUUCAUUGCCCGAAACAAAUUUCCUUGCUCGCUUUUGGGAAAAAGUAUGAUGGUUUAGUCCCUGGGAUCUGUGCUCAAAAGCAAUUUGGUCUGCCGGAAUUUGGAAAUUGGUAUUAAGGGGGUCCGCUUUCCAACCGCUUUGAUAGUCAUCGAGUCUGCCAAGUUGGAUGUUAUUUUGGGAAUGAACUGGUUGACUCAAUAUCAAGUAUGCAUAAACUGUGCGACCCGAGAAGUCAGCCUGACAAAUCAGGAAGGGCGAGCCAUAAAAUUUUAUGCCCGCAAAGGUAUACCCAAAAGGGAGAUGGUCUUCACUGCAGUAGCCGAAGAAUUGGAUCUGAUUCAUGUGGUCAGUGAAUUUCCCGAUGUAUUCCCUGAGGAAUUACCCGGAAUACCCCCCAGUCAGAGAGCUUGAGUUUGCAAUUUAUCUUGUACCUGGGACUGCACCGUUGUACAAAAAGUAUUAUCAGAUGCCUUCCUCCGAACUCGUGUAAUUAAAGAAGCAGUUGGAUGAGAUGCUGCAGAAAGGAUAUAUCCGCCCAAGCUCGUCACCAUGGGGAUCACCUGCAAUAUUUGUAGACAAGAAAGAAGGUGGUCUCAGAAUGUGCGUUGACUACCGUCAGUUGAACGAUGUCACAAUCAAGAACAAAUACCCGCUACCAUGGAUUGAUGACUUGUUCGAUCAACUCAGUGGUGCAAAAAUAUUUUCCAAGAUUGAUUGAAAGACCGGAUAUCAUCAACUGAAGAUCAAGAAGGAAGAUAUUCCUAAGACCGCGUUCACUACCCGUUACGGUCUCUAUGAAUAUACGGUGAUGUCCUUCGGGCUCACAAUUGCCCCCGCCUUUUUCAUGCAUAUGAUGAAUAAGGUGUUCAUGGAAUUCUUGGAUAAGUUUGUGGUGGUUUUCAUCGAUGAUAUUCUCAUAUACUCUAAAAGUGACGAAGAAAACACGGAACACCUUCGAGAAGUCUUACAGAGACUCCGUGACCAUCAGCUGUAUGCAAAAUUCAGCAAGUGUGAGUUUUGGCUCAAACAAGUUGGAUUUCUGGGGCAUGUUCUUUCAGCAGAUGGUAUCGCAGUGUAUCCCAGCAAAGUGAAAGAUGUGCUUGAUUGGGCAGCACCCACGACGGUAUCCGAAGUCCGGGGUUUUCUUGGAUUAGCCGGGUAUUACCGUCGGUUCAUCGAAGGAUUCUCCAAAAUUGCCAAGCCAAUGACAGAACUCCUCAAGAAAGACAAGAAGUUUGAAUGGACUGAGGAUUGCGAGCAGAGCUUUAACGAGCUAAAAACCAGAUUGACAUCAGCACCAGUACUGACUCUCCCAGACAUUUACCGCAACUUUGAUGUGUAUUGCGACGCAUCCAGAAAGGGCAUUGGGUGCGUACUUAUGCAAGACGUCAAGGUGGUAGCUUACGCAUCUUGCCAACUACGACCACAUGAAAGAAACUAUCCUACACAUGAUUUGGAACUGGCCGCUAUUGUGCACUCUCUAAAUAUUUGGAGACAUUACCUCAUUGGAAAGAGAUGUUAAAUAUUUACCGACCACAAGAGUCUCAAAUAUAUAUUCACCCAUCCAGACUUAAACCUUCGACAACGAAGAUGGCUCGAGUUGGUCAAAGACUAUGAUCUGGAAAUAAAUUACCAUCAAGCCAACGUGGUUGCUGAUGCCCUCAGUCGCAAGCCUGCCAACUUAAAUGCCAUGAUGGAGUCUUUGCCUCCAGAACUCCAGCAAGAGAUCGCUUAGCUCAACUUGGUAAUUAUAAAUGCCGGUCUUAGGAAUAUUUUGGAAGUAACUCCUACUCUAGAAGAGGAGAUUCACAUAGCACAGGCUGACGACAAGAUUCUGCAAGUAUAUCUCAAACGUCUGCAUGAAGGCAAGACUCAGGAUUUCUCAAGGGACGCAUUGGGUACACUCAGGUUCCAAGGAAGGAUAUGCGUACCUCAGCAAGCAGAUUUGAGGAAUAAAAUUUUGGCAGAAGCACACGAAUCCUCAUAUUCAAUACACCCAGGCGGCACUAAAAUGUACGAAGACCUUCGACAGAUAUUUUGGUGUGAUGGAAUGAAAAGGGACAUCGCAUAUUUUGUCGCUUGUUGUGACAUCUGCAACAAAGUAAAGGCGGAACACCAAAAACCCGCCGGACUUCUCCAACCUCUACCCGUCUCGCAAUGGAAAUGGGACGAUGUCUGCAUGGACUUUAUCACCGGUCUACCCAGGACUCACCGAGGCAAUGAUGCUAUAUGGGUCAUAGUGGACACGCUGACUAAAGUGGCUCACUUUAUUCCCAUCCGCACCACCUUUCGCGCUGAUCAACUUGCACAAUUAUAUGUAUCUCGGAUUGUUAGUUUGCAUGGAGUGCCAAAGACAAUCACUUCGGACCGAGGUUCAUUGUUUACAUCCGCAUUCUGGUCCCGACUCCAUCAAGCUUUGGGGACCGCUCUCAAAUAUAGCACCGCCUAUCAUCCAUAGACAGACGGUCAGACUGAGCGGUUAAAUCAAAUCCUUGAAGAUAUGCUUCGAGCAUGUGCCUUAGCCCACAGACCCAAAUGGGAAGAUUGUCCGCCAUAUGUGGAAUUCUCAUACAACAACAGUUUUCAAACCAGUCUGAAAAUGUCACCCUUUGAAGCUUUAUACGGCCGUAAGUGCCGCACUCCAUUAAAUUGGUCUCAAACCGAAGACAACCGUAUCUUCGGUACUGAUCUGAUAUUAGAGGCAGAGAAACAAGUCAAGGAAAUUCGAGAUAGACUACAACUGGCUAAGUCAUGAUAGAAGAGUUAUUAUGAUGCCGAACAUCGGAAAGUCAGUUUUGAACCCGGUGAACACGUGUAUCUCCGAGUCACACCCAUGAAGGGAGUCAAGAGAUUUCAAACCCGAGGCAAGUUGGCACCAAGAUAUAUUGGUCCGUUCCCGGUCAUGACACGAGUUGGCACAGUUGCUUAUCAGUUGGAAUUGCCACCAGAAUUGUCGGAAGUACACAACAUGUUCCACGUAUCCCAGCUGAGGAGGUGUAUGUCACCACCCGAGAAGAGGACUGAUAUGUCAGAAAUUGAGCUGGCCAAAGAUUUAACUUAUGAGGAGAGACCAUUCAGAAUCUUGGAUGAGGCAGAAAGGGUCACAUGCAGCAAAGCGAUCAAAUUUUAUAAGGUCCAGUGGGAGCAUCACACCGAAGAAGAAGCAACCUGGGAAAGAGAGGAAUUUUUAAGGACAACCUACCCAGAAUUGUUUUCCCAAGCAACCGAAUCUCGAGGACGAGAUUCAUCUUAAGUGGGGGAGGUUUGUGACGGCCUGGAUUUGCCUUCUCUCUUUCUCCGGACUUUCAUUUGCAUUUGCUUUGGAUUUGGAGUUUUGAAUCAAUUCAAAUGGACUUGAACACUUGGGCCUACCCUUGAUUUUCACCCAAGUGACCCAUCCACCUCUAACUCACCUUUUAUUCUCUGAAAAACUCCAACAAAAGCCCAAGGAAUAUUUUUAAUAAAAGAAAAAUAUUCAUUUUCUUCCCUGAAAAACACAUCAAAGAAGUAUGCUCCAAAGCAACCCCUAGAUUUCUUGCUCCAAAAAUCCUGAAUAAAUUCACAAAUAUUCUUUGAACCCUAGGGAACCUUCCUGAGCAAAAAUAUUGCAUAACUUUUUGUAAUAUUUUUGCUACAGAAAAUCAUUUCUGUUCUAGACAGAAUGAUCACUUUGCACAACAAGUAUAUUUUUGCUUGAUCUUUUGGGGCUGAUCUUUUCUGAGCUUUGAUUACCCUCCUAAGAGAUUGCUAAACCGCAAAGCACAACCUUUAGUUCUCACUAAAUUUUGCUCAGUGAAGCUCACAAGUUUCUGUCUAGAAACUUGCCAGGAAGAAAGCCACUCCCACAGUUCAUCUGUGACCCAGCCAACCGUGCAAAAAAACCAAAACCACUAAGGACUAACUGCCAGACAUGGUGUUUGCGCUUAGCUCAGCCUGAUGCCAAAGUUCACACGGUGACCACUAGCUUCCAAGGGGGUUGGCAUGCAGCCGACACGCUCUACGGUGCGCCAGCGUCUCUGUUUCGCGCGUGCUCGCUGCCCCGGCCGCCGCACCUUGCCAAACCGCGCCCCCAUCCUCGAUUGCACCUCCAUAACUCCACCCUGGCGCUCGCCGAUGCCGGAGCUCGCCAUAGCGAGCACGGGCACGGCGCGGCCAAGGCAACAGUGCGCCCGUGCCCCUGUGCUCGUCGCGUACCGCGCUCCUGUGCUCGUCGCAGCUCGUCUACAGCCCCGCGUGAUCCCCGGCACCUUCUCCCCCUCUCACUGACGCCAUUCGUCGCUGGGCGACACUCCAAAGAGCUCCGGCGAGCUCUCAAUCCCCGCCUCGGCCUCGCUUAUAAAUAGAGCUCCCUUGAGCUCGUUUCUGUCCGCACACACACUCAGCACACCUCCACACCACCGUAGGAAGCCGCAGCCCGGCCGGGACAGGCCUCUGGCCGCCAUCCCCGCCGCGAGCUCGCCGGCGAUCCCCGUCCUCUGCCCCCUCCCUCUCCAGAGCCGCUCGAGCUCCACUGACCACUUCGGCAUGUUCGUGGUGGUCCACUGGUGCGUGCUGGUGCCGUUGGAGCUGCUGGACUGGCCCUGCUUUGCCGGAACCACCAUCUUCGACGAGCUCCGCCCGCCGCCGCCGCUGGAGAGCUCCGUUUUGUCCCCGUCCGGCCACCCCUAGCCACGCUAUGGGUACGGGCAGGUGCGCCUCGAUCUCCUCUACAACCCUAUCCUCUUAGAUCUCGUCGCCAGGCACUCCUCGCCGUAGAAAGCGCCAUCGCCGCACCGCCCGCCUCUGCUUCUCUUCCCCUCUCCCUCCGACCUGACCAUUGGGGCCCGCUGUCAGCCACUCAGGCCGCGGCCGAAAGCGGUAUGAGUGGUGGCACCCAGGCAGUUUACGCCUUCGACGUCACCCCCUCUGGUUUUUCUUUUAAUUCAAAUUUAGUUCAAAUUUGACCAGAACUUUGACUAACUGUAACUUUUAUUCUACAAGUCCAAAUGAGUUGAUUCUUUUUGCAUUCUGUUCUUAUUGGAAAAUCCUAGCAGCACACCCAAGAUGGGAUUUUUCUUUGCUGCCUAGAAUUUCUGAUAAUUUUCAGAAGUGUUCUUGAUAUUUUCUUUUUGUCAUUUGAUUUAUUUUCAGAAGGUGAAGCUUGUCUUGAAGGCAUCCAGGAGGAGUGUGAAGCUCCUCUGCACUAAGGCAAGCCACAACAACAUUGUCAUGGUGUCUUUGCAAUAUCCAUGAUUUUCUACUUGAAUUUAUAUGUUAUUCAUUGCAUAUUGUAUUAAAAUAAAUAAUGCUUGUGUUAUUUAGUUUGUCAUGAUCAAAAUGCUUAGUUAACAGAAAUGAAUGCUUGAACUAGUGAGAUAUAGCUUGAGUAGUUGAUCUAAGUAAAUUUGUCAUGGCUAUGGUGAUAUGGUCAUCGGUAUUAUUUUUCCUAUAUGGAAAAAUGAGUUUUAUUUGAUAAAUGCCAACUAGAGUGAUGAGUAUAAAUAACAAGUAAGAAAGGACCAGAAAUGUUGAAAGUUGAGUUUGUGCAAGUAGAACUUUGAAUAAGGUUGAUCUGUUAUUUCUAAAUGGAUGUGAUGCAUGAUAUAUGGUUGCAUAAGCAUGGCAUAUAGUGACUCGAGCAUUUUAUUUCCAAGUUAAACCUGAUGAUAAUUGAAAUUGAACAUAAAGUUGGUCGGGUCAUGGUGCCACUGAAUCGGGCUGACAAGUGCAACCACAUUUGCCUUAGUAUGGGGAGGCCGUUAGUCGUUUCGUUGUCAUGCCUUUUAUCGGUGCCUUCAACAAGGGAAGGUUAUGGGCAUGCGUUACCCUGGCCCGGUAAGCAGACAUAACCUUGUGGACCUGUUGUUGUUAUGGUACCUUGUCCCCGUUUGGGACUGUUUAUUUGCCACGACGGUGGUUGUUUUGCCUUUGGUAGGCUCGGUCACCCAUGACUAAUCUCAGUGGGGAGUUGGUCGGAGUGGCCGUAAGAGUGUCAUGGCAAUGGGAGGGUUCUGUCGGAAUGCCGUUGGUCCACCCGAAUGGGAAUGCGAGACCAUGGGUUCCGUGGUGUGGGUAAAGUGCGCUACCUCUGCAGAGUGUAAUAAUCUAUCGAUAGCCGCGCCCGCGGACAAGGGCCCAAUUCGUAAGUAAGUCACACCAUGGAUCAACUUUCAUAAAUAAAUCUUGCACACUAAGUUAUUUGCAUUGCACUGGUUGGAUCAUGAUGAUGUCAGUGAGACUGACUGUUGUGGUAUCACUUGUGAUCCGGGAGUGAUCACUGUUUGAUUACGAGGUAACCAGUUGAACCAAGUAUGAUUCCGUUCGUGAUUCGUCGUGAGCACUGUUCGGUUGCGAGGUAACCUGUUGGUAAGAGAGUCCGAGUGACUCGAUGCACAAGUUUGGUUUCACUGCAUGAGUAGCAUGUGAGAACGUAUCCGGUGAAACGACUAAACUGGUGCACCAGAUGCACCGGCUAUGUAUGGGCCGUUGGAUUCGAAAGAAAGGGACGGGAUUCAGUGCGAUGAUGGGCUGUCGGUACAUUUGCAAAAUAGUCCUUGCAGUAUAACUAAAUCCAGCGAUCUAACCUCUCUGUACCCAUAUCGUCUUCCUUCCCUUGCCAUAUUCUGUACCAGGCCGUCCAGCUGCGCGCUAGGGUUCGGGAAGUCUGCUCCGUCGCCUCUCUCGCCUGCUCUCCUGGACCUUCUCCCCCUUCUAUCUGGUACCUAGUUCUGACGCCUUUGAAGCACGAGCUCCCCUCCUCUUCUCUGAGUCGGGCCCGACGAAGUUGCCAUUGCCGCCGGCGAGCGCGUAAAUGUAGCGGUGCUGUGCUGUAGCUCCUGGGGACGAAGAGGAACUACCCAAAGGAGCCGACUAUCUUCUGCACCUUGACGAUUUCAGGGCAUGCUCUCUUAUUCCAUUAUCCAUUUAUCAUGGUCAUAUUGGUUUUUUUGCGAAUAUAUUGGGUUCUUCCCAUUUGGGAUUUCCCCAAUUUAUUCCAAACUAGUGUCAUUGCGUACUUGAAUAAGUAGUAUGAGCACCAGAUUUAUGUAUGAGAUACACGGCUGUAGAUAUGGUAGUGCAAAAUAGCAUAUGCAAACUUGAAUAAGUAGUGUUCUGAAUCUUAACAUGUAUUUUGUAGUAUAGAAAACCAUAUUUAUGCAAACUCUGAAGUAAAGUUUGUGCAGUUGUGCGGUGGAAAUAGGACCUGGCCAUCGUCCUUUAUAGCUCAAGAUCCAAGGUAUGAGCACCGAAUUUGGUUGUCUGUUAUACAUGUACAGUCAUAUUUUUCCUUCUUCCAGGCCAUUCAGUUUCCCAUGUGUUUGAAGCUAAUGGCAUUUGGGAAUAUGAAUAGUAUGGGCACGAACUUGAUCCGUUGGAUCUUGAUGAAAUUGUAGUAGUAAUCACAACAGUCGGUGCAAAAAUAGUUGAGGGGAUGUGCUCUUUGUGUUAUGUUCCUUUAUAUACAAUUUUCUUAUACAUUUGCUAACUUGAUAGUAAGGUGUGUACAUGAACGACUUGGCAUGUAAGUGAAAAAAAUGACUUCCUAGGAACCUACUACUCCCUCCGUCCCAAAAUUCUUGUCUUAGAUUUGUCUAGAUACGGAUGUAUCAAGUCACGUUUUAGUAUUAGAUACAUCCGUAUCUAGACAAAUCUAAGACAAGAAUUUUGGGACGGAGGGAGUACAUGACAAGUGUGGGUUCGUUACUGGUUGUUCCUGCGGGGUUCUUGUAGAUGAACUAGUAAUGUACUAUAUGAACUUCUUCCACAUUGCUGAUAUGAAAUGGGAACGGCAUUUGCAAUGCUCAAUUGAACUUUCUAUGGUAAUGCUAGUUGUUCAUGUUCCUCAUUUUGUCUUGCUGCAGUCCACAUUGUAGCUAUGCUCUUAAGUAAAAAGUCUUGAUGUGUUUUGCCUGGUAGUAGGUUAGUUAUCCACUUUUUAACUUGCGUGUGAUGUUUUGUGUUAUAUUUGCAUGAAAAAAAGUCAACCAUGGAGUCCAUGACAAGUGCUGCUCUAAGUAUUGGGUCAACUACGGCAAUGGGAGUUGAAGAUGAUGCCAACAGCUUUGCCAUGGUAAUUCAUUUGUUGUAUUGGUCACAGACGUACGUCACACCCGUUUCUGUCACAUGAUGAUUUUUUUCUGAAAUUUCUAGGGCACGAUCCAGCAGGUCGAAAACGAUGAAAAUAGCUACCACACGCCAACACGAACUAGCAGUCUUCCAUUUUGUGUAAGUAUUUUUUUCCCACAUCCAAUGCACGAGUUAUAGUUUAUGAACUGAACAUCUUUUAUUUUUCAUAUCCAGGGGUCAAGAUAUGAGCCCGAGUGUGACCCUAACUUACAGCCCGUAAUUGGUAUGCAAUUUGACACUUGGGAGGAAGGUAUGCCAUUCUACAAAAUGUAUGCUCAUGAAGUCGGGUUCUCAGUUCGCACAUGGACGACACACAAAGAUGAACAUGGCGUAGUAUGGAAGAGGUUUGUUUGUGCUAGGGAGGGUUGGAGAAAGGUGGCCCCAGAAGAGGAAAGGAUAAAGCCUAAACGAAAAUUCAAAUUAACCAGGUGUGGUUGUGAGGCUAUGAUUGGAUUGAAGAGGCAGGAUGAUGGCAAAUAUAAGGUUGCCCGGUUUGUUCAAUCACACACUCACCAACUUAUUUCGCCAAGUAAAAGACAUCCCAUCAAGUCAAAUAGAGAAGUAAGUAGUGAGUUGCGGAGCAAACUACUUACAUGUCAUAAGGCAAUGGUUGGCACAUCUGCAGCAUAUCGCUUGCUUAGUGUUGAGAAGGGGGGGUCCCGAAAAUGUGGGCUGCACAAAGCGUGACUUCCAAAACUCUCACCGUGAUUUUAAAAGAGCAAUUAAGGGAGUAGAUGGACAUAUCAUAGUAGAUAUAAUGAAAAGUAAGCAGGCUGCCAAUCCAGCAUUCUACUUUGAUUACCAAGUCGAUGAGAAUGACAAACUUACAAAUAUUUUCUGGGCGGAUAGCAUAUGCAGAAAGAACUACUCAUUGUUUGGUGAAGUUGUGUCUUUUGACUCGACAUAUCGAUUUAAUAGGUAUAACUUGGUAUUUGCCCCUUUCACAGGAGUUAACAACCACAGAUCUUGUGUCACGUUCGGUGCUGCUUUUUUAUGGAAUGAGAAGAAAGAAUCUUAUAUAUGGUUGUUCAAGACUUUCUUGAAAGCAAUUCUGGGAUUGCGCCUAAGCUCAUCAUGACCGAUGAAGACCAAAGCAUGAGAAUAAGGAUAGAACAAGUUUUUCCAAACACUAUGCACAGGCUUUGUAUGUGGCACAUCCUCAUGAAGCUUACUGAAAAGGUUGGUACCACCAUGAAAAAUAAUCCAGAUUUUCAUGAACGGUUCAUGUCAUGUGUUUGGGGAUCAGAGACACCAAGUGAGUUUGAGUCACAAUGGUGUUCAAUAAUCUCUGACUUUGGGCUAGCAGAUAAUACAUGGUUGCAGGAGAAGUAUGAGUCACGCAACUCAUGGAUUCCGGCAUAUUUUAUGGAGACCCACCUUGGCGGAAUCUUGCGUACUACAUCAAGAUCUGAGAGCGAGAAUGCAUUCUUCAGACACUUCGCCAACCGAAAUCUUGCAUUGAUUGAGUUUUGGGUUAGGUUUGAAACAGCUUUAGAGGAACAACGACAAAAAGAAUUGCAAGAAGACAAUGCCAGCCUUCAUACACUGCCUAUGCUCAAGACUUGUUGGAGUAUUGAGAGUCAUGGUAGAGAUGUGUAUACUCAUGAGGUUUUUGCUGAAUUUCAAUGUCAGGUGGUGGCUGCAAGGGAUUAUUGUCAUGUUAAAUCAAUUGUCCAGGUUGGUGAGGUCCGGACCAUUGGUAUUAGCAGCAAGAGUGGUAAAGUUAGAGUAGUUAGUUUCAACACUAGUACUAAGGCAGCACACUGUUCUUGUAGGAUGUUCGAAUCACUGGGUAUCAUCUGCCGUCACAUCAUUGUUGUCCUAAGGAAUGAGGGGUGUGAUGAAAUUCCUAGUCAAUAUGUGUUGCAUAGGUGGACUAAAAUGGCAGCACGUCAACUUUCCUAUGACGCCAACGGACAUGAGCUAGAAGGCCCAUCUACAUGUCUCUCACCUACCAUAAAAAAGUUGUACUCAGAAACAUGUUCAAAAUUCAGCUUGGCACUUCAUGCAUCGAAGCAUUGUGAGGAGAAAAUGAGAUAUUUUCACAAGGUUGUUGGUGAUGCCUUCACGCAAUUGGAACAGAUGGGUGCCAUUAGUGAGCAAAGUAAAGUUCAAGAUUUUGAAUCCUUCGUCGGAACAUCAUUCCCAAGUGUGAUCAGUAUUCAUCCACCAGAUGUAGCAAACACAAAAGGGAGUGUUAAGAGAUUGAAAAGGGGUUCAGAGCAGACAGUUAACCAAAAGAAAAAGAGGUAAAGUAAGCAACCUUGAAAAAAUGUCGAUGUCCUUUCUACAAAUUUGCUAAUGCGGUUUUCUUAUUCUUUACAUGGCAAAUAGCAUCCAAAAGGUUCCAGAUUAGUAAGGGCGGUGGUUUCACUAAUUUGAUGUUGGAAUAAUUAUGUGAAGUCAUGCAGCUGGCUACGUUCUUGCUGGAAAUGGCGGUGAUAUUCAUAGGCGAUGAGGUUUUUGACCUUUUGGUCUUUUCUAGGAGCUCACAUUUGCAGUGUGUGUCACUGAAGCAUGCAUAUGUUCUAUGUCCGUAACUCUGGAUGUGGUCACUGUUAGCUUCAGGAAGUUGCUAACACUAAACCAUGUUGUCUCAUUAGCCGUGUUUAACCUGGAAGAAAAGAUUGUAUGACCUGGCAAGGAAUUGCUAAGCCUAGCUUAAUGUAGGUUUGAAGAUUUGGUUUGUCUUUCUGUGUUACUGUCAGUUGUAGCCAGCUUUGCUAUAUGUCGUGCUGAUGUCACCACUUUCCGAAUUAGUGCAACCUUAUUACUAUGUGUUUUGAGCACCGUUCAUUCAUUUUCCUUUGCUUUUCGUUGCUCUGUACUUUAGCAUCAUCAUCUUAAUUUUUUUCAAGAUAAGUGAGAACAUGUUCAUCUGUAAGAGAUAAUUUUAGGCAUAUUUGCAGCAGUGAAGUGAUGAAAAUUCUGACAUAAUCCUUGCCAGAAGUUCGGGAAAUCUGAAAAUAGAGAAUGCAAUAGAAUAUGUAAUGUUUAAGAUGUAUGGAAAUCUGUACUGUUUUUGAAGUAGCAGUGUUACUCUUUAGAUUGUAUAUGAAGGCAUGUCUCAUCUUCAUUUAUACUUUUGUUCGACCAAGCUUUUGUUUUAAACCGUGCAUAACACCUGAGAAAAUUGAAAAGAUGUGCUCUUGUAACACUUAUGUAACUAUUCUGUGAUUGCUAAUUUGUGCAACUGGAAAGCUCGAUAAAUAUAACUAUGUAAUAUUAAGUAUAAAGAAGCAACUUUACAAGUAACUGUUGUGAUGAUUUUUUUUUGUAAGUGAACAAAAGAGCUUUUGUUUUGUAACAUUUUAUGGAGUUAGAGUGAUCUUGAGCUUCCUGUAGUGAUUCUGGAGAAGCCUACCUAGGAUCAGAUUAGCUCAUCUGGUCUGGAGCUUGGAGUAGGUUAUUUGCAUAGCUAUGAGGAUGACCAUAAAUUUCCACUGUAGAAUUAUGUCAACUUGUAUACAUGGUGUUUCUUUUAUUUCUUAUAAUCCAGUUACAUCUUUUCCUGUGGAUAUAUAGAAGAUGUGAUAUACAUCACAACAUUUGUGCAGCUGACGUCCAUUAUCUCUGGAAAUUUUUAUGGACAUAUCUAGUGGAAAGAUAUGGAUAACCUGGGACUUCAUACUGUAAUCUUUGUUUAUCAUAUCAAUUAACUUUCAUUGCUGGCCUGCUAAAUCAGUACCGGUAACAACCAAAAGAUCUCUGAAUAAAUUUUCUUUAGAUGCUUAUAUGCAAGAACAUCACGUCUUUCACAUCGGAAUAACACAAGCAUCCGGAUAAAUUGUACAACAACCACUCAUCUAAACUAAAGAAAACUUGGAUACAAGAUUUUCUAGCAAACGUACGUUCUUGCUGAUUACAUGGUGCCAAAAAAACCGAAGCCUGAGACAACCACCCACGAUCUGGGCUAGUACGAGAGGUGAAAUUAUCAGUUUCAUCAGAUGCCAUCUUGGAGACCUAUGAAGAUGACUCCUCUGAAGAUUACCCAGUCAUAGCUCAGGCUCUGGAUUCUUUGAUCUCCUAAUUCAUACCACCCACGAUCUGUGAAGGAGGGUGAUGCUUCACAUUCCCUAUUGAUAAGACACUCUAAUGUAUUAGCACAUAAGAGAUGGAGGAAGGGACAAUACCUCGAAUGAAAAACAGAUGAAAAAGAAGUCAACAGGUAUGCUCUCAGUUUUCUGAAACAAAUAUAUGAUAAUAUUAUAUCUCAUAAAAAAAUCCCAUAUCUUUUCUGAAGUGAAUUAUAGCCAAACAAUAUAUGAAAUAAGUUCUUGUGAUAUUACCAGAUUAAAAUCAGUACCAGUAACUAGUCAACUAUAGUAUACUACAAAACUCCUCCAGUCCAGACAUGGAGAACACAGUGAGCGUGCAAUUCUAUCCACUCAAGAAAUCAUUUUCAUAACCUAAAUAAGAUGAUAAUAAGUUACAAGGGUCGGCUUCCAAACCAGGGAAUGUCACCUAUGCAACCAAGAAUCCGAGAUGGUGAGGCGUCUUUUUAUGCAUUUAUCUUGGAUGCAACAACUUCGGUUAUCUGCUUUGUCCUGCAUGCGCAUAAGAACAUGAAGAAUUGCAGCCCUGCUCGUCGUCCUCGUCUUCAACAGAUUUACCGUCUCCAGGCAAUAAGACUCCAUAAUGACCUUCAAACAAAAAAAAUGAUGGCACCAGGGGAGCCAAGCUAAACUUAGUAGUGACACCCUAACCUACAAUCAUAGGCAUCUCUGUUUGGAAGUAUCAUCGGAUUCCAAAGUAUCACAUUUUUAGAAUACAAAGGACAAUCACUACUAGAGAAGUAGCGAUGCAACAUUGGCGAUACAUAUUUGAUUUGGCUCGGCAGUAGUUAGGUAAAAAAGCUUUUGUAACUAUGGAACAGAUAAAUUGAUGAUGAGUAAAAAAUGAACUGAUAACAAAAUCAAGAAGAUGAACUCGUAAUGCUUUCACGAAAUUAAGUUAGACUCUGUAAGUACACGUUCUCUUUAAUAUUGUUUACCAAUAAAGGAGAAAAUAGGGAGUACACCCCUUGUAAUUGGCAUGAAGAUUGUAGAAAUAUACCUAAAUUUGGUGCUCACAGCACACUAUUCGAAUUCUUAAUCAACAAAAACAUGCCCUUUAGUCAACUGGAACAAGAUGGAUAGAGGAAUAAGUGAACAUACCUACAUCCUUGAGCUGCUGCCGAUGGAUAGUGCUGACGGCGACAGCGACCGCGGCGGCGGCAACGGCAGAUUGUUCAGAGAGAACGAUCGAAAUUUAAUAACCCUAAUUCACCUGAGUGGUAUAGAAGAGGGAGAGACAACCGCGUUUCAUUAAGAUCUGAGAUCGAUCUUGAGCUCGCUGGACCUGAACCCUAGCUCAGGAGGAUGUACUGGUACAAAAUCUGGCAAAGGGGGAGGAAGACGAUCUGUGUACGGGGAGGCCAAUUCGUUAGAUUUAGCUGAGCUGCAAGGACUGGUUUGCAAAUGUACCAUCAGGCCCAUCAUCGCACUGAAUCCUGUCCCUUCCUUUCGAAUCCAACGACCCAUACAUAUCUGGUGCAUCUGGUGCACCAAUUUGGUCGUUUCACCAGAUACGUUCUCAUUAGCAUGUUGUUGUUUGCAUUUAACUUGAUUAAAUGUCAUGAUAUUGUUUGACAUUAUGGUUCUGUUUGUUGUGAGCUUGCAAGUACAUUCAAUGUACUACCUGACGUGUUAUGCCAGAUUUCAGAAAAGUCUAACUGGAUCGGAGUGCUGCCGUGUCUAGACCGUGUCCACAUCGGUGUCCCCGUGCUAUGGAGUCCCGCUACGUCAUUUUUCCGCUGCCGUGUAGAUGUCGUGCUCGAGGCCCCUUUUAUGUUCACUAAAUAAUGUACAUAUUGUUCAGCCGCACCGAGUGUGCCGCUUGGCCUCGCAACUUGAUGUAAUGUCGCACUAUGCUUUCGCUAGUUUCAAUAAAGCGGUGAUUUCUGUACCAAGAUGUUGUGUGUUGCCAGAAGACAUGAUCUCUUGGUUGGCAAUGCAACGUAAACCGGUCGCUCUGAGCCGGGGUGCCAUAGGUUCAUUAAUGUACAAUCCAGUGUCUUAUAUAGUGUGAUAUAUAGGAUUCAAUGCAUAUUUCCAAAUUGUGAUGCAAUAUUGUAGCAAUUUGCGGUUAAUUUUGUAGUUUGUAGAUGUGCAACUAAUGUAUACAUUCAUUUUUUGAUGCAGUACCAUAUCUUUAUAUAUAUAUAUAUAUAAUUAAUCUAAUGUUGUAGUCUGUAGAUGUGCAAUUAAUAUACACAUUCCUUUUUUGAUGCAGUACCAUAUCUUCAAAAUAUAUACAAUUAAUGUAAUGCUGUACGCCUGUAGAUGUGCCAUUAAUGUACACAUUCAUUUUUUUGAUGCAGUACCGUAUCUUCAAGAUAUAUAUAAUAAUGUAUUGUUGUAGCCUGUAGAUAUGCAACUAAUAUACACAUUCAUUCUUUUCAUGCAAUACCGUAUCUUCGAGAUAUAUCAUAUAUACAACUAAUGUGUGUAAAAUGUGUCAAUAUGACGUUAAUGUACACAUUCAUUGUUUGAUGCUAUUUCGCAUCUUAAAGGUCUAGCAUGUAGAUAUAAAGUUAAUGUACACAUUCAUUGUUUGAUACAACAUCGUAUCUUCAAGAUAUAGAACUAAUGUAUUAUGUAGCCUCUAGAUGUGCAAUUAAUGUAUACAUUAAUUGUCUGACACGGUGCUAUAUCUUCAUGAUACACAACUGGUGUAUGCGUUUGUAUCAUCAUCUCAAAGAAGGCUAUAUAUACCAAGACAUAGCUAGCGAAGUCAUGUAUCCCACACAUUCACAGAAGCCACACAAAUCCUAUAUUGUACAAUUCUAACAUCAAAGGGAUAGAGAAGACUCUAGCGUAGCAGAUACAAAAGCCAUAGCCAUGGCGAAACUGAUGUGCUUAUGUUUCAUCAUCCUCACUAUUGCGGUAGCCGUGUCGGCUGACGAAUGUGAGGGUGACCGACAGGCCAUGAUCAAGGAGUGUGCUAAGUAUCAACAAUGGCCAGCAAACCCGAAGCUAGAUCCGUCGGAUGCAUGCUGUGCCGUGUGGCAGAAGGCAAACAUCCCAUGCCUUUGCGCUGGUGUCACCAAGGAGAAAGAGAAGAUAUGGUGUAUGGAGAAGGUUGCCUACGUUGCCAAUUUCUGCAAGAAGCCAUUCCCACAUGGCUACAAGUGCGGAAGUAAGUGAAAUAUAUUAAGGUUAUUACGAUGAUCGGCAUUGCAUACAUGCAGUUUUGAUAUUUAUUAUUCUUCGGAGUCACACGGCUUUGAUUUUAGUUAUGCAUUUUAUAUGCUUCUUGUGCUAUUCUGAUCAUAUGUUGGGUCAAAUUGAAUGGUCUUGCAGGUUACACAUUCCCUCCUCCGGCGUAGUGAUUCUAGUUUAGCCGCGGGAGGAGAAGCAUUGGCUUUUACAUUAUAUGUGUGUGGCCUCACAAGAGCUUCCCUUUCACAUUUGUAUUUCGUGAGGUUGUACUCAUAAUAGUUUAUGUUAAUCACUCUGUAUGAGAACGUUUGUGAAACUAAUAAAGUCUU